GAUCGGGAAUUGGAGGCCGUUCGGGUGGUCGCGCGAGAGAUCACGCCAAACCGGGUGCCGGAUGCCUCGGGAGGCCGAUUGCAAGUGUCGACAAGCAAUCGGAAUGCACUAACAGGUGGGUUGUGCUUACCGAAGCGACUAGGUCGCCCUCAUGUCGAAGAAAAAUAUGAUUUCCUAGUUGAUGCAUAUAAUGGGUUAAAUGCUACAUGAUGCAUAUAAUGGGUUAAAUGCUAUAUGAUGCAUAUGAUGUGAAGAUUGGGUAAAUGCAUAUAAUGUGAGAAAUGUAUAUUACAUGAUAAUUGCAUAUGAAUAUAAUGCAUGCUAGUGGACAAUGAUGUUAAAUGUUAAAUGCAUGCUAGUGGACAAUGAUGUUAAAUGUUAAAUGCAUGCUAGUGGACAAUGAUGUUAAAUGUUGAAUAUAAUGCAUGCUAGUGGCAAGUAAUAUGUUGAAAUGUUAAUGAAAUGCAUGGAAAUGAUGUUGUAGGAAUGCAUGAGAUAUAUUAUACUAGAGGACGUAUAAUUGGUUGUGCUAAAUGAUCUAUGCAAAUUGGAACAUAUGCAUGUUAACGUAUUUGUGAACUGUGUUGGGUAACAUAUGCUAAUUAAAAUAUGCAUGUUGACUUGAGUUUAAAACUCUUGGAUGAUUAGAAAACUUGACAUUGGAAAUACAAUGUAGUAUUAAUAUAAUAAUAUGUUUGGUUUCCUACAAUGAGAUGAUAAAUGUGGAUAAGACCUAGGUAAAUGACAACCUAGAGAUUGGGUAAAAGUAAUGCAUCGAGAACACUUGAAUUAUGACGAGUGGCAUAUAUGAAUCUUAGUGUAGCUGAGACACUAGAUUGAUGAGUAUAGAAACCUAUUGGUUCUAUGUUGAUACUAUCCUUAGUUGAUAGGGUGCUCCCAAUUCUGAGAGAUUGGAUCGUGCUCACAUAGCCUGUCUGCGCUUGGAGGGGUCGCUUCCCACAAGCUGUUUACUCCGGAGGUUGGUCACUAGAGGGACAGUCAGUGUGCUGUCUGGACGGUCUAUGUACUGUCCGCAGGCGGUCUCGGGGGACAGUUCAGUGAGACUUCUCCCCUAUGAGACUUUGAGAUGUGAGAUUGAGGGCGACCCCCUUCGGGUUAGCCAAGUGAUUGGGUAACAAGCUUAUGAGCUAUAGUGAUUGUCCUACUUGAGGGGAUUUAAGGCCGAGGUGCAAGUGAGAUGUCCUUCGCCUCGUGCCUUGCUUUGUGCGGUACUCCGCAGAUGAUUGACUCAAGACCGAGUCGGGCGGCUAGCUUUGUAAAGGUAGAUGAAACCUUAUGAUUAAAAUGGUACAUGACAGAAAACCUUAAAUGUCAAUUGGAUGAAAGUAGUAAUCGAUUGAAUUACUAGUUGGUUGUAUAGUUGCAUUAUUGCAUGAUCUUCAUAUUGCAUAUCGCGAGGCAAUGCAUGGUAUUGUUAGUUGCAUGAUCUUAUUAUCAUAUCUAUCUGUUUAUUGAACUAACCUGCAACUUGCCUCCUUCGGACAUGUCGGUCGAGCUUUUUCCUUGGGUGGCCGUACCCACUGGGAACUAUGGAGUUAGUUCUCACCCCACGUUGCUUUUGGGGUGUUACAGGUUUGCACGAGUGCGGCGCGGUGGCGCGAGGCGAGGGCGUAGCUCAGAAGAUAGCGCCCUACCACAGAGACCAGAGCUAGCAGUACCCCGUCGACAUAGCUUAGGGGUAUAGAAAAUGGAAAGAACACAAUGUAUCAAAUUGUAAUGAGUAAAUGAUGUAAUAACUUAGAUUGCAUUUGGAUGUAAAAGAAUAAUAACUUAGGAUGUGUUUAUGUUGUUUGAUACAUUCCUUAUGCAAUCGUUGUAUGUUGAAUACUGUUCCUGUUUGGAACCUGUUGUAAUUGUAUUGAUUGCGAUGCCUUGAACGUACAGGAGAGACUCUGUCCGCGGUACAGGGGAAUCCCCGGUCCGUUCGGCGCUGUCGGCGCCGCGACCUUGACCAAAUAGGCGGGGCUCACGGGCUGUGACAGCCUCAAUCCAAUGCUAUGAAUGCAUGCACUACAUAGUGAAAUGCUAACUACCACGCCACUAUGUCCAACAACGAUGCUAUUCAUCACAUCACCCAAUCCAUUAGGUUACCCCGCCUAAGACUUCAAAUCCUGUAGGUGAAGAGCUACCCCGCUCUUGUCUCACCCAAUCCAUCAUCUCGAAGGUCACAGGCAAAGAGCUACCCCGCUUCUCACCCGACUCAAUCACUAAGGUCCUAGGCAAAGAGCUACCCCGCUCCUCGCCCGACUCAAUCUCGAAAGUCCUAGGCAAAGAGCUACCCCGCUCCUCGCCCGACUCAAUCUCGAUCUCAUAGGUAUAGGGCUGCUCCACUCAAAUCUCAUAGGUAAAGGCUAACCACCACACUACUAUAUGCUCAAUAGUUUACCCAAUCACUUGGCUAGCCUAGAGGCUCACUCUCAAUCUCACGUCUCGAUCACAUGACUAUGCUAUAGGUGCCACACCUACUCUCAGUCGCACUGGUGAGGAUCCGCUCACUCACCUAAUACCAUCUACGGGACCUAAUAAGGCUAUCCCUCAACCUAAUCUCAAUGGGGAGGAUCUGCUCACUUGCCCAACUCUCGACAUAGGUGCCACGACUCAAUCUCAAUCUAGUGGGUGAGGAACCGCUCACUCAAGGUGAGAACUACUCACUCAACCAACUCUCAAUCUCAUGGGUGAGGAAUCGCUCACACAAGGUGAGAACUACUCACUCAACCAAGACCAUCUGCGGGGCCCAAAAAAGCUAACCCCUCGGGACCCAAAAAGGCUGUCCCUAUCGUGUGACAACUCCGGAGUGCACUGCUUUUGUAGAGCGACCACACCAAGCUUCGAACAGACAUAUGAGUACGAUCAAAUCCCUGUCACUGAGGAUACCCUACCAUCUAGGGUUAACAACAUAACUCUUUAGGUUCUCUACCAAACCGUAACUAGGGAAAAUUCAACUAUCCCUAUGUUCAAGACCAAGUGUCAACUACACUAAGUCCGAUGCCACUCGUCAUGUUAUUUACUUAUCUAGAUGCCACUCGUCAAGUUUAACAUUAACUAGAUGCCACUCGUUCUCAAUACUCUAAUUGUACACAACGACUAGGUGUUCUUUCAACUAGAGUCUAUCCACAUUAAUCUUGUCAUUAUAGGGUUUCUAAUCAAUAUAUCCCAAUCUCAUGCAUACAAGGCUCAAGUGUUAAACAAGUAAUACAACACUACUCUAGCAUGCAAGAAUAUAUAACAACUAAUUAAGCACCCUAUAAUGCAUCAUGCUCAAUAUGCAUAAUCGAUCAACAUAGAGAUACUUAGACAUAAGGAGAAGCCCGAUUGCUUCGGGAUGACACCCCCCAUCUUUUAUCGCUCCCACGAGGCUAGGGUUUCGUUUUUGUGAUUUUAGGAAGCUUUCGCCGCAAGCUGCCGCAAUCUGUACCUUAAUAAGCUUUUUCCUCAAUAUCUUUGUACCGGCUCGACGAAUCACCGAACCGACUUCGCCAACGCGUCAGAAUACCUAGCAAUUAGGUUUACAGAGGGUCAAUUAAGAUCAAAACCCUAUAUUUUUCAAAACCCCAUGUUGGAGCCCUAGGUAUAACCAAUGCAAAAAUCUCUCAUUGGAGCUCUAGAUUCAUGCAUAAUUCAUCUAUUAAAGAAUCUAGGGUUCCAACAAAACCAUUUCUAGGAAAUAAAAACCCAUCUAUAGGGAUCUACCAUGACAGCUCUCAUGAGCUUACCUCCAAAGCAAGCUCCAAUGGUGGAGAGGAAGAAGAAGAAGAUGCUAAUCCCUCUCUUGAUCUUGUUCUCCACCAAAUCCACCUCCUUUCCUUCCUCCUUGAAGAGAGAGAGAGAGCUUGUAGAGAGAGAGAGAGAGGUCUAUUUGGUUGCAAUGUGAGGGAGAAGGAGGAAAUGAGCCCCCAACCCUCUCUAUACACUUUGCACAUUUGCACAAAGGUCCCUCAACAAUAUGAGUUGUGCACAGCCCAAACUGGGCCAUUUUCGGGUGCUGGGACCGGUCUCUGGACUUGAGGGACCGGUCCUUGAAGGUUCAGAAAAACAGCAUUCCAGACUUAGCCAAAUUUUCAGCUUUUUCAGCUUUCGGGGUCCGAUUUCACUCGUUUUCGCUCGUUUGGCCUCCGAUUCGUCUCAAAUCGAACUGAAACUCUCCAAACAUGUUUUCGAGCGUAUUUUCACCAUCUUUACAUCCAUGCUAAUGCCGGAUUUAGCUCACAGCCCAACAUAGCCUUUCGGGUUCCGUUUUCGCGCCUACGCGCACCGAAACGCCCGAAUACUCCUAAACCUCACCGAACUUCACCGCAACCUUUCAAAUGGCUCCCCAAUCAAAUGUAUACCGUAACUUCAUGAUUUUAGAAGUCUGGUACCUUACAGACUGGCUCUCGAAAUAUUACGCCACGAUCGAUUGUAAGAAUAAAUUUGUAACAUAUCUCAUCCCUCGUAAAUCGUGCCGAGUUCCGUCGAAAUGAGCGGAAUGCGGAGUGGAACGAGUGAGUGUAGGCCCUAAGUGCAUUGGAGCCUAUCUAUAGGGCAAAGGGACCCGAGAGAGUGAAAUCCCAAAAUCUGGCUAAGUCCCAGAUUUUGUGCUCUCGGGGACCGGUCCCUGAAGGAGAGAUCGGUCCCCGUACGCAUAGCCUGCCAGGUAUCCUCAGGGCAACCGGUCCUUGGCAGUGAGACCGGUCCUCGGGAGACCGAUCCUCGAAGGAGAGACCGGUCCCUCGUCGCGGAGCAGCCGAAAAAGCCAGAAAAUUGGCUAAGUCCUGGAAAACCCACGUUCGGAAAUCGGUCCUUGGUCGGGGAGACCGGUCCCCGACAGCGAAAAUUGCCCAGUCUGGGCAGUGCACUAUGAAACAAGUGGAGGGGCUUAAGUGCAAUUAUCACAACACUUUAUAUAGCCACCCCCUUCACUCCUAUAGCCAUUUCUCUCCCCCUCUCUUAUUUUCUCUCUUUCUCUCUCUAGAACUCUUGCACUAGAGCUUGGAGAAGAAGAAGAAGAAGCAAGGAGGAAGAGGAUUUGGGGGCUUUGGUAGAUCUAGGAGCUCUCCAACAAGAAGAAUCUUGGUGGAGCUUGGACUAGAGGUAAGUUCUUGCAAGAUUUCCUCUAGGGUUUGGGUUUUAACCUAAGGAUUUGGAGCUUUGUGCUCCUUAGAGGUUUUAGAAGCUCUUUUGAGCCUUGAAUAACAAGGUACCCAUAAGAGCUCAAGGUGCUCUCAUGGUGAACCCUUGGAAGUUGAGUUAGAAGCCCUAGGGUUGGUUCCAAAAGCUUGGAAACCUUAUUAGAAUGCUUCCUUAGCGAUUCUAAGCUAUCUUUUGCUUAGCAAUAAGAUCAAUCCAAGGGGAAACCCUAAAUGGCAUUGUUAGGGCUUGGAAAUUGGGGCUUUUGCCCUAGGAUUUUUUGGGGACAAAUUGACCUCGUAGAAACCAUAUUGGGAGUGUCCUAAACGCGUGGGAUAACUCCGUUUGACGUUACGAAAAUGUUAGAGUAUGGUUUAUAUACAAUAGGCCUAAUUUGGCUCUAUUUUGGGGUUGUAGGUCGCAGAGUGGCGAUCGGUUGAGCGUGGAAAUUAUCGGCAUAGCUUUCUUAUACCUCACAAGGUGGGGGGUGCAUGCCGGAAUUGUUGGAUUCCCUUCUAUGUCUGUUUUCCUUUCUAUUGAGCAUAUACAUAUAUAUAGCCAUUCAUGCAUAGUAGGGUAGAUACAUGUGAAACUUGGUUCGAUUUCAUUUAUAUGCUUCUAACGUAGUCGAACAUAGGGAAUGGUAGAACCAAAAAUGGACAUGUGUGGUAGAACCCUCAAGUUGUGUGAAUGUGAGGUUUGGACUUGGACAAUAGAAAACAGAGGUGACAUUGACAUAGAAACAAGAUUGGCAUUGAAAGAUGAACUGUGAAACAUAGUUUAACCAAUUAUGGCAUUAUCACAGGUAUAGCCUAGAGAGUGGCCAAAAUGAAUAGGUAGAGACCUAUCAUGACACCGGCAUUGUGACUAGUGGCUAUGAAUCCUCAAGUGAGGAUUGGAUCGAUACUCACAAUACGUCUUGGCUUGAGGGAGGUCGCUCCCCCUCAGGCGGUGCGCUCCGAAGUUGGUCACUCCUGGGCGUGGUAAAGUCCCCCCAGAUGACGGUCCCUAAGGAGGUUCGAGUUCCCCAUUAUUAAGUGUAAUACACUGGACUUUCGCAAAUUGCAGAGUUCGAGUGUGUGGAAUGAAGUGUGGAACUAUUCUACAUGUUCUAAAAGGUUAGAACAAGUGUUUGGAUAAGUUAGAGGAUGAUUGGAAUGUUAAAAGUGAGAAUUUGCAUUGAUCUGGCGAAAAGCAGCAUUUUCUGCUUGCUGUACCGGUACAGCCCUUACCUUGUACCGGUACAAGCUGGCAGAUUCGGGGCAGCAAGGUUAGUUUGGUAAUUUCACAUCUUGUUCUCAGCUAUUUGAUCCCAGCACGACUCCUGGAGCUUGCUGGAGUGUGCUAGAGCUCAGAAGAGGGUUCUCCACCAUUUCUCUCUUUCUCUCUCUAGGGUUUUUCUCUCUCUACAUCGAAUUCGCCGAUUUCGCUCGUUUUCGUCGCAACGUUGGUUCUUCGUUGUUCGCAAGUGUUGCAGAGCCUACGUGGACGUGUGAGGGAGUGUUUUGGAGAGCUUUUCGCAGCUCUGGACCAGUGGGUUGCUGGUUGGAAGCUUGAAAGGUAAACGACUUGAUGUUUUUCCGUUAUCGGCACUCUAGUCGUCGAUUUGAGUAGCGAUUUCAGAUUUUUGCUCUUGGCUGUGCUAAACUGAGAAUUCAGCUAUUAUAAAUGAGAUAAUUAGCUGUGAAUGAACCUCUUUAGCUCAGGGAUCAGCUAUUUUAAAGCUUGAUUGUGUAACCUAGUUCAUUAUGAAGUGAAUUUGGAAUUAAACGCGAGUUUUUGCNUUGUGCCUAUGUUGAUAGUGCCAUGAUAGUGAAAGAUCCUAAUGCCAUAUGUAAAUUAGCAUUACUCCUGUAUGCUUACUAAACUAGUGGAUUCUAGUUGUUGUUAAUAUUUGUUAUACUGAAAUGUCGAUCAAAGGAUCGAGAGCGAGAACAUUGCAAAUGAAAACAUGAGAAUUGAGACAUGUGACAGUGAAAUAUGCUUGCUUGCCAUCGUGCUCAUUCGCACACGCUUGUGAGGGUCGCUCCCUACAAGCCGGCACUCCGGAGUUGGCCUUCGCGACAGUUGCUCGCCGGUGCGGGAUUGGGUGCCGAAGUGGAUUGCCGUGGGAAGUGUAUACUACCACGGGGCCAUUAGGCGCGGCGCAAGCUGGACUACCUUGGGUAGGUCCCUGUGAAGGAAAGGAAAGUACUAAAUGAAAAAGGACGGUAAUGAAUGUUUAUUACUUAAAGUGUACAGCAGUCACUUUUAUGUUCGUGCUUAUACUCAUGUAUAUGUUCAUGAUUACAGAAGUUGCUCUAUCUCUUUUAUGCAAAUGGUUCAUUACUGUAGAAAGCUAUUACAUGUCGAUUACAUGCUUACUACUUAUUAGCAUCAUGCUUAUAAAUCAUGCAAUUAUUGUUAUUGCUUCCAUUUAGUACAUCUUGAGCCUAGUGGUGUAAUUCGCCGAGGCUGGCGGCUUACCCACUGGGAACUAUUGUUAAUAGUUCUCACGCCCUUUUGGUGGUUGUUUUUACAGAGCCUGUUACAGGAGAGGCUAGGGAUCGUGGCAAGGGAGUCGCGCCUAGCUAGGGACUACUAGGAGCGUGCUAGUCGAUCACCUUGCUACUCGGACUACGGCCGAGGGUGAUGUCCCUUUGUAUAGAGAAACCACCAUUGUAUCUAUCCUAUUUUUGUAUACUCGUGAUGUAUAUGUACCACUUGGACCGUGAACUACAGUUGUGACACUUCUCUUCUGUCGAGAUUUUGGGUUUGUACACUUUUUGUUCUUUUGUUGAUAUAUAUCGACCUGUACAUUGCUCUGAUAUCAGGAUAGGACUUUCUUUGUUUUACUUCCUAUCGACUUGUUGCUUGUAGACGCCUUAUAUACUGCAGGUGUAUGGCGGGUCUGUGCACGUGCCGGAUAUGCUUCCGCUGGUACCCGGGCGUGACAUUAAGGGAUUUUGGGUUGUGAGUUAUUGGGGUUAACAAGCUUAACCGGUAAGAUUGGGUAAGAGCCAAAGUUUAUUUAUGAUUUGAGCAUGCAUGCAUUUCUAUUAUUGCAUUGAGUAUAUGUAUCCACUGACAUUCUUCUGCAGGCAUAGUAUUAGAUGCAUUAGUAUUGGUUACUUUUCUUUCCUUGAAAUACUUAUGCUUGGAUAGACCUAGUGGGUAAAUCGGCGAGGUCGGAUGCCGAACCCACUGGGAACUUCGUUGUAGUUCUCACACCACUAACCCUACAGGUCCUAGCACGAGCGGGGCGGCGGAGGACCGAGGCAAGGGUUUAGCGCCGUAGAUAGCGGCCACCGGGACCUUAUACAUUUUGUAGUCAUUCCCCUUUUUGGUAUACAUGUAUCAACUUCUUUUGUUGAUUUAGAGAUGUAAAGUUGUAGACAAACAUGUACUUGGUGUAUGACUAAAUGUAAAAAGAUAUGAUGGAUAAAUGGAAUGUAAUAGUUUUAAUUACUUGUAUUUGGUUUAAAUUUAAUCAAAUAUCAUGUAUGUUGUAUAUUUAGCUUAGAGCUUUUGCUUCCGUUGUUGCUUGCCCUCGUGCAAGUCUUGUAUUAUAUAUGCAAAUCUCUUAUUGAUUGCUUAUUUAUACAUGUUGUUGGAGUCUUGGGCGGACAGGGGAGGCCCUGUCCGUUCGACGUCUGUUGACGUGACCCGAACCCGACCAAAUUGGCGGGGAUUGGGGCGUGACAGAUAUAAUGGUAUCAGAGAGAAGUGGAAAGCCAAAGUCUAGGAAUGACCUAUAAACCAUAGGUUGGAGACCAUAGGGACUCAGGAAAACGUUCAACGUGGACUUGGUUUAUGCGAAAGCGAGUGAUUUGAUUAACGGUAACACUUUUCUAGAGGAAAGUAGAGAUGGACUAGGAGGCUUAAUUGUUGUCUACUUAAGGGACCUUGUGGGGCGGCCGACCACAUGACACCAAUAGUGGAAACGAUUAUGCUUGUUGCUUUCGCUUAAUUGGGUAGUUAUUUGGAACGUGUAAGAGUUACGUGUUCGAGUAUUGAUGUGUGUGUGCAUUGCGUUUCAGGACGCGAUGGCACCACCAAGGAGAGUUACGAGGUCCACACCGGCGGAGCUUCGGGAGGAGCCCGGGCAGUCGAGGUCGGACGAAGUGCGCAAGUUACGAGCCCAGGUAGCGGCUUUGGCCGGGGCUAUGCGACAACAAGGGGAGCAGAUUGGACGGCUCCACGAGAUGAUGGCGCAAUAGGCAGCGGCGGCAUCAGUGUCGAGGGAUCCACCCCCACCGGCUACUCCUGUAGCACCACCUCCUGCGGUGGCGGCAGCACCAGUGACGAUGGUCCCUCCGACGGCAUCGGGUUCAUCGGCUCCUAUCCCUGAUGUACUUAAGGCCGAGCAGGAGCGCACGGUGGCGGCGCUGACGGCAUUCAAGCGAUUCAACCCUCCGACCUUGAACGGCGAUGUGAAGGACCCGUGGGUGACGGAGAGUUGGCUAGCCACGAUGGAGGCCUUGUUCGAGGAUAUCUAUACCCUCGGGAAGGAUAAAGUUCACCUAGCGGCUCAUUGUUUUGAUGGGUAGGCCCGGUUGUGGUGGAAUCAAGUGAAGAAAAAUCGCUCGCUAGAGCACGCUUUUGUUACUUGGGAGGCGUUUCGGGAGAUGCUGCUUAUGGAGUAUUUCCCUGAGAGUGACAAGAGGAAAAUCAAGGAGGAUUUUCGGAAGCUAAGGCAAGGAAGCCGAUUAGUGCGGGAGUACCAGAGGGAAUUCACGCACAUGAUUAACCGCGUGCCGGGCUUGGUUCACGGUGAUAGGGACCGAGCGGAGGUAUUCGAGCGCGGCUUGCGACCCAAGAUUUUUAAGGUCAUACAUGCCUUCCGGUUGAAGACCUACGAGGAAGUGCUCGAUCGCGCGCUUUGGGUGGAGCGCGGGAAUGCCUUUGCGCGUGAUGAGCGCGAGACUUUUGAGAGGGACAUGGAAAGAGAUAGGUCCAAGAAGCGGCCGGCUGGUGGAUCUGCGGGGCAAUCAAGUUCUAAGCGACCCCCGCGACCUCAGCGAUCACAGUGGCGGGGAGGUAGGAGUCAGACACAGGGCCAGAUUACCUACCCGUGUGUGAUAUGCGGCGGAGAACAUAGAGCCACCACAUGCCCACAGCGGGAGGGGUGGUGUUACCAAUGUGGCCAACCGGGGCACAUGAGCAGAGAGUGCCUGGGCGGCGCAUCCCCAGCCCUGUCAUCAGCAUCUGUUUAGUACACUCAGCGGCAGCUGAUGGGACUACCACCCGCCGUAUCUGCUGGACGAUCGUCGGCGCCUCGUCAGCCGGAGGCCUCUCGAGCACCUAGUGGGCAGGUAUUUGCCACUCAGGUGGAGGAGCCACCAAUUAUUGUUCCCGACGACGUCGUGGCAGGUAUUAUUCUUAUCAGAGGCACUAGAGCUAGAGCCAUAUUCGAUACGGGUGCAUCUCAUUCAUUCAUAUUAGCAUCAUUUGCACAAGCUCAUAAUAUAGAGAUCACUUAUAGCGAGGAGUAUUGGUCGCUGAACACUCUCGAGCACUCUUUCGACGUCCACGAUGAGUGCUUGGACUGCCCAGUGCAGAUAGGUGAUUGGAUUAUACCGAUCGACCUUCUAGUGUUAAAAGAAAUGUGGGGCUUCGAGGUAAUCUUGGGGAUCAAUUGGCUCUCCAAAUACUACGCGGUUAUAGAUUGAGAAAGAAGGGUGAUCACGUUCCGUGAGCCUAACCAAGAGGAGUUUGUGUAUCGGGCGUGCAAAGGCAAACGCUUCGCAGCCACUAUAUCGACGGUGAGGGCAAAGAGAAUGAUUAAGGGUGGUUGCAAGGCUUACUUAGCGACUAUCGUAGACCCUCAAAAGGAAUACCCGGAGCUGGACAGUAUUCGAGUUGUGUGUGUGUAAGGAAGUGAAUCCUCGAAAUCCGAGGAUUUGACUUCGAUUGGAAUCGACGUUUUGUUGAGUGUGUGAGCUUCGGAAAGUCCGAAGGUGAUUAAAAUGCCUAAAACGCAUUAAGGAAAGGUCUGCGAGAGCACCAGUGCAAAACUUGCACUGGAGCAGAAAUGCUCUCGAGGACCGGUCCCUGGUAGGGAGGGACCAGUCCCAUCCUGCUGGGCUGCGGAGGUCUCUGAUGAGACCGGUCCCUGGCAGGCAGGGACCGGUUCCCGAACGUCAGCCCAGCGAGAAUAGCCGAAAUUUGGCUAAGUCCCGAGAAUCCAACUUUCAGGAACCGGUCUCUCGGAAAAGGACUCUCAAGCAAAGACUGGUUCCCGAACGCGAAAAUCCCUCUGCUUAGAAUUGCAGCUUUCGGGGACCGGUCUCCCCGAGCUGGGACCGGUCCCUCACUGCGAAAAUGCCCAGAGAGGGCUGAUUUGAAGGAUGAAAAGUUGAGGGGGCUAUCUGCAAAAUGGCCUUUAUUAGAGGUUGGGGGAUCUCUCUCUCCCUCUUAUUUGCUCUCUCUCCCUCUCACACUCUUUCCCUCUCUCUCUCUAGAAAAUAAGGAGAAGGUGAAGGAGAAGAAGGGAAGGAAGGAAAAGAGGAAGAAGUGGAAGGAGAAGUUCAAGAAGAAGAAGAAGGAGGUCUUUUUCCCUCUCUUCUUCAAGCUAGAGCAAGUUUGGAGCUUGGCUUAAAGGUAAGCUCCCAACCCAUCCAUGGUGGAUUUCUUAGGAUUGGGUUUUAUUGCCUAGAAAUGAUUUGAAUGGAACCUAGAGGAGAUAAAUCGGUGGUUCGGGCUCGCAAUUGAAGCUUGCGCCACGAAUUUCCUCACCGAUGCUAAUCUAGGGCACGGAUUUGGGAUUUUUGGAAAUCUAGGGUUUUGAUCUAUCUUAAUAGGUUGUAAACCAAAUUGCUAGGUCUCGGAACGCGUCGGCGAAGACGGUUUGCCGAUCCGACGAGCGAGUGCGGAGUUAUCACCGAAUCGGGUACUUGAGGGCUCGCUUCGCCCCGAGGAGUUGAAGCGACGUGCAAAGACCGCAGCGUCGAGUUUUCUACCAUCGCGGCAUCGCCAAGAGGUGGGUGGUGUCCAUCCUGAAGCAAUCGGGCUCUCUCUUAUGUCUUAGUAUUUUAAGACCUUGCAUCUCGAGUUCAUAUGCAUUGUAGGAUGAUUAUGCAUCGCCUUUCCCUAUGAUUUCCUAUCUGAUAUCGUAUUAUGCAUUGGUAACUGGAUAUAGGGGAUUGAUGAGGAUUGGGUCGAGUCUUAUAAUCCUAUAGUGUAGUGAUGAAAGUAUGAUGUAAUAGUUGAAAUAAAAGAACGAGUGGCACCUAGUUAUUAAUUGACAAAGAACGAGUGGCAUUGUGAGUCGUAGCGUAUAUGAAACCCAUUGACUAUGGUGACAGUAACCCUAGAGGAUAGGCACCCUUGAGGUGGGAGAAUUGGGAUCAUACUCAUUGUCCGCUCCCAACUUGUGGUGGUCACUCCACACAAGUAGUGCGCUCCGGAGUCAGUCACGAGGGAUGGCCUAUUUGGGGUCCCGUGGGAUAGGGAUGGCCUACUUGAGGUCCCGAGGGAUGGCCUAUUUGGGGUCCCGCAGACGGUCUCGGAUGUGUAGUGAUCGAGACGGUUAGGUGAGUAAUGGAUAGAUCCCUAAGUGAACCACGAGAUUGAUGAACCAGUAAAUAGCUUUACCUUUCGGACAUAUGAAGAGCUAGUUGAACUGUCUAUUUCUUUGUGCAUGCAUUCAUCAUAUACAUAAUUCGGGCACAGUAGUAUAGUUUUAUUAUCUGCUUCUACAGCUUUUCAUAUCUAUCUAUCUAUCUGUUUAUCUACUUGCGCCCACUUGGACCUAGUGGGGAGACCGGCGGAGUCGGCGGCCGAACCCACUGGGAACUAUGGAAGAUAGUUCUCACCUUACUUUUUACAGGUUCGAGUUCGGGUGUCCCGGGCGAGCGUGAGGAUCGCGGUAAGGGCCUAGCGCCCUAGUUGCAUUAGCCACCUACCCUUUUGCAUUAGCUCUACCUGUAUUUAUGUUCGAGAGUAGAUGAUGUAUAGGGUGAGGUUUGAGUGCUUGUAUUUAUAUUUUGGAGGAAUAUAAAGGAUGUAAUUAAAUGUAUUAAGUCAAAUGCAUGUAAUAGAUAGAGCUUUCUCUCUUUAUGUACUUGUAUAUUUCAUACUUGUAUCUUGCUCUUGGUUGUUGCACUGGUGGUGCUUCUUGAUCGUGUAUUUAUGAAUUGAUUCCUGGGUAAAUUCUUAUACAUGAUCUGUUGGUUAGCCUUGGGCGGACAGGGGAGGUCCUGUCCGUUCGGCGUCUGUUUGACGCGCCCGGGGCCGGAUCAAAUUAGAAGCGGUCUCGGGGAGUGACAGCGUGAGUAUCCGGAUGUAUUCCCAGCGGAGUUACCGGGACUGCCUCCGGAUCGGGAAGUCGAGUUUGUUAUCGACUUGAUUCCCGGGGCGGCGCCAAUUUUGAAGGCUCCGUAUAGAAUGUGUAAGGGAAGUGAAUUCUCGAAAUCCGAGGAUUUGACUUCGUAUGAAAUCGACUAAUCGUCGAGGGUGUAAGCUUCGGAAAGUCCGAAGAUGCUUAGAAUGCAUGAAGUGCAUUAGCGAAGAGCCCGCGAGAGCAGCAGUGCAAAACCUGCACUAGAGCAGAUUUGCUCUCGGGGACCGGUCCCUGGCAGGGAGGGACUGGUCCCAUCAGGCUGGGCUGGCGGGGACCCUUGUGGCAACCGGUCUCUGGUGGGUAAGGACCGGUUCCCGAACGUUAGCCCAGCGAAAGAAGCCGAAAUUUGGCUAAGUCCCGAAAGUCUAGCUCUCGGGAACCGGUCUCUCGGACAAGGACCGGUCUCCCGGGGACCGGUCUCUCAGGCAGGGACCGGUUCCCGAAUGCGAAAUCCCCUCUGCCCGAUUGUGCAGCUCUCGGGGACCGGUCUCCCCGACCUGGGACUGGUCCCUCACUGCGAAAUUAGCCCAGUGAAGGCUGUUUAGUGGAUGGAAAGUUGAGGAGCUUAUUUGCAAAAUGGCCUAUAUGAAGGCUUGGGGGACCCUUUCUCCCUCUCAUUGCUCUCUUCCUCUCACACCCUUUUGCUCUUUCUCUCUCUAGAAAGGAAAAGAAGGGAAAGAAGAAGGAAAGGAAGAGGAAGGAGAAGACUAAGAAGAAGAAGGAGAUCAUCUUCUUCUCUCCCUCUCUCAAGCUUGAAGCUUUGUUUAGAGGUAAGCACUAAAUCCUUUAAUGGUAUUUCUAGGGUUUGGGGUUUUUGUUUUUUAGAAAUGGUUCGAAUGGAACCUAUUGAAGCUAGGGAGAAGGUUUGAGCUCGAAAUUGAAGCUCGCACAAUGGAUUUCGCCACCGUUGCCAACCUAGGGCACGGAUUUGGGAUUUUUUGGAAAGUUAGGGUUUUGAUCUAUUUUAAUAGGUCGUAAACCUAAUUGAUAGGUCUCUAAACGUGUAGGCGAAAACGGUUCGUCGAUCCGACGAGCGAGUGCGAAGAUAUCGCUGAAACGGAUAUUUGAGAGUUCGCUUUGCCCCGAGGUGCUGAAGCGACGUACGAAGGCCGCGGCGUCGAGUUGUCUAGCCGCGCGGCACUACUAAAAGGUGGGGGAGUGCCAUCCCGAAGCAGUCGAACUGCUCUUUAUGUCUGAGUACUAUUGUCGAUCAAUUUCAUAUUGUAACAUAGCAUUAUAGGGUGUUAAAUGUAAUUGUACAUAUCCUUGCAUGCUAGUGGUAGUUUGGGUCAUGGAUACAAUGUAUGAGAACCUAGUAUGCAUGAGUUGAACACUAUGAGAUAGUUAACCCUAUAUGUGAAGAAUAUGUCUUUGUGAAUAAGAACCUAGUAUAUUGUAAACUAGUGUAUCAAGAACUUGUCAAGGGAACGAGUGGCAUCUAGUUAACCUUAAACAUUGAACGAGUGGCAUUAAGUAGUACCAGAGUGGCAUGAGAACACUAGUAUAGCUGAGAUACUAUGUGAUUGACUACUAGAACACUCGAUUCUAUAUUGCUAUCACCCUUGGUUGGUUAGGGUGUUCCCAGUUCAUGAGAUUGGAUCGAGCUCACUUAGCCUGUCUGCAUCUGUGGAGGUAGCUCCUCACAGGUAGUGCACUCCGGAGUUUGGCACGCGAGGGGGCCAGUGUAGUGCCCUUGGACUAGUGUAGUGUUCGCAGGCGGUCUCGGGGUAGGUGAAUAGCUAGCCUCCUCCCCUAUGAGACUUACACACGUGAGACUGUGAGCGAGCCUUGUGUUCGCCAAGAGAUUGGGUAAUCAGAUGAAUGAUUUCGUUGUUGAACAUAGUAGUAUGAUAGCUGACAUUCUUACCAUGAGUUCCAUGGAUGCAUUUGAGUGGAUUGAGGCAUUGAUAGAUCCUAGUUCAUAGCUGUUCAACACUGCUAUUGCUUUCAGUUCCAUAUACCUAUCUAUCGGCAUAUCUAUCUGUGCCUGCUUAGACCUAGUGGGGAGAUCGGCGGAGUCGGCGGCUGAACCCACUGGGAACUAUUCGUAGUUCUCACUCCACCAUGUUGCAGGUCCGAGUUCGAGCGCCCCCAGUGAGGAUCGCGGCAAGGGUGUAGCGCCCUAGUGGAACAUGUAUAUAGUUAGCUUACCUCCUUUUGCAUUAGCCCUACCUUGUACAAUGUUUGAGAGUAGAUGAUGUAUAGGGUGAGGAUUUGGGAGUGAUUGUAUACAUAUUUUGGACGAAUGUAAAAGAUAAAAUAAUUGUAUAAAGUUUAAUGAGUUAAUAGUUAAGUACAUCUCUCUUUUAUCACUUGUAUGCCUUACAUGUGUUGCUUGCUCUUAGUUGAUAAGCACUGUUUGUGCUUCGUCGUUAAUAUCUGAUUGUGUAUGUAUUCAAGUUGUUUCCUGGGAGCUUGUUGUACACAACCUAGUCGUUUGAGCCUUGGGUGGAUAGAAGAGGUGCUGUCCGUUCGGCGGUCCGUUCGCCGCGCCUGAACCGGACCAAAUUGGUAUCGGUCUCGGGGCGGGGGCGUGACACCUUGAGUACCAAAACAGCGAGCGUCGGCUGGAGCGCGAAAUCGACUCGAAUCGGCGGCUUUUACGUAGAGAGAGAGAGAAAAACCCUAGAGAGAGAGAGAGAGAAGGUGAAAGAAGCUUUCUCUGAGCCUAGCAACCUCCACUGAGCCUCCAGAGUCGUGCUGGAUUCAAAUAGAUGAGAACAAGAGGUGAAAUUACCAAAUUAGCCCUGCUGCCACUUUUCUGCCAUUGUGUACCGGUACACAUUGAUGGCUGUACCUGUACACAAUGCAGAAAACCCUGAUUUUCGCCAGAGCAAUGCACUUUCAUACUUUUACCCAUCCAAUCAUUCUCUAACUUGUAAAAAAAACUUGUCCAAGUCAUUUAGAACAUGUAGAAUAGUUCCACAUAUCAUUCCACACACUCGAACUCUGCAAAUUGCAAAAGUUCAGUGUAUUACAUCAGCGGACUCAGCGGCCGAACCAACUGGUAACUAUUCGAAGUUCUCACUCCACCAUAUUGCAGGUCCGAGCUCGAGCGUCCCCGGUGAGGAUCGCGGCAAGGGCAUAGCGCCCUAGUGAUAUUAGCAGAGGUUUACUUUCCUUUAUGCAUUAGUUACACCCUGUACUUAUUUUGAGCGUAGAUUGAUUGAUAGGGUGAGGUUUUGAGAGGAUUGUAUAUGUUGUACAGGUUUAGAAGAUUGCAAAAUGUAAUAAUUGUAUUAAGUUGAAUGGAUGUAAUAGAAUAGUUAAGUACCACUCUUUCACUCCACUGUAUGGUUGUUUUACUCGUGAUGCUUGCUCUCGUAUUGUAUAGCACUAACUGUGCUUUCGUUGUUGUUGUAUGAUUGUGUAUGUAUGCAAGAUGUUAUUCUGGGAACUUGUUGUACACAAUCUCGUCGUUGUGCCUUGGGCGGACAGGGGAGGUACUGUCCGUACGGCGGUCCGCCGCCGUGCCCGAACCGAACCAAAUUGGUAUCGGCCUCGGGGCGGGGGCGUGACAGAAAAAUUACUAGUUGCAAAGUUAUACUGUUGGGGCGCAACAGAGUAGUCUAUUGUUGUUCCGGUUUUGGUUAUUGUUAAGGUUGACAUCGAUUCGUUUCAAAUUUACACUCUCGAGGCAUAAUAGAACAAUAUAAUUAGGUUUUACUCUUUGUUCGAUAGAAUGAGAAAAAGUACUCAUUGCAAAGUUAUACUGUUAGGGCGCAACCGAAUAGUCUAAUGUUGUUCCGGUUUUGGUUCUUGUGAACGCUGACAUCAAUUGGUUCGAAAUUACAACUCUCGGGGCAUAAUUGAACAAUAUAAAUUAGGUUUUACUCUUUGUUCGAUAGAAUGAGAAAAAGAACUCGUCGCAAAGUUAUACUGCUAGGGGGCAACUGAGUAGUCUAAUAUUGUUCCGGUUUUGGUUCUUGUGAACGUUGACAUCGAUUCGUUCCAAAUUUACACUCUCGGGGCAUAAUAGAACAAUACAAUUAAGUUUUACUCUUUGUUCGAUCGAAUGAGAAAAAGUACUCGUUGCAAAUUUAUAAUAUUAGGGCGCAGCUGAGUAGUCUAAUGUUGUUCCGGUUUUGGUUCUUGUGAAGGUUGACAUCGAUUCGUUCCAAAUUUACACUCUUGGGGCAUAAUAGAACAAUAUAAUUAGCUUUUACACUUUGUUCGAUCGAAUGGGAAAAAAGUACUCGUUACAAAGUUAUACUGUUAGGGCGCAACUGAGUAGUCUAUUGUUGUUCCAGCUUUGGUUCUUAUGAAGGUUGACAUCGAUUCAUUCCAAAUUUACACUCUCGCGGCAUAAUAGAACAAUAUAAUUAGCUUUUACACUUUGUUCGAUUGAAUGAGAAAAAGUACUAGUUGCAAAGUUAUAUUGUUGGGGUACAACAGAGUAGUCUAUUGUUGUUCCGGUUUUGGUUCUAGUGAAAGUUGACAUCGAUUCGUUCCAAAUUUACACUCUCGGGGCAUAAUGAAUAAAAUAAUUAGCUUUUACACUUUGUUCGAUUGAAUGAGAAAAAGUACUAGUUGCAAAGUUAUACUGUUGGGGCGCAACAGAGUAGUCUACUGUUGUUCCGGUUUUGGUUCUUGUUAAGGUUGACAUCGAUUCAUUCCAAAUUUACACUCUCGGGGCAUAAUAGGACAAUAUAAUUAGGUUUUACUCUUUGUUCGAUAGAAUGAGAAAAAGUACUCAUUGCAAAGUUCUACUGUUAGGGCGCAACUGAAUAGCGUUAUGUUGUUACGGUUUUGGUUCUUGUGAACGUUGACAUCGAUUCGUUCGAAAUUACAACUCUCGCGGCAUAAUUGAACAAUAUAAUUAGGUUUUACACUUUGUUCAAUAGAAUGAGAAAAAGUACUCGUCGCAAAGUUAUACUGUUGGGGCGCAACUAAGUAGUCUAAUGUUGUUCCGGUUUUGGUUCUUGUGAACGUUGACAUCGAUUCGUUCCAAAUUUACACUCUCGGGGCAAAAUAGGACAAUAUAAUUAAGUUUUACGCUUUGUUCGAUCGAAUGAGAAAAUGUACGCGUUGCAAAUUUAUACUGUUAGGGCGCAGCUGGGUAGUCUAAUGUUGUUCCGGUUUCGGUUCAUGUGAAGGUUGACAUCGAUUCGUUCCAAAUGUACACUCUUGGGGCAUAAUAGAACAAUAUAAUUAGCUUUUACACUUUGUUCAAUCGAAUGGAAAAAAAUACUCGUUGCAAAGUUAUACUGUUAGGGCGCAGCUUAGUAGUCUAAUGUUGUUCCGGUUUUGGUUCUUGUGAAGGUUGACAUCGAUUCGUUCUAAAUUUACACUCGCGGGGCAUAAUAGAACAAUAUAAUUAGCUUUUACACUUUGUUCGGUCGAAUGGGAAAAAGUACUCGUUGCAAAGUUAUACUGUUAGGGCGGAACUGAGUAGACUAUUGUUGUUCCGGUUUUGGUUCUUGUGAAGGUUGACAUCGAUUCGUUCCAAAUUUACACUCUUGGGGCAUAAUAGAACAAUAUAAUUAGUUUUUACACUUUGUUCGAUUGAUUAAGAAAAAGUACUAGUUGCAAAGUUAUACUGUUGGGGCGCAACAGAGUAGUCUAUUGUUGUUCCGGUUUUGAUUCUUGCUAAGGUUGACAUCGAUUCGUUCCAAAUUUACACUCUCGGGGCAUAAUAGAACAAUAUAAUUUGGUUUUACUCUUUGUUCGAUAGAAUAAGAAAAAGUAGUCAUUGCAAUGUUAUACUGUUAGGGCGCCACUGAAUAGUCUAAUAUUGUUCCGGUUUUGGUUCUUGUGAACGUUGACAUCGAUUCGUUCGAAAUUACAACUCUCGGGGCAUAAUUGAACAAUAUAAUUAGGUUUUACUCUUUGUUCGAUAGAAUGAGAAAAAGUACUCGUCGCAAAGUUAUACUGCUAGGGCGCAACUGAGUAGUCUAAUGUUGUUCCGAUUUUGGUUCUUGUGAACGUUGACAUCGAUUCGUUCCAAAUUUACACUCUCGGGGCACAAUUGAACAAUAUAAUUAGGUUUUACUCUUUGUUCGAUAAAAAGAGAAAAAGUACUCGUUGCAAAGUUAUACUGUUAGGGCGCAACAGAGUAGUCUAAUGUUGUUCCGGUUUUCGUUCUUGUGAACGGUGACAUCGAUUCGUUCCAAAUUUACACUCUCGGGNCUGGGAACUUGUUGUACACAAUCUCGUCGUUGUGCCUUGGGCGGACAGGGGAGGUACUGUCCGUACGGCGGUCCGCCGCCGUGCCCGAACCGAACCAAAUUGGUAUCGGCCUCGGGGCGGGGGCGUGACAGAAAAAUUACUAGUUGCAAAGUUAUACUGUUGGGGCGCAACAGAGUAGUCUAUUGUUGUUCCGGUUUUGGUUAUUGUUAAGGUUGACAUCGAUUCGUUUCAAAUUUACACUCUCGAGGCAUAAUAGAACAAUAUAAUUAGGUUUUACUCUUUGUUCGAUAGAAUGAGAAAAAGUACUCAUUGCAAAGUUAUACUGUUAGGGCGCAACCGAAUAGUCUAAUGUUGUUCCGGUUUUGGUUCUUGUGAACGCUGACAUCAAUUGGUUCGAAAUUACAACUCUCGGGGCAUAAUUGAACAAUAUAAAUUAGGUUUUACUCUUUGUUCGAUAGAAUGAGAAAAAGAACUCGUCGCAAAGUUAUACUGCUAGGGGGCAACUGAGUAGUCUAAUAUUGUUCCGGUUUUGGUUCUUGUGAACGUUGACAUCGAUUCGUUCCAAAUUUACACUCUCGGGGCAUAAUAGAACAAUACAAUUAAGUUUUACUCUUUGUUCGAUCGAAUGAGAAAAAGUACUCGUUGCAAAUUUAUAAUAUUAGGGCGCAGCUGAGUAGUCUAAUGUUGUUCCGGUUUUGGUUCUUGUGAAGGUUGACAUCGAUUCGUUCCAAAUUUACACUCUUGGGGCAUAAUAGAACAAUAUAAUUAGCUUUUACACUUUGUUCGAUCGAAUGGGAAAAAAGUACUCGUUACAAAGUUAUACUGUUAGGGCGCAACUGAGUAGUCUAUUGUUAUUCCAGUUUUGGUUCUUGUGAAGGUUGACAUCGAUUCGUUCCAAAUUUACACUCUCGGGGCAUAAUAGAACAAUAAAAUUAGCUUUUACACUUUGUUCGAUUGAAUAAGAAAAAGUACUAGUUGCAAAGUUAUAUUGUUGGGGUGCAACAGAGUAGUCUAUUGUUUUUCCGAUUUUGGUUCUGGUGAAGGUUGAUAUCGAUUCGUUCCAAAUUUACACUCUCGGGGCAUAAUGAAUAAAAUAAAUAGCUUUUACACUUUGUUCGAUUGAAUGAGAAAAAGUACUAGUUGCAAAGUUAUACUGUUGGGGCGCAACAGAGUAGUUUACUGUUGUUCCGAUUUUGGUUCUUGUUAAGGUUGACAUCGAUUCAUUCCAAAUUUACACUCUCGGGGCAUAAUAGAACAAUACAAUUAAGUUUUACUCUUUGUUCGAUCGAAUGAGAAAAAGUACUCGUUGCAAAAUUAUGCUGUUAGGGCGCAACUGAGUAGUCUAGUGUUGUUCCGAUUUUGGUUCUUGUGAAGAUUGACAUCGAUUCGUUCCAAAUUUACACUCUCGGGGCAUAAUAGAACAAUAUAAUUAGCUUUUACACUUUGUUCGAUUGAAUGAGAAAAAGUACUAGUUGCAAAGUUAUACUGUUGGGGCGCAACAGAGUAGUCUAUUGUUGUUCCGGUUUUGGUUCUUGUUAAGGUUGACAUCGAUUCGUUCCAAAUUUACACUCUCGGGGCAUAAUAGAACAAUAUAAUUAGGUUUUACUCUUUGUUCGAUCGAAUGAGAAAAAGUACUCGUUGCAAAGUUAUACUGUUAGGGCGCAACUGAGUAGUCUAAUGUUGUUCCGGUUUUGGUUCUUGUGAACGUUGACAUCGAUUCGUUCGAAUUUACACUCUCGCGGCAUAAUAGAACAAUAUAAUUAGGUUUUACACUUUGUUCGAUAGAAUGAGAAAAAGUACUCGUUGCAAAGUUAUACUGUUAGGGCGCAACUGAGUAGUCUAAUGUUGUUCCGGUUUUGGUUCUUGUGAACGUUGACAUCGAUUCGUUCCAAAUUUACACUCUCGGGGCAUAAUAGAACAAUAUAAUUAGGUUUUACGCUUUGUUCGAUUGAAUGAGAAAAAGUACUCGUUGCAAAGUUAUACUGUUAGGGCGCAACUGAGUAGUCUAAUGUUGUUCCGGUUUUGGUUCUUGUGAACGUUGACAUCGAUUCGUUCCAAAUUUACACUCUCGGGGCAUAAUAGAACAAUAUAAUUAGNNNNNNNNNNNNNNNNNNNNNNNNNAGAUCGAUUCGUUCCAAAUUUACACUCUCGGGGCAUAAUAGGAAGUUUUUACUUCUUGUUCGAUAGAAUAAGAAAAAGUACUCAUCGCAAAGUUAUACUGUUAUGGCGCAACUGAGUAGUCUAAUGUUGUUCCGGUUUUGGUUCUUGUCAACGUUGACAUCGAUUCGUUCUAAAUUUACACUCUCGACGCUUGAACAAUAUAAUUAGGUUUUACUCUUUAUUCGAUUGAAUGAGAAAAAGGACUAGUUGCAAUGUUAUACUGUUAGGGCUCAACUGAGUAGUCUAACGUUCUUCCGGUUUUGGUUCUUGUGAACGCUGACAUUGAUUCGUUCCGAAUUUACACCCUUGGGGCAUAAAAGAAAGCUUUUACUCCUUGUUCGAUGAUUGAGAAAAAGUACUCAUUGCAAAGUUAUACUGUUAUGGCGCAAUAGAGUAGUCUAAUGUUGUUCCGGUUUUGGUUCUUGUGAACAUUGACGUCAAUUAGUUCCAAAUUUACACUCUCGGGGCAUAAUAGAACAAUAUUAUUAUGUUUUACGCUUUAUUCGAUUGAACGAGAAAAAGUACUCGUCGCAAAGUUAUUCUAUUAGGCGCAACUGAGUAGUCUAAUGUAGUUCCGGUUAUGGUACUUGUGAACGUUGACAUCGAUUCGUUCCAAAUUUACACUCUCGGGGCAUAAUAGAAAGCUUUUACUCCUUGUUCAAUAGAAUUAGAAAAAGUACUCGUUGCAAAGUUAAACUGUUAAGGCACACAGAGUAGUCUAUUGUUGUUCCGAUUUUGGUUCUUGUCAACGUUGACAUCGAUUCGUUCCAAAUUUACACUCUUGGGGUAUAAUAGAACAAUAUAAUUAGGUUUUACUCUUUAGUCGAUUGAAUGAGAAAAAGUACUAGUUGCAAUGUAAUACUAUCAGGGCUCAACUGAGUAGUCUAACGUUGUUUCUGUUUUGGUUCUUGUGAACGUUGACAUCGAUUCGUUCAAAAUUUACACUCUCGGGGAAUAAUAAAAAGCUUUUACUCCUUACUCGAAACAAUGAGAAAAAGUACACGUUGCAAAGUUAUGCUAUUAUGGCGCAACAGAGUAGCCUAAUGUAGUUCCGGUUUUGGUUCUUGUCAACGUUGACAUCGAUUCGUUCCAAAUAUACACUCUCGGGGCAUAAUAGAACAAUAUCGUUUGGUUUUACUCUUUAUUCGAUUGAAUGAGAGAAAGUACUCGUUGCAAAGUUAUACUGUUAUGGCAAAACUGAGUAGUCAAAUUUAGUUCCUGUUUUGGUUCUUGUGAACUUUGACUUCGAUUCGUUCCAAAUUUAUACUCUCGAGGCAUAAUAGAACAAUAUUAUUAGUUUUGCUAUUUGUUCGAUUGAAUGAGAACAAGUUCUAGUUGCAAAGUUAUACUGUCAAGGCUCAACUGAGUAGUCAAACGUUGUUCCGGUUUUGGUUUUUGUGAACGUCAACAUCGUUACGUUGCAAAUUUACACUCUCGGGGCAUAAUAGAAAGCUUUUACACCUUGUUCGAUAGAAAGAGAAAAAGUACUCGUUGCAAAAUUAUAUUGUUAUGGCGCAACAGAGUAGUCUAAUGUUAUUUCAGGUUUGGUUCUUGUGAACAUUGACAUCGAUUCAUACCAAAUUUACACUCUCGGUGCAUAAUAGAACAACAUAAGUAGGUUUUGCUCUUUGUUCGAUUGAAUGAGAAAAAGUACUAGUUGCAAUCUUAUACUGUUAGGGCUCAACUGAGUUGUCUAACGUUGUUUCGGUUUUGGUUCUCGUGAACGUUGACAUCGAUUCNNNNNNNNNNNNNNNNNNNNNNNNNAUACUGUUAUGGCGCAACUGAGUAGUCUAAUGUUGUUCCAGUUUUGGUUCUUGUGAACGUUGACAUCGAUUCGUUCCAAAUUAAAACUCUCCGGUAAUAAUAGAACAAUAUAAUUAGGUUUUGCUCUUUGUUCGAUUGAAUGAGAAAAAAUACUAGUUGCAAAGUUAUACUGUUAGGGCUCAACUGAGUAGUCUAACGUUGUUCCGGUUUUAGUUCGUGCGAACGUUGACAUUGAUUCGCUCCAAAUUUACACUCUCGGGGCAUAAUAGAUAGCUUUUACUCCUUAUUCGAUAGAAUUAGAAAAAGUACUCGUUGCAAAGUUAAACUGUUAAGGCGCAACUGAGUAGUCUAGCGUUGUUCCAGUUUUGGUUCUUGUGAACGUUGACAUCGAUUCGUUCCAAAUUUACACUCUCGGGGUAUAAUAGAACAAUAUAAUUAGGUUUUACUCUUUGUUCAAUUGAAUAAGAAAAAGUACUGGUUGCAAUGUCAUACUGUUAGGGCUCAACUGAGUAGUCUAACGUUCUUCCGAUUUUGGUUCUCGUGAACGUUGGCAACGAUUCGUCCCAAAUUUACACUACCGGGGCAUAAUAGAAAGCUUUCACUCCUUGUUCGAUAGAAUGAGAAAAAGUACUCGUUCCAAAGUUAUACUGUUAUGGCGCAACAGAGUGGUCUAAUGUUGCUCCUAUUUUGGUUCCUGUGAACGUUGACAUCGAUUCGUUCCAAAUUUACAAUCUCGGGGCAUAAUACAACAAAAUUAUUAGGUUUUACGCUUUAUUCGAUUGAACGAGAAAAAGUACUCAUCGUAAUGUUAUACUGUUAUGGCGUAACUGAGUUGUCUAAUGUUGUUCCGGUUAUGGUUCUUGUGAACGUUGACAUCGACUCGUUCUAAAUUUACACUCUCGGGGCUCGAACAGUAUAAUUAGGUUUUACUCUUUGUUCAAUUGAAUGAGAAAAAGGACUAGUUGCAAUGUUAUACUGUUAGGGCUCAACUGAGUAGUCUAACGUUAUUCCGGUUUUGGUUUUUAUGAACGCUGACAUCGAUUCAUUCCAAAUUUACACCCUUGGGGCAUAACAGAAAGCUUUUACUCCUUGUUCAGUAGAUUGAGAAAAAGUACUCAUAGCAAAGUUAUACUGUUAUGGCGUAAUAGAGUAGUCUAAUGUUGUUCCGGUUUUGGUUCUUGUGAACGUUGACAUCGAUCAGUUCCAAAUAUACACUCUCGGGGCAUAAUAGAACCAUAUUAUUAGGUUUUACGCUUUAUUCGAUUGAACGAGAAAUAGUACUCGUCGCAAAGUUAUACUGUUAUGGCGCAACUUAGUAGUUUAAUGUAGUUCCGGUUUUGGUUCUUGUGAACGUUGACAUCGACUCGUUCUAAAUUUACACUGUCGGGGCUCGAACAGUAUAAUUAGGUUUUACUCUUUGUUCGAUUGAAUGAGAAAAAGGACUAGUUACAAUGUUAUACUGUUAGGGCUCAACUGAGUAGUCUAACGUUAUUCUGGUUUUGGUUUUUGCGAACACUGACAUCGAUUCGUUCCAAAUUUACACCCUUGGGGCAUAAUAGAAAGCUUUUACUCCUUGUUCAGUAGGUAUUGGAGCAACAUUACCUAUUGAUAAAUCCCUAACUUUAGGUCUUUUUCAAAUUGAUUCAACCGCGAAGUACCAUGAUGUAGUUCCCAAGAUCCUAGUUACUUCAAAGUGAAUCUUCCCUAGAUACAUUAAUUUGAUUAUGAUCUAUUCCGCGAAAAUACGGAUUGUGCCAAAGAUGCAAAAUUGUUUUCUUUUUUUCUUUAGAAUUUUCUUUCUAUUAGAAUUAGAAAAAGAAGAUGAAAAAAUUACAAUGGAUUUAAAAUGAGAACUUAUUCUUAGGUAAAUCAAUUGCGAAAUGCUUCUGUAGAGUGUCCAAUAUUUGUUUUACAUCUUCCAUGCGAAAAUAUUCAAUUCUCAUAAGAUCUUCUUGACUGUUACUCAAAAGGUCCAAUAAUGUAUGUAUAUUGGACCUUUUGAGACAAUUAUAGGUCCUGGAAGGCAAUUCUAAUUGGUCAAUAAAAAUACAAUUCAAUGGAAUUCCUUUUUUGUUUUUCUUUAGAUUAGUUAAUCUAUCUUGAAAGGUUAAAAAGGGUAGAGUAAACCUGUUUUUAUUUUCUUCGAAAUUAAUGUCCUCUUCCUCCGCAUGUAGAAAAGGAAUAAAUAAAUCAAUCAAAUUACGAGAAGCCUCAUAAAGUGCUUCCUUAGGAGUUAAACUUCCAUUUGUCCAUAUUUCUAGAAAAAGUAUCUCUUGUUUUUCAUUCCCAUUCCCAUAAGAAUGAAUACUAUGAUUCGCAUUUCGAACAGGCAUGGAUACAGCAUCUAUAGGAUAACUUACAUCUUGAGAGUCAUUUAUGGGUUCCAUACGAUAUCCGCGAUCUCUCUUGAUUUGUAAUCCAAUACACAAAUCAAUUGGUUCCGUCAGGUUAGCUAUAUGUUGUGUCGUGUCAACUAUUUCUACGGAAGGUGGUGAGAUGAUAUCUUGAGCGGUUACGUAUCUAGGACCCCUNNNNNNNNNNNNNNNNNNNNNNNNNNNNNNNNNNNNNNNNNNNNNNNNNNNNNNNNNNNNNNNNNNNNNNNNNNNNNNNNNNNNNNNNNNNNNNNNNNNNUGCAAAUGGUUCAUUACUGUAGAAAGCUAUUACAUGUUGAUUACAUGCUUAUUACUUAUUAGCAUCAUGCUUAUAAAUCAUGCAAUUAUUGUUAUUGCUUUCAUUUAGUACAUCUUGAGCCUAGUGGUGUAAUUCGCCGAGGCUGGCGGCUUACCCACUGGGAACUAUUGUUAAUAGUUCUCACGCCCUUUUGGUGGUUGUUUUUACAGAGCCAUCUACUGGAGAGGCUAGGGAUCGUGGCAAGGGAGUCGCGCCUAGCUAGGGACUACUAGGAGCGUGCUAGUCGAUCACCUUGCUACUCGGGCUACGGCCGAGGGUGAUGUCCCUAUGUAUAGAUAGACCACCGUUGUACCUAUUCUUUUGUAUACCCCGAGAUGUAUAUGUACUUUUGGACAGUCACUUUAGUUGUGAUACUCAUCUUUUGGUUGAGAUUUUUUGGACUAUACUCCUUUACUCUAUUGUUGACUUGUACUUUGCUCUGAUAUCAGGAUAGAAUUUUCUAUGAUCUUCUUCCUAUCGACUUGCUUGUUUGUAGACGCCUUAUAUACUGCAGGUGUAUGGCGGGUCUGUUCACGUACCGAAUGUGCUUCCGCUGGUACCCGGGCGUGACAGCUCAGGGCCAAUCGCGCCAUCUCAGGCUGGCGCGGCAUCAUCGCACAUCCCGCCGACACGGCCGUCGGUGGAACUCCUCCAUAGUAGGCCGGAAUCGCCAGCGCCGAUACAGUGGAUGGGGCAGGUGAGGCUCCUCCUCCCGGGCAAUCACAUAUGAAGUGCCCCGGUUGCCCGCACUUGUAGCACUUGCCUUGGCGCUGCUCACAACGCGACACCAGGUGGUCUCCACCACAUAUGAUGCACCGUCGCGCUCUACUGCCCUUUGGCUGAGUCCGCGGAUACUUCGGGGGCUUCUUGGAACGUGCUUGUCCUCCCGAACCGCCGCCUUGACACUUCUUGCCUUUGUCCUUGAACUUGGCCAACAUCUCGCGCUUCUCCCGAACAUGGGCGUCACCGUGCUCCGCCCAGAGUGCUUGGUCAAAGACCUUCCCGCGAAGGUUGUGAGCUUGAAUAUCUGCACAGCCUUGUAGAUCCCCGGCCGAAGUCCUCGCAAGAACCAAUCGGCCCAGUCCCGGUCAUCUCGUAUUACGUCCGGGACACAGUCAAUGAUGUGAGAGAACUCUUGCUCAUACUCCACUACUGAGCGGUCCCCCUGCUCCAACUUGCGGAACUUUUCCUGGAGCUUCCGCUUCAAUGUGUCGGGGAAAUAAUUGGCGAACAUCGCCCUCUUGAAUUCCUCCCACAGUAUUGGCGGAAGGUCGGGAAGUCGAUCCCGUUUGACGCGCUUCCACAAGACCAUCACCGCUAUUUCCAAGCAGUGGGUAGCUAGAUACACCCUAUCUNCCUUAAGAGGCUUGGGGACUUGUACUACUUGAGAAUGAUUCGGCUAAUGUCAUAAAGGGGCAUUGAGCUCGGGUUAAAUGAGAACCUAGUACUAAUGUCAUGAAUGGAACAUAGAAUACGAAAUGUGUUUAACUUAUAACAAACUUAAGUGUCAUAAAGAGGCACUAAGCAUAGUGAGUGUUGGAACAUCACCUUGAGACAUUGAACUAGAUCUUUGGGAUGCUAGUGGCUUUGACCAUAUUAGAGACAUGAUGAUUGGACACUUAAGACAUUGACUAUGCUUGCUUGCUAUUUAUGCUCAUUCGCACACGCUUGUGAGGGUCGCUCCCUACAAGCUGGCACUCCGGAGUUGACCUAUGCGACUUAUGUUCGCUCGUGCGGUAUCGAGAAACCUACGGGGUCGGGAGGGAUAGACUUAUUCCUAGAGUGGGAAUGCUGGAGCUACCACCGACACUUAGGCGGCACAAGCUGGACUACACUUGUGUAGGUCCCAAAAUAAGAUUGAACAAUGACAGCAAUUCAUAAAAGUUAAUCACUACUAGAUAGGGAGUAGUAGUUGGAUUACCUUGACAUAUAUGCUUGUAGCAUAGCGUUGGGACAUGUGGUAUACUUGAUAGUUUACUUGUUGCAUUAUAGUAUACUUGGUUGUUAUGAUAGAGCAUAUUCAUAACAUAAUGAUAUAUUGGAUCAUGAUAUCUACUUGCUCGUUAUGUUGGGUUAUAUUAGUCAUGCUAUGGACAUACUUCAUUUUUGAUAGGGUAGAUGUACAACACAUUGACAUCAUGUUUACUUGUGACAUAGUAAUACAGCAUUUUAUUUAUGCUUUUACUAAAUGCAAUCUAUUUAUUAUUAUUAUUGCUUUUUGGACUUACCCUUUUUUUUUGGACCUAGUGGUGCAUUGAGUUGAGGUCAGUAAUUACCCACUGGGAACUAUAACUUAUAGUUCUCACGCCCUCUGUUUCAUGUUUUUAUUUCAGAGCCUUCCACGCCGAGAGAGGCUAGGGACCACGGAAAGGGAAUUGCCUCCAGCUAGCUUGCUUUGAGGGACGCGUCGAUCGGUAGUCUACCUCUCGUUGUUUACUUUUUUUUUGGAGAGGUUGAGAGUUGUACCCAUGUAUAGAGACCACCCCUUUUGUACCUUUUUGGAGAGGAUUACUUGUAUAACUCUAUGUUUUACCUUUAUUGUUUAGUUACGCUUUAUUUACUUUUGUUAUAGAUGAUAGAUAUAUACUUGCUCUGAUAUCUCUAGCUGUAGAUUAUCUUUGAUUUUAUUUCCGCUGUUGUUGUAGAUGCCUUAUAUGUGUAGAUAUAUGGCAGGUCUGGGCACGCUUCCGGUAGGGCCUCCGCCGGUCCUAGAGUGUGAUAGAUUAAUUUGGUAUCAGAGCCUAGGGUUGAGUCUUAGUGGACCUAGCAAACCUUAGGCCAGUUGGACCAUAGGAUAUAGGCUCGUAAGAGACGAGAUCUAUUUGACUUGUAAGCGAAAGUAUUUCGAUUGGGUUUUAUGAUAACUCUAAAAAGUUAGAGUUGAAUCGGAGUGUAUGGCUUCUAACUUCGCGAAGGGUUACAUUGGCGGCUGACAACGUAACAUCGGGAGUUAGUAGUGAAGAACACUUCCUUACUUUCGCAAGAUUUGGAUUUUAUUUACUUGAGCGGGGAUGCGAUAGCGUGGGUUGUACUAACUUGCGCUUUUAUGAUGUUGUAGAGACGAUGUCGAUUACACGCUCCCAAUCUGCCAGAGCGGAUGAUGCGGCACACCUCGAGGAGGUUGAGACCUCCGCUACUUCCGGAUCUAGCGAGGUCCGUGACUUGAGGUUCCAGCCUGCGGUCCUCACUGAUCUUGUAGCGCAGCAGGCGGCGGCUGCUCAGCGACAGGCCGAGGUAGCAUAGCGGCAGGAGGCGCGGAUGAAGCACGUAAAGAAUCUCUUACUACAGCAGGUGGUAGCUUCUAGGGAGACUCAGGUUCCCACACCACCAGCGCCCAUUGUGGACAUCGUGCCGAGGGCGCAAUCCCCCGCGCCUGGUUUUUCCCGUGUGGUGCCCGAGACCACACCUCGGGAGGAGGUGGUUGCAGCACUACGGGCUCAGAUACCUGCGGCGAGGGUAGCUUUCCCUGUGAUGGCCGAGGGAGCCGAGCGAGAUCGGCUCAUGGAUCGCCUCAACGAGUUCAGGAGAUGCAAUCCGAGGAUCGUUGACGGCGAAAAGGUCGACCACUGGAUAGUUGAGAAGUAGUUGAUGCACAUGGAGAAGCUUUUUCGAGAUACCUUCAUUAAGGAAAGGGAUAGGGUUUGGCUCGCCACACAUCACUUGGACGGCGAGGCCUACCGUUGGUGUUUGGAUAUCCAGGACAACCCCAAUACUGAUUUGGCAGCAAUUUCUUGGACUAGGUUCAAGGAGCUUCUUCUAGCGCACUACUUCCCUACCAGCGUCAAGAGGAAGAUGGAGCAGGACCUGCGCAGCUUGCGCCAGGAGGAGCGGACAGUGGCCGAGUACGAGAGGGAGUUUUCUCGGCUACUCCAUUAUGUACCUUUUGUGGUUCGGGAUGACAAGGAGGCCCGCAUUUUUUAGCCUGGAUUGCGGCCUUCGAUCUUUCGGUUGGUGCAGUCCUCCAACCUCCAAACCUACCGGGGGGUUGUGAACCGUGCACUCAUUGUGGAGGCUGGAGCGGCAGACCUUCAAGAGCGUCGCGAAGGCUUGGAGAAGGGGAAGAGCAAGAGGCCUACGGCUGAGGGUGCGAGCCAGACACACUUGCGGAGGCCGCCGAGGCACCCCAGGAGCCGGAGCCAGUCGCGGGGACGUGGCUCAUCUACUUUGCUUUUCGAGUUUCGCAGACGAAACUCCUUUUUAGGAGGGGUGAAUGUAACACACUGGACUUUCGCAAAUUGCAAGGUUCGAGUGUUUGGGUUUGCUGUUCCGAGCUUUUUCCAUACUUGGUGGAGAGUCGUAGACUGCAUUCCGACCAAAAAGUUCGAAAUCUGAAUUUCUUACGAAUCCUGAGAUUUUCACUCUCGGGGACCGGUCCCUGGUGGGAGAGACCGGUCCCCCACGGCGAAGCAACCGGUCCUCGGCUGGGGAGAUCAGUUCCCGAGAGUUGGUUUUGCGGGAGGGUCCCAAGGGACCGGUCCCAACUGGGAGAGACCGGUCCCUCUGGGCGAAAACUACCCAGUUCGAGCUGAUGCAGAGGAUGAAAAGUAGAGGGACUUUUCUAGAUUUUGUUACAAUAGAGGGCCUAUAUGGCCAUUUCACUUCUCUCUCUCCCUCAUUUCACACUCUCCCUUACAUCUUAGAGAGAGAAGGAGAUGAAGGAAAAAGAAAAAGAGUUUGUUUGAGGACUUGGAGCUUCACCCUCUUCCUCUCCCUCCCUUCCCACCUUGUUGGUGCUUGGAGGUUUGGGCUUGAAGCUUGCUAGAGAGGAGAUCUUCACUCUUGGAGCUUGGAUUGGAGCUUCUAAAGAGGUUAGUUGCUUGUUCCUCCCCUUUAGAUUUUAGGGUUUAUUUUGGAGCUUUUUAUUUGGAGGCUUUUGGGGCUAAUCUAAUGGGAUUAAAACCUUGGUUUAGGUUGCUUUGGAAGGGAUUUGACUUUCAUUUGAGUUUUGAAGAGGGAUUUCUUCACUAUAGGUGAGAUUUUGGCCCUUUUGUCUAGUUGGUUAAUGAUUGAGCUAGUAGUUGUUCGUUUACGGCNAGGUGUGCUAAUGCAAAAGGAAAGCUACUACUCUACCAAUAAUCCUCACUGGUCGGUUGCGAUGCCCUUGCCACGGUCCUCGUCUGGCAAACCUGUACCUAGCCCUGGAAAUAGAGUGGGGUGAGAACUAUCUUCCAUAGUUUCCAGUGGGCUCGGCCACCGACUCCGCCGAUCUCCCCACUAGGUCCAAGUGGGCACAAGUAACAACGAGAUAGAUAGAUAUAUAUAUCAAAGCUGUAAAGACAUAAUAGGAAAACUAUGCUACUAUGCCCAUAAUCAUGUGAAAUGAAUGCAUGCAUCAUUUAGUAAAAGUUUACUAUCAUGCUAACAAGUUCGAUCCAUAUUCGAUAAGCAAUGUUUGAUGACAAUGUUAACUUUUCAUUACCCAAUAAGUGGCGAAACCCUUGGUUUGCCGACGCCUCACAUAUCCAUCCCAUUGGGUAAGGAGGCUCCAUGUGUCCCCGAACCCGGGACUGUCUACGGACAUCAACUCUGUCCUAAUCGCCCGGCACUCCGGAUCGACGAUUGUAACACACUGGACUUUCGCAAAUUGUAAGGUUCGAGUGUUUGGGUUUGGUGGUCCGAGCUUUUCUCACACUUGGUAGAGGAUCGUAGACUGCAUUCCGACCAAAAAGUUCGAAAUCUGAAUUUCUGGACAAGUCCUGAGAUUUUUACUCUCGGGGAUCGGUCCCUGGUGGGAGAGACCGGUCCCCUAUGGCGAGGCAACCAGUCCCCAGCUGGGGAGACCGGUUCCCGAGAGCUGGUUUUGCGGGAAGGUCCUGAGGGACCGGUCCCAGCUAGGAGAGACCGGUUUCUCUGGGCGAAAACUGUCCAGUUCGGGCUGAUGCAGAGGAUGAAAAGUAGAAGGACUUUUCUGGAUUUUGUUGCAAUAGAGGGCCUAUAUGGCCAUUUCACUUCUCUUUCCCUCAUUUCACACUCUCCCUUGCAUCUUAGAGAGAGAAGGAGAAGAAAGAGAAGAAGGAAGAAGAAGAAAAGCUUGUUUGAGGACUUAGAGCUUCACCCUCUUCCUCUCCCUCUCUUCCCACCUUGUUGGUGCUUGGAGGUUUGGACUUGGAGCUUGCUAGAGAGGAGAUCUUCACUCUUGGAGCUUGGAUUGGAGCUUCUAAAAAGGUUAGUUACUUGUUCCUCCCCUCUAGACCUAGUUUUGGUGGAUUUUGGAAGAUGAAACCGUAGAUUUGGAUUUUAAGAUUUAUUUUGGGGCUUUUUGUUUGGAGGCUUUUGGGGCUAAUCUAAUGGGAUUAGAACCUUGGUUUAGGUUGCUUUGGAAGGGAUUUGACUUUCAUUUGAGCUUUGGAGAGGGAUUUCUUCACUAUAGGUGAGAUUUUGGCCCUUUUGUCUAGUUGGUUAAUAAUUGAGCUAGUAGUUGUUCGUUUACUCCUUGUAGCUCACUUUUUGAUGCUUCUAGGGUGCUAGGAGCGUAGUGGACAUCUUCGUUGGAGCAAACGAAGAGUUACGCGUUGUUCGGUGGGUUUGACCUAGCCUACAAUAUAAAAAAUGCUCAUAUUUGGUGAUUUAUACUUCGUAAAGUGAAAAUUCAAACAUUUUUAUGUUAAAUGUAUUUAUUGUGAAUUUUAGAAUGCUUAACAUCCCUAUGUCAUGUACAAUGAAUUUUCGGAUCUCUAUGUAGUAGAGAAUUGUAUGUGAGGCUUAUACUAGCAUUCGGCAUUCUUAUGUUUGACUUGGGACCAUGUUUCUUACAAUGAAAAUGAGCAUUGUGUAGUGCACUUAAACCUAUGCAUGUUAGAGACAUGAGAGAUAGCUAAUGCCAUAAAGAGGCAUCGGACUAGACUAUUAUGGAAAAAUUUGGAGCUAAUGUCAUAAAGCGGCAUUGAGCUCGGGUUAUGUGUGAACCUAGUACUAUUGCCAUGAAGGGACAUAGAAUGUGGAUUGUACUUGGGUUACCAUAAGGCUUAAGUGUCACAAAGAGGCACUAAACAUAGUACGUGUUGGAACAUCACAUUGAGACUUUGAUCUAGACCGAUGGGUUACUAGUGCUACUACCAUGUUAGAGGCAUGAUGAUUGGAUAUUUGAGCUAUUGAUUACGCUUGUUUGCCAUUUGUGCUCAUUCACACAUGCUUGUGAGGGUCGCUCCCUACAAGCCGGCACUCUGGAGUUUGCCUACGCGACUUAUGUUCGCUCGUGCGGUAUCGAGAAACCUACGGGGUCGGAAGGGAUAGACUCAUUUCCAGAGUGGGAAUGCUUGAGCUACCACCGACACUUAGGCGACACAAGCUGGACUAUACUUGUGUAAGUUCCAGAUGAGAUUGAACCAUGAUAUCAACUUACAAAAGUUAAUCACUACUAGAUAGGGUAUAGUAGUUGGAUACUUGGACAUGCUUACCGCAUAGUGGUGGAUAUUGCGAUAGACUCAUAGUAUACUUGAUAGUAUUACAUUUUAGUAUGCUUGUUGCCAUCAUAGAACAUUCGAACUAUGCAUUGGGCUUAUUUCAUCUUGAUAGAAUGGUUACAUAUCAUAUAUCUUAUGGCAUAGUAGUAUUGCAUUUCAUAUAUGCUUUCAAUUCAACAGCUUAUUAUUGUCUAUUACUAUCGUUACUUACCCCUUUUCUUUGGGCCUAGUGGUGCAUUGUGCUCAGGUCAGUAAUUGCCCACUGGGAACUAUAAAUUAUAGUUCUCACACCCUCUGUUUUAUGUUCUUAUUAUAAAGCCUUCCACUCCUGGCGAGGCUAGGGACCGCGGAAAGGGUAUCGCCACGAGCUAGCUUGUGAGCGAGGGACGUUCGAUAGGUGGUCUACCUCUUCUUUGUUUUUUUUUUGGGAGAGGAUGAGAGUUGUACCUUGUAUAGAGACCACCCUUUUUGUAGUACUUUUGUGAUAAUUCUUGUACUUACUUUAUCUUUAUGUCUAGUAGUUUACUUUCCCCUUUCUCUGCUUGUUGUUAGUUGUUAGCUGUUAGUAGCUCUGAUAUCUCUAGUGACUUUAUUUCUUCUUGCUUCCAUAUCUCUUUUGUUGUAGACGCCUUAUAUGUGCAGGCAUAUGGCGGGUCUGGGCACGCACCGGGCGGGCCUAUGCCGGGUCCCGGGGCGUGACAGAUUAAUUUGGUAUCAGAGCCUAGGGUUGAGUCUUAGGGGACCUAGCAAACCUUAGGCCGGUCGGAUUAUAGGAAAUAGGCUCGUGAGAGACAAGGUCUAUUUGAUUUGUAGGCGAAAGUAUCUUGAUUGGGUAUCUUGACAACUCCGAAAGGUUGGAGUUUGACUGAAGUAUAUGGCUUCUAACUUCGCGGAGGGUUACGUUGGCGGCCGACAACGUAUCAUCGGGAGUUAGUAGUGAAGGACACUUCCUUACUUUCGCAUGAUUUGGGGUUCGGUUAUCUUGAGUAGGGUUGCGAUAGCGCGGGUUACUAACUUGCCCUUUUAUGCUUUGUAGUGACGAUGCCGAUUACACGCUCCCAAUCUGCUGGAGCGGAUGAUGCGGCACACCACGAGGAGGUCGAGACCUCCGCUACUUCCGGAUCUAGUGAGGUCCGCGACUGAGGGUGCGUGUAAUAUACCGAAAAUUCGGAAAAUAAAAUGUCGAACUUUAGUCAAAUUGACCAAAGUGCGAGGAUGGUACACUUCGGAAAGUCCGAAGGUGUUAAAANUACAUCUUCGUUGAAGCAAACGAAGAGUUACGCGUUGUUCGGUGGGUUUGACCUAGCCUACAAUAUGAAAAAUGCUCCUAUUUGGUGAUUUAUGGCUUCGUAAAGUGGAAAUUCAUGCAUAUUCAUACUAAAUGUAUUUAUUGUGAAUUUUAGAAUGAUUAACAUCCCUAUGUCAGAUACAAUAAAUUUUUGGACCUCUAUGUAGUAGAGAGUUGCAUGUGAGGCUUAUACUAGCAUUCGGCAUUCUUAUAUUUAACUUGGGAUCAUGUUUCUUACAAUGAAAAUAAGCAUUGUGUAGUGCACUUAAACCUAUGCAUGUUAGAGACAUGAGAGAUAGCUAAUGCCAUAAAGAGGCAUCGGACUAGACUAUUAUGGAAAAAUUUGGAGCUAAUGUCAUAAAGCGGCAUUGAGCUCGGGUUAUGUGUGAACCUAGUACUAUUGCCAUGAAGGGACAUAGAAUGUGGAUUGUACUUGGGUUACCAUAAAAGGCUUAAGUGUCACAAAGAGACACUAAACAUAGUAAGUGUUGGAACAUCACAUUGAGACUUUGAUCUAGACCGAUGGGUUACUAGUGCUACUACCAUGUUAGAGACAUGAUGAUUGGAUACUUGAGCUAUUGAUUACACUUGUUUGCCAUUUGUGCUCAUUCGCACAUGCUUGUGAGGAUCGCUCCCUACAAGCCGGCACUCCGGAGUUGGCCUACGCGACUUAUGUUCGCUCGUGCGGUAUCGAGAAAUCUACGGGGUUGGGAGGGAUAGACUCAUUUCCAGAGUGGGAAUGCUGGAGCUACCACCGACACUUAGGCGGCACAAGCUGGACUACACUUGUGUAGGUCCCAAAUGAGAUUGAACCGUGAUAUCAACUUACAAAGGUUAAUCACUACUAGAUAGGGUAUAGUAGUUGGAUACUUGGACAUGCUUACCGCAUAGUGGUGGAUAUUACGAUAGACUCAUAGUAUACUUGAUAGUAUUACAUCUUAGUAUGCUUGUUGCCAUCAUAGAACAUUCGAACUUUGCAUUGGGCUUAUUUCAUCUUGAUAGAAUGGUUACAUAUCAUAUAUCUUGUGGCGUAGUAGUAUUGCAUUUCAUACAUGCUUUCAAUUCAGCAACUUAUUAUUGUCUAUUACUAUCGUUACUUACCCCUUUUCUUUAGGCCUAGUGGUGCAUUGUGCUGAGGUCAGUAAUUGCCCACUGGGAACUAUAAAUUAUAGUUCUCACGCCCUCUGUUUUAUGUUCUUAUUACAGAGCCUUCCACUCCGGGCGAGGCUAGGGACCGCGGAAAGGGUAUCGCCACGAACUAGCUUAUGAGCGAGGGACGUUCGAUAGGUGGUCUACCUCUUCUUUAUUUUCUUUUUGGGAGAGGAUGAGAGUUGUACUUUGUAUAGAGACCACCCUUUUUGUAGUACUUUUGUGAUAAUUCUUGUACUUACUUUAUCUUUAUGUCUAGUAGUUUACUUUUUCCUUUCUCUACUUGUUGUUAGUUGUUAGCUGUUAGUAGCUCUGAUAUCUCUACUGACUUUAUUUCUUCUUGCUUCCAUAUCUCUUUUGUUGUAGACGCCUCAUAUGUGCAGGCAUAUGGCGGGUCUGGGCACGCACCAGGCGGGGCCUAGGCCGGGUCUCGGGGCGUGACAACAAUAAUCCUCUCCAUGUGAGAAUAUGGAUGGCUUUACCAUCCCGAAUAACAGACCGUGAGCUUGAUCUAUCCUCUCCACAUGAGGAUACCCUACGAACUGGGGCCAACAUUUCUCUCGGAACUCACCUAUUCCGACAUUCAUGCAAAGUUACUUAGCUCUACUAAGUUCAUUGUUCACGAGUCAUUUUUUAGGGAAUCCACCUAUCACUAAGUUCACGAACCUCUAGUGUCAAAAACACUACAUAAUGCGACUCGUUCUGUUCUUUAAACAUUUAUAUGCCACUCUCUAUGUCACUAAAUAACCAUCGAGUUCAUCUCUUUCUUUUAGCACUAUAGGAUCCAUGUUCCGACCCAAUCCUUACCUAUCCAUUUUACCAAGUAUUCCAUGUACACUAGGUUAACAUUUAGAAGCAUAAGGAAAAGGUACUACAAUGCAAUCCUACAAUACCACAUGCAAGAGAUGAAAAUCAUAUAUUUCUAAGACAUAGAAAAGAGCUCGGUUGCUUCGGGAUGAAACCCCCCACCUUUUGAGGGUACGAAGGUUCUAGAAACGCUUCCCAACGAACGUUACGACGAUGUCUCGGCCUCCUUGGUCCAAAACGAUGCUCAAUCGGCUAUAUUUCGCCGAUAGCUUUUCACCCGCUCGACUAACCGAAAAUCCGACUUCGCCCCCGCGUUUAGACACCUAUCAAUUAGGUUUACAAGCCACUAAAGGAGAUCAAUCUCAUGUAUUUCCAAAAACCCCUAUUUGGGUGCCCUAGGGUUCACAUCUUGCAAUUAGCACUAUAGAACCCUAGCUUCUAGCCCUAUUCCACCAUUAAUGGUGCUAGAGGUCUAUUUGACCUCAUCUCAAAAGCCAAAAACCCAAAAACACUAAGUUCUACCAUUAGGGCUCAAGAGCUUACCUCUAGGUUAGCCCGAAUAGAGAGGGGAGGAAAAGGAGAAGAUGCUCCAAGCCUUCCCUAGCUUGCUCUCCUUCUUCUUCUUCUUCUCCUUCCUUUCUCCUUCUUCUUCUCCUUCUUUUCUUCUCUUUCUUUUCUUCUAGAGAGAGAGGAGAGAGAGAUGAGAGUUGGGAAGGAAAUGAGAGAGGGAGGGAGAGCCCUUUGCUCUCUAUACUCUCUAACUAAGGGAUAAUUGCAGCCAAGGCCCUCAACUUUUCAUUUCUCAAACUGCUCUGCCUGGGCAGUUUUCGCGCGGAGGGACCGGUCCUUCCCUGCCAGGGACCGGUCCCUGAGGACCUUCCAAAAUUCACGCGUACGGGAACCGGUCCUUGCCCGAGAGACCGGUCCCUAGAAGACCGGUCCUUGCCUGAGAGACCGGUUCCCGAGAGUGGAAAUUCUCAGGACUUAGCCAAAUUUUUGCUGUCUCGCUGGUUUCACUUACGGGGACCGGUCCCUCAGGCCUGGGACCGGUUGCAUCAAGGAUCCACCGCAACCACCAGCUACGGGGACCGGUCCUUCCUGCUAGGGACCGGUCCCCGAGAGCAAACUCUGUCCAGUGCAGACUUUUGCAUUAUUUGCUCUCGCGGACUCAACUCCAAAGCACUUUUUGUGUUUUGGACAUCUCUAGCUUCUCCAAAGCCUACUCACUCGACAAUUAGUCGAUCCUGAACGAAGUAUAACUCUCGGAUUUCGAGAAUUCACUUCCUUACACAGGCCUUCAUAUGUAGGUACAACUCCAACAUCUAGAUACAAAUACAGCAAAUCAAAUAGCAAUUUCGAGCAUGCCAGUGGUUUGCAUUUGUACUUGGGGUGAAAAAUACAAGCAACAAAACACCCCGUCCCCUUCUAGAGAAAUUAAAAUUCGGAGGAAGAUAGGAUUAGAGGGGUAAAUAUCCAACGAUAUUGCAAAAUUAACCAUCGAGAAUAGGAAAGAGAAAACAAUGAUAAAGGAACCAAAUUUAAACAAGGCGACGAAUCCCGAUGCUAGUAACUAGGCACAAGAAGAGAAAACAACAAGCCUGAUAAUAAAAGUGAGAGAUGAAAGAAACAUAUAAAUAGUAACAUGAAGAGGGUGACAUCCACGAACAAAAGAGUAUAUGGUUGAUAAAUUUGGCGUGUCACACCUAAUAAAAGAGGCAGGUUAAUAAAUUCGACCUAAUUGUUAGUAUAGUUGUACUGAAUGUCACACAUCUUUGAGACAAAUCUUUGAUGUUGGUUUUGGAGGAAAAGUAUUUAAUUAUGUGGAAAAUAAGUAAUAGGAGUCUAUAAUAGAUAAGAAAAAAGAGUCUUAAUCAUAUAAAAUAAUACAACCGUGAUUGGAUUUCAAUUGUCCCCCAUGAUUACAAUGAAGGAGAAGAACUCCUUUUAUAGCCUUCAAUUGUGAGAAUUCUAGAUCUAAAUUUUCAGAAUUUACAAUUAAUAGCUUUAGAAGUUUCUUAUUCAAUUUGUAACUCUAAAAAUUGCUAACUCCACAUGACAAUUUACUUCUUGAGAAACUCUCGAGAUUCGAUUUCAAAACCACGCAAUUAGGAUCCCUCAUGUUCUUUAAAAUUAAAGGGAAAAAUAAGAUUCAAUCUUUACCUUUACGCGGAUAAAUCUUCAUCUCAACUUGAUGAUCGUGAAAUUAGGUUCUCUUGAAACCGCACACGCGUCCGCCCUCUAUAGGUAUCCACACGAGGUUGGUGAUUUGAUCGAUAUCCUCACCGAAGUGCUAGCUCCUUCACAAAGGACGUCCUUCUUGCUAGAAGAUGGAAGAGAGAGGAGAAGAGAAAUGACGGAUAGGAUUUUUUAAAAACUCUCGUAAGUUAUAUAUAAGGAUAUAUAUCCUUUUUCUUAAUAAUAUAAUGGCCAUUAAAGAAAAGUACAAAUCUAGAUUUAAAUUCAUUCUUUCCUUAAUUGAUUAGAUCAAUCAAAUCCUAAUUUGAUUCGAUUUGAACUUUAUCUUAAUUUGAUCAUAUCAAAUUAAUAAUGCAAUAUUUGCACAUAAGUCCUCUCAUAAUUUACUAACUAUUAGUAAGUCCUCUCUUGUAACAUUUACACUUUAAUACCACUUAGUUGUAAUAAUUAUAAAUUAGUCUAAUUAUCAACAUAUUGACAAUUAAGUCCUCCGACGAUUCAAAAAUCGCGAUCUAACUAUCCGAUCAGUCACAAUAUCUUAUGUGUGUGACCCUAUAGGUUCUAUUCUAUCGGGUAGUGAAAUAUAUUUUGAUCAUUAUCAACAAUAUCACUGAAACUCCUUUCAAUGAAUCGGAACAAUUCCAACUCAGUCCAAUAAGAAUUAUCAAUCAUCUAGAUAAUUCUCAUGAAUCUCACUAUCCACCAGUGAUGCCUAGCUGUUGGCAUUCCAGUAGAAUGGAAUACUGAACCUCUCGGUGCAGUUACCGUGUCAUACAAUCCUUCCAUCAUGUGUCUCAACUAGACGGAGGUCAUAGAAUAACUCGUCAAACCCCAUCAUCUGUCAUAUAUCAAAUUUAUUCGACUCAAGUUUUUAAUAUUGGAAACAUUUUUUCGCUAUUAACUCUGCUCUGGCCAAGGUCUUCUAAACUCGAUCUCAUAAAUCACAUAGAACUAACGCCCCUAUCUAUCAAGGGAGAAAGAUUCCAUAUAAGUGCACACCCUAUCCUACAAUGAACUUACUGCAGCCAACAUGCACCGCAAGGACCCGAAUGGUUAGGGACCAAGUGUACAUACACAGUCAAACUACAGUAACCUCAUUGUGAAUAGCCGAGGCACCGCAGGUCAAAGGACUAAUCACACUACUACAACAUUGAGUAAGUCACUGACGAAUAAGUAGACAUCCAAGUGACUUCUCGCGUUAGUCAUGCUCGGUACCCUUGUUCUUCGACAACUACCUGCAUAUUCGCUUCAGUGUCCCUACACUGUCGACUCAAUACUCGUCCAUCCAAAAAGGUAAGCUACCUAUGCACCAAUCUCACCGGAUCAAUCGGAAGCAUUUAGGAAUUAACCACCAAUAACACGUCUCACAUUCUCAACUUUUGAGAAUAUAUGUCAUCAUCUUAUUAAUUCCGUAGACGAUUCAUGGACACAUACACAACAUGAAUGAAAAUAAGAAUCUAAUUUAUUCAUAAUAUUUUAAAGUCAAAUACAAAUUUAUGUCCUAAAAAGAAUACAUGUGUCGGCCCGGCACUAUAACAAUAUAGGUGUACACCAGCAGCCAAAACUGUUGAAAAAGAUUAUAAAAACUACUGGUAAUAUUUGCUCUAGCAGUUCUAAAAGUGCUGAUAAAAGUAUAAAUGACCGUUACUAUAUCCUUGCUGGUAUUACCCUUUCCCAGCACUUUUAUUAACUAUUGGAGAAGAUAUCUCUAGCAACAUUUUAUAAACCGUCGGUACUUCUACAAAAAAACCACUGGCAUAAAAUAUAUGUAGCGACAAUUUUUGACCGUUGGUAAUUUAAAACUAAUAUGAAAAAAAAAACUAAUAUCAACAAAUUACAAUAGGUCUUUUUCAUUUGAUAUUUGAUGGAAAAUUAACUAUUUGUAAUAUCCAAAAAAAUGAGAGUUAUAUUACUAAAUUGAAAUAGAGAAGUCUAUAACAAAAUAGUACAAAUGUUUGCAACAAAACUACAAGAUGGUAAAAUCAUAAUAUGUAGCAAUGACAAAAUACAACGAAACAAUUUUUUAUAUUAAUAGAAAUCAAUGCAAAAGAAAAUUUAUUUGAACUCGAAAUGUUAGAAAGCUAAGAAAAUGGAGAGUGAGCUCCAGCUGAACGUUCUUGAAAUGCAGAACAUCAAAUCCCGCUUGUUGCUUCAAUCUGAAACAAAAGAAAUUGAAACAAAUAAGCUAUACAAACAUCGAAAAAUAUAAGCUCCAUCGUAAGUAACAUAUAGCAAAAAAUGGAAGCAUCGAAAAUUGAAUUUCAUCUAUUAAAGGACCUGCUACUCAACAAGCUUGCUACUAUAGAAGAAUUUAGGAAUAAACAAACUAUAGAAGUUGAUGGCUUAAGACUCUUUGCAAAUCUGAGUAUUUACAACAUUUGUUAAAACAUUCGUCAACCAAAUAUGCAAUGAAUGGAAAAACUGGUACUGCUAUGUACUUUUUAUAACUAGAGGUUUCAAACUUUACAAACAGUAAAAAAAAAAACAUAAUAAUAAUCCUUAAUUUUACAAUCAUUCAAAUGUGGCAAAUAGGGAAGUCCUCCCAAGAAAAAUCCUACUCCAAAGAAGCACAAAUGUGGCAAAUAGGGAAGGAUGAGACUUUUACAAAUACUGAAAAUAAAAGCUAUCCCAUUCAAAAAGAAGCGCAAAUGUAGCAAACAGGGCAGGGUGAGAAAAAAAGAAUGAACGACACGAAAUGUAGUGAAUGAAAAGCUGGUUAUUGUUUUAACUGGAAAACCUGCCUAGACUUGAAGAAUACUGGCAAGAAGAGCUUGACCUUCUCCAAACGAAAUGGAACUGAUUUCUCAAGGAAUGAAGAGAUAUGGAAAAAGUCUCAGCACAGCUUUGCGUCAAAGGCUACUACCUGAGGUGUAUGAGGAAAGAAUGAUACAGGAUUAUCGAAAUUUUUAUGACCUUCCAAUAGGGCUUCAAUUUAGAAGCCAGCGUCACACCAUGGAGAAGCUUUCCCUGAAUGUAGACAAACCUCACGAAAGUGUAGGACUGAUAGGAGAGAAUUAUUCUAUUAAUAUGGUGGAUCAGUUUCUGCUGUUGCCCCUACGAUGAUUAGAAUGUAUAUGAAAAGUGUCUAAAUUUUACAUUGUUAUAGGUAACUCUACGCCUAGUUGGGACACAAAUGUUAAUGAUGUAAAAGUAGUAUAGUAAGCAAGGCUACUAGAAGAGUUGGUGACAAAAACUGUAGAAACCAAGUACAUGCAUAAAAUUCUUCUUUGAAAGAGUAAUCUGUAGAAGGAAUGAGCUAGUUAUGCAACAGUUAGGCAAAUGAGGAUUUUGUGAAGGUGAGGUGUCUCUACAAAAGGGAGAUUUCAACUGAUCUGAGAACUCAUUAGUGAGACAGCAUAAGAUGGUGAGGGCUAAUACAGUAUUAACUAUUUGACUAGUUCUCGGUCAAGAGUUUCAGACUAUAGAAGCAUUCAGUGCCAAUUUGCAUUGAAUAAACUUAUUAUACGACACAGCAUGCUGAGCACAAGCAUAUCUCUAUAUCGAUACAUGAACAGUUGGUGGUUUCAAUUCUAAAAAAUAAAGAGCUAGAUUACAUAUUUCUACAAUACAUUCAAUGCCAAUUUGCAUUUACCUCCCAGGACUGGCCUAUUAAGGCAGUAACAUGUAAGUCUAUCAAGAAUUUACUUAAAUUAAAAACAUCAGCUUCUUCUCGUUGCUCACAAAUAUGAAGCAUUUGACUACUCCGACUUGCAAUAUUAUUGUUUAACAAAAGAUUAAUGAUGGAGGGAUAAACAAAAGCCUUUUCAACUAUUUAGAGUUCAUCAACACACACACUGUUUGUUUCUAAGCGAACAUUUAAUUUAAAAAGCACAGGUUUAACAAAUCAAUUAAAAAGCAUAGGUUUAAGAAAGGCAGAGCAUGUAUUUGACCCAUUUUGAUCCAAAAAAAUUAUUUGAUUUGCUUAUAUUUAAAAUUAUAAAAAAUUCAAUGCAUUAUAAUGAUAACUCUUGCGGUAAAAUAACAUACCUUCUAUGAUUAUUUUAGAUGAUUUUCAUAUCCACAUUUAGUCUGUCCAAAACUUUUUCCUAUACAAUGAAAAAAAAUAUAUUAUGUUUAAUCAACAUGAGAAAUAGAUUAAAACAAAGAUAGCAAUGAAUAUAACUAAUAAAACUCAUACGAAGGCGACGUCGCUUGCGAUGUUGGGCAGUUUCAGUAGCUUGAAAUCCUUGCUGCUCCAAUGCACUUGCACCUUUACCAUCUCUGCUAUUAUCUGCAAUACAAAUUUGAUUAUUAUUAUUAAUCUAACACCUCAAUAUGAAUCAAUCACAAACAAAUCAACUAAAUUAUAAUCUCAAAUUGAUAAUACCUGAUGCACUUGAUCUCUCCAAAAUUAUCUCAAUAUUAAUAAGGGAGAGCUCUUCGGAAUUUUAAGUUAAUUAAACAAGAUGGGUUGAGCAUGAUGGGCUGGAUUAACUACUUUAGUCAAAUUAAAGAGGAAAGGAAGUAAAACUCAAAAAUGUUGUAUACAUAAUAAGCAAAAAGCUACAAAAGGAAUGUAAGUCUGAAGCAUGCAUCUCCUAUACUAGAAAAAGCGUGUCCAUAUGGCUCCUAUGCAUAUACGAGCCUGUGUGCAAAAGGCCUUCGCAUACAGACAAAUAUGUUUAGUUAGUUAGAGCUAAUCUAAGAAACACUAGAUAAUAUUUUCAUUAAAAUCUCUUCCAGGCCCUCAGCAUAAUGCCGCUGCAGCAUGCAUAAACAAAAGUUUUAUAAUCUGUAUUGAAGGUGAUAAUUUUAUGACUCCACAAAUAAUGGGCGACAGUCCAAACACAUCGUGCCGUAUAAAGUUGGCGAAGCAAAUCGAGCGCAUUAUAUAAAGUAUAACAGAUAAAUAAAUAAUAAUAAUAAUAAUAAUGAAACUUUACAGCUAACAGAUAAUCGCACUAGCAGAGAAUGUAUGAAUGAGUCGUAAACUCAUUAAUUGAUCUGGAUCAGUUGGUUUUAGACGCUACACAAACUCGAGGAUAAGACGGGGUGGCAUGAAAGUUCACUGAAGCACUUGCAGAUUCACCAGAUAGGUAGGAUAUAAAGCAGAUAGAGGCUACUGUGGAGAUCCUAAUACGUCAAUUAAUUCAUGAUAGUAUGCAAUACCAAUAGGAGCUCACAUGAGUAUAUAAAGUAGAAACAUAUGAAAUUGAUCACAAAUAUGAAAUUUGAUAUUUGUCAAUUAAUUCACAAAUAUGAAAUUUGAUAUGAAAUUGAUCACAAACAUGAGUAUAUCAUAAUUUGAUAUGAAAUUUGAUAUUAGUCAAUUAAUUCACAAACAUGAGUAUAUCAUAAAGUAGAUUCAUAUGAAAUUGAUCACAAAUAUGAAAUUUGAUACUAAUACGUCAAUUAAUUCAUGUUAUAAAUAAAUACAAGUUAGAUAUGAAAUUUGAGGCCAUCAGUAUAUAAAGUAGAAACAUAUAUGCGGAUGCAAGAAUUAGAUAAAUUUAUCAAAACCAAUUAUCAAAGUGAACCAAAAAAACAAUAUGAUCGAUGCAACAAUAUAAUUCAUCAGGAGAUUAAUUAGUUCCGCAUAUAAGCACCAGAAGAUUAAUUAAGUCACGAGUAGAUUCUUGAUCAAUUAAAACUAGUUAAUGACAUUUGUUUCAGAUUAUCUGUUCUCCAUUUAUUACUUUAAGAUAAAGUUACGUUGUCCCUCUAUAAUCAUAGGUUUAGUUUUUCUUCUAUAUUUAGCCUUGGACUAUAGAAGAAACAAGCAAAGAUAGAUCUAUCUAUCUAUCUAUCUAUCUACAUCCAUAUUUUGACUAAUAAGGAACUCUCAGGAUCUUUCUAAACACUAAUAAAAGGAGGAAUCUCAUCUACACUGCCAAACUAAGGUUUUUACAUCCAUUAAGUCAAAAUCUUUAUACAAGAACAGUAAAGUAACUUCAAUAACUAAAUAAUACAGUCGAAUAGUGGGCAAUGGUAGAAUUGAUCACAAAUCAAUAUGUACCAGGAAAGAGACAAGGAAAUAAGGUUGGAAUUACUCAGCAGAGGUCAAAAUGGAUUUGUGAGAACAAGAAUUUAAAUGACAUGAAAGUAUUUUACUCCAACUAAAAAUUAUUCAUGUAUAAGGUAAAAUUAUCCUACUGCAACUCAAAAUUUAUUCAUCUAUAAAGUACAAAGUUCAACACUCGCCGCUUACCAGGUCAACAGGAAAUCAAUAUGUUACUUAACAAAAGAUCUAACAUCUAUAACAACCAUAAGACUUCAAUCAACACUGAUUCAACAGGUUACAGAAAUCAGGAAGCUAGAACUUUGAUCAUCAUUACCUAGGAAGACAUCUAAAAGAAAAUAAGAAGUCAAAUUUUGAUCUCUCAAAAAAAUAAGUCAAAUUUUGGACAAAUUAAAUAUUUGAUCAGCAACUAAAACCAUCUAGUAGAGGGACCACAGGUUCUUCCAAAAACUUAUAAAACAUCUUAUCUAAAACCCUAUUCUCAACCUCUAAAUUGCUUUGAGUACCACCCUUCGCACAAACUCGCCCUCUAGCUACAAUCAGAAAUGUUUUGCACUAUUAGUUGAUAGUGUCCGAUGAAGCGAGUAGCAUGGUAUUUAAACAAUUACAUUAUAAGAUAAUAAGAUCCGUGUUUAUCGGCUCAGCUAUCGAAAUUUGCGCUAAAUAUUUCCGAGGAUGGCAAGCUGAAUGGGCCCUGGAAGUUGAUUGCAUCAGAUUUCAGAACGCCCGAGACAUUAAAAUCUACAUAGGAAAUUAGCUGGCGUUCUCCUAAAACCUAGCAAAAAACUACCGACAUUGUCAAAAUAUUGGAUAAUAUCUCCCACAAAUCGCUAUAUGAGGAGAUAGGGUUUUAUGUUUGGAGCGUAUACAUCUCAUUAAAAGCAUUGCUAGCUAUAUGAGAAGCAAACAAAUUAAAAGCAGCUGAAUUAAAAACAAGGUAUGAAUACGUACUUACCAAAUUAAUUGCAUUGAUUAACUUGCUUAAGCAAAUAAGGUUGCGGUGUUUUUUUUCUUUUUUUUUUCUUUCCUACUGCAUAAAAUCGCAUGAAAAUAUAUAUAGGGUUAAAAAAUAAAAGGAAGAAAGAAAAGUCUUACUAGAACACUCUUUAAUCGGCAUCUCAUUGGUAGUGAUAACUCUAAUCUCUCUCUAAUGUUAAUAAUAACAACUCUUAACUAUAAAUUUCCUUGUAGCUAUUAUUAAGUUUCAGAAGUUAGAAACAGAAGCAAGCGAAAAAAAAAAAAGAAAUCAACUUCAAAUAAUUUAAAACCCCCUUAACUAUAGUACAUUUUGAAAUUGAUCCUCUUUAAUAGCAGAUACUCUUUAAAGGAGUUGAAAAUAAUACAUGUCUGGCCCUUCAAAUCAACCUACAAAUAGCAUAAAAAUAUAUAGAUCACAUCUAAAUUUGACAAAAUACAUCUAUAUAAAACACAACAUUAAAAAUAAAAAUGCAAUUGAUACACUAAAUUCAACAACAACAAAUCAAUCUAAGCAUGGUUAAUGUAGAAAUUUAACAAAAUCUAUUCCAGAUUUGGAUAUAAUUAUACCAACAAACAAAAUAAUUUACACAAUUUAAACACUACACAGUAAUUAAAAAGACUAAACAUAGCAGAUUCUAGUUAUUAUCAUGCUAAAUUUCUAACCCCGGAAAAAUUUUAAAAAAAAUUAGCAAACAAAGAAAAUGCUAUAUAUAUAUAAUAACUCUCUAUCCAAACAAAGCUAACUGCAAAGAAAUUAAACUCUAUUAUCGUCCUAAUCCAAGGCUCCUUGUAACUCCCUGACACAUUUUCGUUGCAUGCUUAUAUAUGUUUUCUUGUUCACACCCAAUAAAUACAACCUAAAUCUACCAGCAAUCGCCAAAAAAAAAAAAAAAAAAAAAAAAAAAAAAAAAAAAAAACCGAGGUGAGAGGGAGCCAGAAGGUGUGGGAGUUGCGAGAGAACUGGAUUUUGCUAAUAUACAAUAAAACAAUAAAAUGCCUUCAUAAAAAAUCAAAUCACAAGGAAUCAACUUCAAAUAAUUGAAAAAAAUGUGAAAUAUUGUGAUUGGGAAACUCACGCUAUAGAAUCAGCUGAAAUUGGUGAAACCCUUUCUUACAGAACUGGAUUGAGGUCGAUUUAGCACCAAAUAGCCCAAAAUUUUUGGGUAAAUCGUUCGAAGAAGACCAAUCUCUGUGUAGAUCCGAAAAUCCCAAUCUCUCGAAGCUCGCAGUGGAGAAGCUCCGAUUUGAGGGAGAGAGACUUGAAGCUCGCGGUGGAGAAGCUCGCGAUGGAGAAGCUCCGAUUUGAGAAGCUCGCGGUGGAGAGAGAUCGAGAGAGAGAUCGAGCUCGAAGCUCUCAGUGCGUGGAGAAGCUCCGAUUUGAAAAGAGAGAGAGAGAGAGAGAGAGAGAGAGAGAGAGAGAGAGAGAUGGAGAGCUCAGAUCUAAUUAAUUAGUAUCUUCAUAUGGAGGUCCAUGGCUUUUCAAAUCCAAUAUUGGCCCAAUUGUUGGCCCAAUUGAUAAAAUAAGCUAAUAAAAUGAGGCCCAAUAUUAUUUGUGCAAUUAAAAAUUAUUACCACUAUACCAGCGAUUUACUAAAUGUUACAGAAAAAAUAAAAAAUACUGGUAUAAUAUAGUUUUAGCAGCAGUUAGCUUAACUGCUGGCUAAAAAACUGCUGGAACAAUCCUUAUUUGUUAUAGUGUGGUUGGCUUCUUGGGCGUACAUCUAACAAUCUUCCACUUGCACUAAAGCCAAUCAGCCAUAUAUUUAAGCCCCUUCUUCUCAAGGUGGACAUCAGUCUUCUGUUAGCUAAGUGGUUUAGUCAAUGGGUCUCCCGCGUUAUCCGUUGAGUCUACUCUCUGCAUCUCAAUGUAUUUCUUGUCGAGGUAAUCGCAUAUAAUAUGAAACGCCGCUCUAUAUGUUUGGACUUCUGAUGAGAUAUGGGCUCCGUAGCUAGGGCUAUGGGGCAAUUGUUGUCGUAAUAGAGUGGUAUGGCAUCGGAUGGCAUCACACCUAGUUCCGCGACAAAUUUUUUGAUCAGAAGGCUCUUUGCAGCUUUAGAUGCGACGAUAUACUCUGCUUCCAUAGUAGAGUCAGCAAUAAUUGGUUGUUUGUGUUAUGAAUUUUGUAUUGGCAAAUUUCGUGAUUUGAGUCAGAGUCUUGAAGGGUUCGGUUCGUGAUUGUCAAAAAUUGAAGAAUCCGAGAUUCCGAGAACUCAAAAACAUCUCAACGUAUGAAUCACGAUACUCAGGUAAGUUUUUUAAAUGUCUUUAUGGUGAUUCAUAUCUAUUUAUGACGUUAGAAUCAUAUAAACUAAUGAUACAUGGAUUAGAAGUGAUUUUUAAAACUUUUAAAUUGAAUGUAAUAAUAUUUUUAAUUGAGUACCAGUACCAGGUUCCAGUUCCUCAAAAUCGAAUUGAAAAAUCUGAGUUUUUAUAUUGUGUACUGAUACCCCACAUUUGGUUCCACAAAAUCCGAGAGCAACAAUACUGGAAUUGUAUUGUCUACCGGUACCAAGCCUUAGUACCGGUACUGCAUCGGCCGAGUACCGGUACUCGGCAGUAGGAAAUUUUCGUUUCAUCAUGGUGUACCGGUACCCACAUCCGAGUACCGGUACUCAAUAUAAAAUUUUCUAAUAUACUUUCUAAUCCGACUUUAAUUGAUUCUAAAGUCUAUAAAUAAGAUAUUAGAGUUCUCUAUUACGAAGAAGUAUAGAGAAUACAUGAAAGAGUAACCUUAGAGGCUAGGUUUUUCGUCCUAAAUCAUUUUCCACAAAAUAGCCUUGUUUAGGUCAAUUCGAGAUAUUGCAAUUCAAUAUUUAUAUGUCGAAUUGAUCUAAGUUUUUCGAGAUAUUGCAAUUCAAUAUUUAUAUGUCGAAUUGAUCUAAGUUUUUCUUGGAGAUUUUUCUCUGGUUCUUCAACUACUUUCUAAGCAAAGGAUCACCAUAGAAACAUGAAUUUACUCUUCAUGUGCGGCGUCGUGGAUUCGGCAUGAUCAAGGCGAUUCGUGGAUUCAGAUCGUGGGCUCGUCGAGGAUUCGAGUGGCGUUCGUUGAUUCGGACGUGAGGCGUGGCGUUCGUGGAUUUGAACAUGGCCGUGAACAAUCCGGUGACGUGCGCGAGAUUCGUAAGAGGUUAAAAAAAAGUUAAGUCCGUGGAGUCGGUAAUCACCUUAUAAUCUUUUUCUCUUAGUGGAUUAUUUUUUAGGUAAAUUGCAUUGUUACCCCCUGAACUUUUGGCGAAGUUUCACUUUAUCCCUCGAACUUCUAAAAUGGACAUCUAAUCCCUUAAACUCUAAUAUUUCGUUCAUGUUACCCCUUCCGUCAGUUUUCCGUCAAGCUCCGUUAACCGGAAACUGACGGAAGGGGUAAAACGAAUGAAAUACUAGAGUUUAGGGUGUUAGAUGUCUAUUUUAGGAGUCUGGGGGAUUAAGUGAAACUCGCCAAAAGUUCAGGGGGUAACAAUACAAUUUAUCCAAAUUUUUACUAUAAAUUAUUUUUAUAUUUUUAUAUUAAAAAUUUCUAAUUGGCUGAAAUGAAGUACAAAAAUUUUAUUUAAGUGUAUUUUAUAGAACAAUGCUUCUAAAGAUAAAAGGGACAAACGAGUACUACAGAAAAUUAACUGAGAAUUAAAAUCUCUAUAUCCGAGUGAGAACACCUAUUGUAAAUCAACCAUAUUAGCGAGUACACCAGGAUAGUAGAGUGUUUGAGCAUCGUAGGUAGUUAGUAUCGCUCUUUUUUUAUCUUUAAGCCACUCUAAUUCAUUUCUUUCACUUUUAUUUUAUUACAAUAAAAUGUAGGAUAAAUUAUGGUAUGAUUUAUUUUAGGAUAAAAAUAUAUAUAAAUUCAAAAUCAAGUAUGAUCACUAACUUGAGGAUUAGUAGUCAAUCCAUAAGUAACAUAUUAUAAUAAAAUAAUUUAUAGUCAAGAGUUCCCUACAUAGUAAAUUGCACUACUACCUCCUGAACUUUUGGCGAGUUUCACUUAACCCCCCAAACUCUUAAAAUAGACAUCUAACACCCUAAACUCUAAUAUUUCAUUCGUUUCACCCCUUUCGUCAGUUUCCGGUUAACGGAGCUUGACGGAAAAAUGACGGAAGGGGUAAUAUGAAUGAAAUAUUAGAGUUUAGGGGGUUAGAUGUCCAUUUUAGGAGUUCGAGGGAUAAAAUGAAACUUCGCCAAAAGUUCGGGGGGUAACAGUGCAAUUUACCCAUUAUUUUUUCGCGUGUUGGUCUCACGGGUUUUUCUCUAAAUUGGAGUUUUCCCACGUAAAUCUCGGUGUACUAUUUUAUUUUCCGCAUUUAUUUUUUAUUGCAUUGAGAUUUGCGAAUUUGGGCUAUACACCUAUUCACCCCCCUCUAAGUAUUUGAUAGUAUCUAGAUAGAUUCUAGGGUUUCCAUAACCUACAAAUGGUAUCAGAGCGGGAUCUAGAAUUUUCUAUCACUAUGGCUGAAGGUGGUAACAUUAAUUUUCUUCCAAGUCUUUUUCUAAAAGUAUAGGGGUUGCACUCAAAUCUACAAAGGAGGAAGACGUGGACUCGGAUUACGACGACGAUAUUUCGCUUGCCGACUUCGAACACCAAUUGGCACUUCUCACGAAGAAAUUUGAUCGGAACUUCCGAAAAAACAAAGCCAACAGAGCCUCAUCUUCAAAACAAAAAUCUUUUUUUAAAGGAUCUUCAAGCUCAAAAUCAAAAGACAAAAAACUAGCAAAACCUUCUAAAGAAAAAGAUGAUUUUGAAGGAAAAAUCCAAUGUUACAAAUGCAAAGGCUACGGCCAUAUUUCUACGGAUUGUCAUACUAAGAAAUUGUACAAAAAGAAGACUUUGCAAGCUAAAACAUAGGAUGAUUCUACUUCUAGUGAAUCGAUCUCAAGUGAUGAAGAAAAAAAAUGAUGCUAUUGCUUUAUUUACAAAUACUUCUUUACCUUCGUCAUCCGUUGUUUGUUUAUCCUCUAUUGUACCUGACUCCGCUUCUUUGGUUUUGCAUGAAUCAUCGAGCGAUGGUAAUGAAAGCAACGAGAAGUCGGACGAGUAAGAUCUCGCAGAGGCAUAUCAACAACUUCUUAUUGAGUCUAAGAAAAUAGCUAAGCACAACAAGAAGUUGAGGAAGCGAUUAUUCGAACUUGAGGAUGAAAACAAAACCAUGAAAACCGUGACUAAAGCUCUUGAGGAGAAAAGGGAACACAUGUUGAAGAAUAUUACAAUCCUCCAAGAAAAGCUAGAUCAAUCGGAGAUAACGAUCAAAUCCUAUCAAAAAAAGGUUGGUUUUCUAGAACAACAGCAUGAAGAAAUUCAUGCAUCCAACCAAAUCUUGACCAACCAAGUUCAUCAACUCAAAUCCGACAUUCACAAGUUUUCCUCCGGAUUAAAGAAGUUAGACCAUAUGCUCGGAUUGGGUCAAACGAAUAAACUUGGGCUUGGAUAAGAGCGGACAUAUGUUGAGAAAGAUCAAAAUUCAAAACUUAAAGUCUCAACAACUUUGAAGAAAAAAGUUUGCCAUAAAUGUGGACAUAAAUGUCACAUCAAGAAGACAUGCUCUAGAAAAGAAAAGAAACAUCAACCGGCUUCAUUUUCUAAGCAUUUAUCAGCAUUUUCCAAUACUCGGCAAUCUUCACGGAUUCAAAAGCAACAUCAAUCGAGUUGAGUACCUCGAAUCAACUGGAAGUCAAAGCCACAACAAAUAGUUCACACAAAACCAAAUGCAACGUGGAGACCGAAGGUUGAUGAGAAGCCAAAACAAGCGGCAACUAACAAAUCAAGACAACCAACAAUCCGACAAGUUUGGGUUUGGAAAGGUGAUAUCUUUCCUUGUCUUAAGUCUUAAUUUGUUUUGAUUUUUUGUGUAGUGCUUUGGUUAGUGCUCAUUGCAUAUUUUUUAAUCAUUGCAUAUUUUUUAAUCAUUGCAUUACAUGUUUGGAUGUUUUUUUUGCUUGGAAUUUAUUUUGGAAUCUUUUCGAGAAAGGUGAUAUUUUUUAAUCAUUGCAUUGGAAAAUUAGAACUUGGAAAGUGCCUUGAACAUCUCAAAUUCUCAUUCAUUCAUUUCGAGUUAAGUUCAUUUUAAUUAUCGAUUUUACUCCACUUUUAUUAUCUUUGAAGAUAAUUUAUUAUAGGAGUUUUUAAUACUUAUAUUCAUCAAAUUUAUGUAAUCAUGUUUGAUCUCUUGGCAAUUAAACUAUCUCGGUUGUGAGUGUUGAAUAUGAUGAAUGGUUAUUUACUAACGGACUAAAAUUUGUCAAAUUUUCUUUCAAUUGCGGGAUUGCUUAUGUAAGGAUGUGAAUCCUCGAAAUCCAAGGAUUUGACUUCGGUUCAGAAUCGACUAGUUGUCGAGUGCGUAGGCUUCGGAAAGUCCGAAAGUGAUUAUAAUGCAUAAAGUGCAUUAAAGAAGCGUCCGCGGGAGCACCAGUGCAAAACCUGCACUGGAGCAGAAUUGCUCUCGGGGACCGGUCCCUGGCAGGGAGGGACCGGUUCCAUCAGGCUGGGCUGCGGGGGUCUCUGAUGAGACCGGUCCCUGGUGGUGAGGGACCGGUUCCCGAACGUUGGCCCAGCGAAAAUAGCCGAAAUUUGGCUAAGUCCCGAAAACUCAGCUUUCGGGAACCGGUCUCUCGGACAAGGACCGGUCUCCCGGGGACCGGUCUCUCAGGUAAGGACCGGUUCCCGAACGCAAAAUCCCCUCUGCUCGAAAUGGCAGCCUUCGGGGACCGGUCUCCCCGAGCUGGGACCGGUCCCUCACUGCGAAAAUGGCCCAGAGAGGGCUGAUUCAAAGGGUGAAAAGUUGAGGGGGCUAUUUGCAAAAUGGCCUUUAAUAGGGCUUGGGGACCCCUCUCUCUCCCUCAGUUGUUCUCUCUCCCUCUCUCUUACUCUUUCCCUCUCUCUCUCAAGAAAGAAAAGAAGGAGAAGAAGAAGGAGAAGAAAGAAAGGAAGGAAAAGAAGAAGAAGUGGAAGGAGAAGUCCAAGAAGAAGAAGAAGAAGGUCUUCUUCCCUCUCUCCUUCAAGCUAGGGCAAGCUUGGAGCUUGGCUUAGAGGUAAACUCCAAACCCAUCCAUGGUAGAUUUCUUAGGAUUGGGUUUUGUUGCUUAGAAUUGGUUCAAAUGGAACCUAGAGAAGAUAAGUAGAUGGUUCGGGCUCGCAAUCGAAGCUCGCACCACGGAUUUCUCCCUCGUUGCCAUUCUAGGGCACGGAUUUGGGAUUUUGGGAAAUCUAGGGUUUUGAUCUAUCUUAAUAGGUCGUAAACCAAAUUGCUAGGUCUCGGAACGCGUCGGCGAAGACGGUUUGCCGAUCCGACGAGCGAGUGCGGAGUUAUCGCCGAAUCGGGUACUCGAGGGCUCGCUUCGCCCCGAGGAGUUGAAGCGACGUGCAAAGACCGCAACGUCGAGUUUUCUACCAUCGCGGCAUCGCCAAGAGGUGGGUGGUGUCCAUCCCGAAGCAAUCGGGCUCCCUUCUAUGUCUUAGUACAUGUCGAUUCUUGCAUCUUGUAUUAUUGCAUUAUAGGAUGAUUGUGCAUUGCCUUUCCUUAUGCUUUCCUUGAUGAUAUCGUAGCAUGUAUUGGAUACUUGACAUAGUGGAUUGAUAAGGAUUGGGUCGAGACUUGUGAAUCCUAUAGUGCAGAGAAAGAGAUGGGCUCAAUGGUUGGUCUAAUGUUAAACAAAGAACGAGUGGCAUCUAGUCGAUAGUAAACAAUGGACGAGUGGCAAUUUAGUUGAUAGUAAGCAAAAGAACAAAUGACACAUAUGAGUCGUAGUGUAUGUGAAACCUAUGGACUAUAUGAUGAUUGUAACCCUAGAGGAUAGGGUAUUCUCGAGACGAGGAUUGGAUCAUGCUCACGGUCUUUUUUUAAAUCUUGUGAUGGAAGCCCCACACAAGUAGUGCGCUCCGGAGUUGGUCACGUGGGAUUGCCUAUUUUGGGUCCCAAGGGAUUGCCUAUUUUAGGCCCCGGCAGACGGUCUCGGUUCGUAGUGCGAGUUGACCCUCCCUACCUUCGAGAUGGCUAGUGAGCAGUAGGCUCCUUCAGGGAAGCCACGAGAUUAAGGAACAAGUGAAUAAGGUUGAUGAACAGGUACAUAGCUUUACCUUUGACAUGACGACAGGUUCGUUGCUUACCAUUUCAUUGAGCAUGCAUUCAUAUAUCUAUGAUUGGGCAUAGUAGCGUAACUUUACUUUCCUGUCUUUACCGCUUUCCUUAUCUAUCUAUCUAUCGGUUUAUCUACUUUUGCCCGCUUGGACCUAGUGGGGAGAUCGGCGGAGUCGGCGGCCGAACCCACUGGGAACUAAGGAAGUUAGUUCUCACCCCCAUUUUACUACAGGUUCGAGUUCGGGUGUCCCCGGUGAGCGUGAGGAUCGUGGUAAGGGCCCGGCGCUCUAGUCGCAUUAGCUAUCUUCCUUUUGCAUUAGCCGUCACCCCUUUUGGUAUUGAGAGUAGAUGUUGUAUAGGGUGAGGUUGAGUGAUUGUAUUUGUAUUUUGGAAGAUGUAAAAGAUGUAAUUAAAUGUAUUAAGUCAAAUGAAUGUAAUAGAUAGCCUCUUCUCUCUUUAUGUACUUGUAUAUGUUUUUAUACUUAUAUCUUGCUCUCAGCUGUUUAGCACUGUUCGUGCUCUCCUCGUUGCAGCUAUCGAUUGUGUAUGUAUUCAAGUUAUUUUCCUGGAAACUUGUUGUACACAAUCUCGUUGUUAGCCUUGGGCGGACAGGGAAGGUGCUGUCCGUUCGGCGUCUGUUCGACGCGCCCGGGCCGGACCAAAUUGGUAGCGGUCUCGGGGCGUGACAGCUUAGUUUAGGGAGAGUUUGUAUUUGUAACGUAUCGAAACCUCAAUAGUGAUUAUCGAACUUUAACCAAAUUGGUUAAAGUGCCUAGAGAAAUGAUUGGACGAGUUCCAUUUUGCAUUCCAACAAGUUUGGAAGGGCAAAAAUGAGUUAAAGAGGGGUUAGAAUGAUUUUGGCAUCGAACGACGCGAAGUAAAGUCGAGUCGAAACCAAAACAGCAUUCUGGAGUAUUGUGUACCGGUACACCAUGGUGGUUGUACCGGUACAGCAAGCGACCCGAGCACAAGCUGCUCUCGGGUUGGCCUCUACGCAGCCUUGUACCGGUACAGGAGCCCGUGUACCGGUACACCUUGGCUCGGUCAGCAGGGAUUGAUCUGCUGCAAAAUAGAAAGUUGUGGGGCCUAGUUGCAAUUGUAGCAACCUAUAAUGACCCAAAAUCCCCCUCUCUUCACAGGAAACACCCCAAACACCCAUUCCCCUCAUUUCUCUCUUUCUCUCUCUAGAAAUCUCCUCCAAGAGCAAGGCGAAGAAGAAGGAGAAGGGCUUUUUGAAGGAGUUUUGGAGGCUUGAGGGUUUGGGAUCUCUCCAACAAGAAGGAUCUUGGAGAGCUUUGGGCCAAGGUAUGGUUUUCAUGAAAACCUAGGCUAGGGUUUGGAUUUCUCCCAAGAAAACUUAGGUUUUGGAACUUCUUCUAUGAUUAGAGCACCUCGUGAGACUUGAGCUCCAUGAAAAUCCAUGGAAGCCCCAGGUCCUCUCAUGGUGAACUUCUAGGGUUCAUCUUGAAUGCCCUAGAAAUGGCUUAGUUGGCCUUAGAUGAGCACCUAGAAGCUUGACAAGCUCUCUUUUGCUUGUACAAAGGAUCAAAACCUAGGGUAUAGCAUUUGGUGACAUUAGGGCACCAAAUUUGGGGCUUUUGCCCCCGAUCGUUUCUGAGGCAAAUUGAUUUCUUAGAAACCUAAUUGGGGGUAUUCCCGAUGCGUGGGACAACUCCGUUUGACGUUACGAAAAGCCUAAGUAUGAGAUCUAGCGUAUAGGGCCUAAAUUGGCACUAUUUUGGGUAUAGGUUGCGGAAGAAGAGUCCGAAAAUUCCAAGAAACAAACCGUAACCUUCUUGCAACCAUCUAAGGUGGGUGGUGCAUACCGAAGACCUCGAACUUCCUUUUAUGUCUAAAGUGUCAUAUUUGAGCAUGCAUAUGAAUUGAACAUAUUGCAUAGUAGGGUUACUUGUGAGCAUGUAUUUGAAUGAUAGGAGCAUGAAAUGCACGAGUAAUGAUAGUAUAAGAACAAGGUAUUGUUUAACCCUAUGUAUGCAUGGCAUUGGAAAAGAACUCUUGAACUUAGAAAACAAAUGUAACAUGUGGACAUGAAUGUAGAUAGUGACAUGGACUAGUUUGGGUACUAGAAAACGAGUGUGGCAUCAGUAAAUGACAAUAAUGCUAGAGUUGGACACUUAGAGAACAAGUGUGGCAUCAAUGUGAAUACAAGAACAAAGUAGUGUAUAUGACACUAGUAUAGUAAAGAAUGCAAGUAAUUAGAGAUAGCGAUAUUAUGACAUAACAUCCUUAGAGUUAAGGGUCAUAUGUGCAUUAGUACCUUAUAGUUAAGGAAUGGAUUGGACUUGACAUCCUUAUAGAUAAGGAUGGGAUCAUACUCACCUGUAAGUCCUUGCUCGAGGGUGGUAGCUCCCCCUCAGGCGAUGUGCUCCGGAGUUGUCAUCACUGGGUCGUAGCGAGUAUCUCCCCAGAGGACGAUCCCGUCGAGUUGUAGCGGGUAUCUCCCCGAUAUUAGGGAUUUGGUUGGUGAGUCGUUGAGGGCGAAACCUACGGGUUAGCCAAGAGAUUGGGUAAUGAGAUUGUGACCUUGCAUUCAACAUGAGCAUACUAUUGAGCAUUGCAUUUAUUAUUGUUCAGGCAUAUUAGCUGCAUUUGUAUAGUUUGGUUAUUUUUCUAUAUCUCUUUCCUUCUAUUAUGCCUGAUUUAGACCUAGUGGGAAAGUCGGCGUGGUUGGUUGCCGAACCCACUGGGAACUUUGUUGUAGUUCUCACACCCCAUUUUCCACAGAGCCCGGACCGAGCGAGCCGGCGGACGAUCGCGGUAAGGGCAUCACGCCCUAGUUAGAGACCUCCCGAGUGGUUAUCAUUUUGUAGUCGCAUACCCUCUACUUAUACAUCAUCUUUUGUAUUUGCUGAUUAUAGAUGUUAAAGGAAAACAGAACAUGAAUGUUGUUAAAGACUUUAUAUUUAAAUGCAAGUACUUACAUUUGAGAUCAUGUGAUGUAAAAGAAAAGAAAUGAUGCAAAAAUUGUAAAUUAUUUUCUAAGCAUAGUUUACUUCUUUCACUAUUGGCUAUUGCUUGCCCUCGUGCAAGCCACUGUGUAUACUUCCGCUUAUGCAAACUUUAUAUUUUAUCAGUACCUGUUGUUGAGCCUUGGGCGGACAGGGGAGGCUUUGUCCAUUCGGCGUCUGUUCGACGCUCUCGAACCGGCCAAAAGGAUCGGGCUCGGGACGUGACAGUAUUAUUUUAAAAAAAAUAUAUGAAAAUUUUGUUACAAAGAAAAAAAAAACUAAUAGAAUUGAAAGAUGUGAAAAGAGUUACAUCCUAGAAAGAGUGUGAAAACUACCACCCCAGUCGUCCGGUAAGUGUGUGAAGCUAUCACAUGGAUAUCUAAUGCAUAACCGAAAAGGUUGAAAAAUUGUGCAUAUUUUAAAUUUUUCGAAGUUAUAAGGUGGUAUAGUCAAAAGAUGCUCAAAGAACCACCCCCGGUGCUUUAUUUGCUGAAUCUCAAAUUUGAACGUUUUUGUGACAAAUUGGUGUCAAUUUUAGUGAAUCUCUAUAAGUCAUUUUUCAUGAUCCAUUACAUCUUGAUAGUCUUUGAGCCGUUAGAUUAUUUUUGAUGACUUAAUUUUGAGGUUUAUAUGAAUUAAGAUAUCAUGUAAUAUUUUAUAUUCAUCAUGACAAUUUUGGAGUACAAUUCUUAAUUUUUGUGAGAUUAGCUUGAAUUGCAUGAAUUAGAUGUGAAAAUCGAUUUUUAAUGCAUUGAGUACCGAUACUAGGUAUUGGGUACCGGUAUGUGCAAUCUCUGCACAGUGCGCACAGUUCGCAGAUCUUCGAGUCGCUACCGCGCUCUCCACAGCGGACGGCUGUGCUCCAGAUUGUGAGCAUGGCCUCUGGCACGUCGAGGCCUGUCAGCAUGUGUCUCAGCCAGCCUCGAAAGCUCUCGGUUUGCACUGUCGAGCCAUAAAAUCUCGAAAAUCACAUAAAAUAAUGUGAUUUUAUGUGAUGGUAGGGACUUUUAUGCAAUUUUACGCUUCAUGGGUGUUGUGGGCUGUAUGAGUAGACUGCGGGUGAUCUUUGGACUGAUUGUCCAAGGUCUAAUGCUUUCGCGAAAAUCGGAUAUCGAUUUUCGGUGCGUUUUUCGGCGAAAGUUGCUGACGAAACGCGGUUUCGGUUCGGAUUUCUUCCAACAAUGCCUUAGUGUAAUAUACUUUGUCGCUGAGCCUUAUUGGCUGGUUAUUUACGUCGUUUCAAGGGUUCAGAGACGACGAGUGAGCGACGGUGGGUUCCAGUGUCGAAAUUGACACUUUCGGAAAUCCGGAUUGGAACGGUUAUCCGACGAUAAUUGUUUCGAUGCGAGUUUGGAUUUGCUGCCAGGACACCUUUAUUAUGGUGUUUUGUGGCAGCGGAUGACUCAUGUCACGAGUCAGUGAGUUUCGGAACACUUCGUGGGUCCCGACGAAGUCCCGGUGCGAUUUUCGGAACUUCCGGUGAGUUACGGUGAUCGGUUUUAGGAAACCGAUUCCCGUGGGAUUAAUUGUGGGGUUGUGAGCUUAGUUAUCCUUAUAUGUGGGUUAGAUACUAACCCGGUGGACCCUCCGUAGGUCUGGUUGACGUUCUUCCAUAGUCGGGAGACAGGCACUACAUUCGUACAGGUGGGUACUUCAAUCCGAAGUCGGUACAGACGUACAGUGGUGCACGCUCGGUGACAUUCUCUCCACUCUCUCUUUACUAUUACCUUGCAUAUCAUGUGAUGAGCCUAGCACCCCUUUCUAUUUCUUAUCAUUGCUCUACUUGGUUAGUUUGCAUAUCCGGUAUCAUGAUUUAGAGGUAGAGCGGAUUUUCAGUUGUACUUGAGAUCUGUGACCUAUUCGGUCGGUUCAGUGGUUCUGGUAUUGUGACCUAUUUGGUCGGUUCAGUUACUUGAUGACCUACACGGUCGAUAUACCCUGAAGGGUAGGAUUGUCGACUAGUUGCCGACGAUUGGCUAUUGAGAAUAUCAGCAUCGAUUAUCACUACUCGUUCGCAUUUCACGAACACCAGCGGUCUGAUCCACCGCAAAGGAGUAUUCUUUUUCGAAAAAGUGGUUGGAAGUGCCAACCAGUAAGCCAAGAGGCCCAGUCUGGAUUAUACGCAGGUAGAGUAGCAGUGGCACAGGCUUGAGGUCUGUGGACCGACAUGGCAGGUUUCUGAUUGGGUAUCUUUGGAACUAAUCGUCCGGUUGAUGCAUGCAUACAUUAGCGGUAGUGGUAUAUGCAUAUCCUAUUUUCCUUAUUCAUUAUUGCUACUGUAUUAUCAUGGUAUACACUUUUAGUUAUCCUCCUUGACUGGUGAGUACCCCUCGCCCUCGUCGGCUUGCGGUAUCUGCUGAGAGGGGAGACAUAUGUACAUGUUCUCACCCCCCACCAUUUUUCAGGUGACAUUGCUGGUCCGAGUCGGGACGGAGUGUGAAGCGCGUGGUUAGGGGUCGUUAGAGUGUUCCGACCCGUUGACUUACGGAUUAAUUUCUAAUCUGUUUUCUCGUAAUAAGUACUUAGAUAUUCUAUGGUUCAGUUGCUUUUAUUUUAGUUGGAUAUACAUGAUUUUGUGAAGUUAAAUAACGUACUUGUGGUUUUUAUGUGAGAUUAUGAAAAUAAUUUUUUACCUCUCGUGGUAGCUUGUUUUUUAAAAAAAAAGUUUCCGUGUGGAAAACGGUUUUAAAAAGGCUUUUACGAUUUUUAUGAUUUUUAGUAUUUUAAAAUGAGUUUCCGGGUGGGAAACAUUUUAAACUAAUAAAUGCGGAUAUAUGAUGAAAAUAUGGUAAACUUGUGAUUGAAUGAAUAUGAAUUGGUUGAUGUGAUGUGGUGAUUGUAUAUGGAUGUUUAUACACUGUGGUUGUAUCUUGUACUUGCACGACGCCAUGCAAAUAUAGGGGAGACUUUGUCCGUGUGAACAGUGGAUUUCCUGUAUUUGUGGCGACCCUGACAUACCCUAGGGUCAAGGCUUUCAAAAAAAAAAAAAAAAAAAAAAAAAGACACUUCCGCAUCAAUUUUAAAACUUCUAAGGGACCCCGGGGCGUGACAAUAUGCAUGUUCUUAAGCAGUUCUGACGCAAUAGGAAUUGUGUGCGUUCAAAAUGAAAGCAUGAGUCUAGUACACUAAACAAUUUAGUGGAAGUUAUGAGAACUAUAUAAAUUUGAAGAUUAUUUAUGAAAAAUUUUAUCUCUAAUUAGAUUAAAAAAUAAUUAAAUAUCCAUAAAUUAUAAUGAGAUGAUAUUCUAAGUAGAUUAGAUUUAAAUAUGAAUAUUUAAUUAUAAUUGGUUGAUGGGAUCCAAUCAAAUUCAGCAAAAAGAGGGAGAUAAAGAUAAAAUAAAAAGGCACAUUAUAGAUAAGUAUAAUAGUUUGAUAUUUAUCCUAGGAGUUAAUUAAUUGGAUGUCAAUCCAUUCAGUUACACCGACUCCAGAGGCCUAUAAGUAGGGACGUGCGGGUCGUGCGGCUUAAUGAAUUUGCCGCAUGAAAAUAACAUGCAAUGUCAUAAUCAAAAUGUCUAACAAACACUGCUAAGGGUUAACAACAGAAAUUGAGUGGUGCAAAUGGAGCUAACAAUCAAAUGUCAUGAUCUGGAAUGUUGUAUGAAAGCACAUUGAGGCAAUAACAACAGUCAUUGUUUUCCAUUCGAUUGAGACGAUAGGCUUAAGUCAGAUACUGCUAUUCUGAUUCUCAAAGUUCAACUAAUUAUACUCAUUUGUUUAAGCAAACUCCACAAAGUGGCUGGCACUCAAGAACUUGUUCAUAAUGAUAAGAAACGAUAAAUAAGCUCAUUGCGUUAAAAAGGAAAGACAGUACCAACACUACAGCGCAUUUUGAUGUAAAUACCUGAACUUUUAACUUUCUGAUUUAGUUGCCUAAUUCUUCACUACUUCUGAUUUGAGAAAAUUCUGUCAAUAACUCAAUGACAAUUAGAGAAAAACCAAUUUGUCAGAAAAGUUAUUGGAAGUCCCAUUAAGUAAUAGAAUAUUAUUCCACUAAUUGCAGAUUAUUUCGUGCAAAGGGUUAAAAAUACUAUGAACUUCUAAAGUUAGGCAGUAAAAACAAUCCUUUUUUAAGUUUAGGUAGACAUUUCAAAAUGCACUAAUGUUCAAGUAAGCUAAAUAAAUUUUUGCCUUCUAUAUAAAAUGAUUGAAUGAUAAAUAUACACCAAGUGACAGAAUAAAAAAAAUAUGGUGUCAAAUAACACGUCAAAAUUUUAUGCUCUCCAUGAUGCAUUUUAAUAUCUACAAGAUUUCCAAAGAUAAUGAUGAACUACUUAAAACAUCUAAAAUGCAAUGCCCACAUUGAAUAUGAGCUCUAACUACAAAUUGCUCACUUUUUGGAUAUAUUUUGUGUAAAAAUGCUAUAUAACCAUUUAUAAACAUCAUCGAGCCAACUUUAUUGUUGGGUCUACCAAAACAAUUGUACAUGUAAGUUCUGAUAGAAGAAGCUAAUAACAUCUCAAUGUAGAUUAUUACAUAUGAUUAUUGUUAGCAGAAGAGUAGUAAAUUAGAACAACAAGAAUAAACUUAUUAAAUGAUGGGAAUAAUGCUCUCAUUGUUCCAUUAAAAUGUUUACAUUGAGAUUUCGAUGUAAGUGUCUAUUUACCUCAUCAGUCAUCAAGAUCCUAGAUUCAGUUUAUUUAGGUGAUUUUAAAAUGAUCCUUUUGGCUAAAGAGGUCAAUGUCAGCCUGGUAAUCUCAAUAUGGUAAAUUCAAGAUUGUUUGAAUUUAGAUUCCGCAUUAUGAAGGAGUUGUCAUUUGAUUUCCAAUCAUCAAUUCCAACAAGAUACAAAAUAAGAGAGUCUGAUAAAAGUUUACUAUGUCCAUUGAGUACAGUGAGGUGAACUUUCUCGAAGAUGUUACAAACGCCAAAAGAAAAAGUGAGGAAGACGAGAGAGAGAUCCUCUUAAGAAAAUCUGCUCACUUUCAGACCUUACGAACACAUGAUUAAAUCACUUGAACCAACAACUAGACUAAAUGAAGACUUCUUAUUAAGGUCAUCUUUAAGGGUCUGUUUGGCUGUCAAUACAAGUUAUCCAAUUAUAACAUAUGCGCUAUGUAAAAUUUUGUUUCUAACUGCUAGCUAGGAGUUUGAUUUUCGCUUGAAACUGCCAGCUAGGAGUUUGAUUUUCAUUUGUAACUUGUGCGCUAUGUAAAAUUUCGUUUGUAACUGACAGCUAGGAGUUUGAUUUUCAUUUGUAACUUGUGCGCUAUUUAAAAUUUCAUUUGUAAUUGCCAGCUAGGAGUUUGAUUUUCACUGUUUGAAAGGUUUCAGAUCCUACGAUUUGUUAGAAGAGUGUAAUUCUCCCAAGAAGUAAUUUAUCUUAUUCCAAGAAAAGGACUUGGAGGCUGAAUAUAGUAUGAAUUUCUAGAUAUUUGACCAUACUCCUUAUUUACCAAGUACUACAAGCUUCUUGAGUAAAUAAAAGAGAUGUGUUGAACACAAUGCUCACACAUCAAAACAGGCCCAUAACUAAAUGCUAUCGCCACAUCUAACAUAGGAGCUAAGAAAAGUGCAACUUAUGAAGCUCUUGAUGAGUGGAUGUUUGGUAGCACAGAUAUUUAACGAUCCGCCACCUCCCAAAUUUUAAGGCCCCUUUCUCCAAAAUGGCUUCUCUAUUACGAAAGUUAGGAUUGUUACCCCCGCCAUCAACNCCCACCCCAAAAAAAAGGAGCAGAAGAAAAAGAACAGUUCUUAAUGUUUUGUCUCACUAUACCAAUCUAAAAAGUAAACAAAAAAUUUACGGCAAGUUUUGAUGGUUGAACAUCUUAUUUGGCGCAUCUCUUUUUUUACCGAGGGGCCUUCCAACAAUUGCUAGAUUGGGGCUACCAAUGAAUGCCUGACAACAGCAUAGUAUAUGUAACAUCUAAAUAAUUUUCUAAUUUCUAGGAAUAAGAUAAAUCACUUAUAGGUAAAAUGCAUUAUCUUGAAAAAAAUCAUGAGUGCCAGAAGCUUCCAAUGGACUAAAAUGAACUUCUAGAAUGCAAUCACAAAAAGAAAAUCUAUAUAGCACAUAAGUUACCAUGGGAUAACUUGUCCUAACAUCCAAACAACCCCUUCAUGUUGUUCAGAGAUGGUCACCAGUGGGCCGGUCGACUUUCUGGGUAUCACCAUCUUUAUCCCAAAGAAAACAAUUUUCUUUUUAUGUAUGGCUGUAUGCCCAGAUUAAAUUGCAGAUCAUCUGUUGACCAUCUAUUGUUAUAUCCUCCCACUCAUCAUGAUUGCACAAAUAAGAUUUUCAAUUUGAACACAAGUAACCACCUACUGCACUGUUGGAAAAAGCAAUACAUAAAACUCUUGACCAAACAUCUGUACAGAGUAGUCAUAUGGUCCGAGCCACUUCUUCCGACUUGCAAAUUAUUCACAAAUAUAUGAAUAACUGAUCGAAAAGCCAUACAAAACUAUCUACAACCUACGAAUUGGUCGAUCAAGGUAAUCCAAGUAUUUUAUACCCUAAACCGUAAAUGAUGAACGAUAGAUUGACUACAUAAGAACACUGUAUUUUUGUACUUUUUUUAAUUUUUUGUUAAAUUCUCCAAAACUUUGCCAGACUCCAAACUUUUGAACCCUGCUGCUGAAUUUAACCCGACCGCCAAACUUGUGACCGCAAUUUUCGUCGUACUGCGCAAUUCGUGAAUAUUUUUAUGCCAGAAAUUGCAUGCUAUUGUACAGAUAUUAUUACCUGAUGAUUAAUUCCAAAUAAUAAUAACAAUAAUAAUAAUAAUAAUAAUAAUUAGCAAGAGAGCAAAUGACAAGAGACGAUGAAUAGGUUUCGUUGAUGGUUGGGAAUAGUUACAGGAGGGUGAUGAGAAUGAAGAGGAGGAGGGCGGCGACGAGGGAGUACUUGAGGGCGGCGAGGAGGAUGGCGACGGAGAUGAGGAAGAGUUGGGCGAGCACCUGGACACUGGCCCACGUCAGCAGGCCCGCCAAUCCGACGGCCACGAUGUUCUCGGGAUCCGGGUUCAGGAGGUCGCGCCACCUCAGCUCGAACUGCUGCUGCUGCGGCGGCGGCGGCGGCGGCGGCUCACCCCGGCGAUCCCCCUUCAGUUGAUCGCCGCCGCCGGCAUUGCCCCCCGCGAACACCGCGAGCCCUAAUCGGGGCCUAGGGUUUCUCCGGAACGGGAGAGCGAGGAGAAGGGGAAAGGAGGUUAAAUUGGUCCUCUUCCAACCGGAGAUGAGAGGAGGGAUUCGCCGGUGAGCGAUUGCGGGGACUGACCCCAUCAACAGGCGGACGGAAAGCUCCUCAAUCCAGACACACCCGAAUAUGGACGGUGACUGUGAGUAUUCCACAAUCUGUACGCGGACUUUUUUCGAAAAUAACCCUAUGAAAUUUCGUAAUUGGCAAAAUAACCCUGUAAAACUUUUAUUUGUGAAACUAACCCUCCUCUCGCCACCUCAACCACCACAUCAGCAUUUCUCAUAAAGACGGUGACUCGUUCACCGUCUUUAGGUCNCCAACCUCUUGAAGACGGUGAAUGGUUCACCGUCUUCUCUAGGCGUGCUCGAGGCACCCCCUUCCCAGCAAUUCCCCCCGCCUUCUAAGUAAUUCCCCGCGUAGCCUAAGGUGCCCCAAGAAAACGGUGACUCGUUUACCGCCUUAUAAAAGCGGUGAAUCGCUUGCCGUCUUAUCGAGGCCACCGCCCUCUCAGCAAUUCCCUGCGUGGCGCAAGGCCUUCUCAGCAAUUCCCCGCGUGGCGCUAGAUGCCUACGGAAGACGGUCACUCGUUUACCGCCUUAUAUAGCCGCUGAUAAGGCGGUUAUUCAUUUACCGCCUUAUCUAUGCCGCCUUAGUGUAGAACUCCACCCAGCCUAAUUUCGCUGAGUGCUCUAGAGGGGACUAAAACACAGAUAAGACGGUGAGUUGUUCACCGUCUCAUCCGGGCUCCACUAAACACGGUUAACACCGUCUCCUAGAUAAGACGGUGAACUGUCUACCAUCUUCAUGACGCGGUGAACGAUUCACCGUCUUAUGAAGACGGUGAACCGUUCACCGUCUUCAUUAGGUUACCCCACCCCAGACCAAGCCAGAUACCUCUCCCUUCCUUUUCCCACUCACGCUUUCUCUCUCUAUCUCUCUGUCUCUCUCCACGAGCCGCCCGUCGUCGCCGCUACCCGUGCCGAGGUCGCCGCCCCCUGUCGGCACAGCCCGUGCCGAGGUCGCGCCCCCUGUCGCCGACAUCGCCGCCCGUGCCAAAGUCGCCGCCCGUGCCAAAGUCACAGCCCCCUGUUGCAGCCGCCCGUCCCAAGGUCGCCGCCCCUGCCGAGGUCGCUGCCCAUCCCUCUCUCGGGUGCAUACUCUAGUGUAGGUUUAAUGUAAAUGUAGUUGGUUUAGUUGUAAAUGGGCUUGAUCAUAGAUGACAAUCCCACUUUGAAUGACACAAAUGCACAAAUGCCCCUCAAUGCUGUCUUGUUGAGUUUCUUUGCAACAUAUGUCACAAACAUUUGAGACGACUUUAUUAGACACAAUAAAGACGAAAAAGAAACAGAUAGGAGGUCACCAGCACCUUUUCUUUGCUCUAAUCUCCUUUCGGUCGGCCUCUGAUGUUACGCCCCGAGCCCGACUAUUUGGUCGGUUUCGGACAUGCCAACAGAUCGCCGAACGGACAGGGUUUUUCCUGUACUGCGGACAGAGUCUCCCCUGUACGUUCAAGGCAUAGCAAUCAAUACAAGUACAAUGAGUUCCAACCAGGAACUGUAUUCAAGCAAGAUUGCAGAAGAAGAUAUCAACAACAUAACACAUCCUAUGUUAUUACAAGCAUUCACAUUAGAUUCAUUUUACAUCUCAAUUACAUAUUACAAUUAACCUCCAAAUACAAUCAUGCUUUUAUUACAAAUUAUUGCAACUAAGUUCUUAUUCCAUUCAUUAUCUUGCAACCCUAAGUAAAGCCGACUCAGGGUACCGCUAUCUCUGGUCUCGGUGGUAGGGCACUAACUAUGGUGCUACGCCCUCGCCUCGCGCCGCCGCGCCUCUCACGUGUGAACCUGUAACACCCCAAAAUCACGUGGAGUGAGAACCAACUCUAUGGUUCCCAGUAGGUACGGCCACCCAAGAGAAAAGCUCGACCAAUAGGUCCAAGGGAGGCAACUGCAAGUUAGUUCAAUAAACAGAUAGAUAUAUAUCUUUAUUAUGCAACUAAUAAAAUCAUACUUUGCCUCACGAAUGCAAUAAUGCCAUGCUAUAUGCGAAUCAUGCAACUAUACAAGUAGAAUAAAUGAUUUUACUUUCUAUCAUGCUAUCCAUAGCUUUUUCAUAAUUUAUACAUCUUGUCACUUUACAUCAUUGGUUAUUUGCUCCUAAGGUUUUCCUCUACCUUAGCCAAGCUAACCACCCGACUCGGUCUCGAGUCAAUCAUCUGCGGAAUACCGCAUACAUCCAAGCUCAUAAUGCAUACUUUCACACAUUCACUUUGGCCUUUACCCAAUCUUUCCGGGGUUCAUCAAGUUCGCCCCAAGCUCACAUCUCACAUGUCCCAUCUACCGGGAUUAGCAUUAGGAAAUGCCCCCGAGGGAUCCAUCCCGUCUACCGGGGAAGGCACAAGGCACUGUCACCCGAGGGAUCUUCGCCGGGCACUCUCACCCGUGGUGUCUAUACUCCGGAGUACACCGCCUGUAGAGGAGCGACCUCGCACAAGCCGGAACCGAUACAUGUGAGUACGAUCCCAUCCUCAAUUUGAGGAGGUAUAGCCAACCUGUUCCAUAUCUCUAUGCCUCAAUGCCAAUGAUAGGUUUUUACCUAAUCAUGCAUAUACCGCUAAUACCAAGCCACAAUGUCACUUUGGGUUAAACUUUGUUUAACUACUUUCUUUAACACUAGGUUCAUGUCCAACCUAUGUUCUUUAACGCUAGAUUAAAUGCCACGCAUGAUUCCAACCUAUGUUCUUUAACACUAGGUUCAAUGCCACUUGAUGUCCAACCUAUGUAUAUUCACACUAGGUUCAUAUGUCCUUCAUGUCCGACCUAGGUUUACUAACACUAGGUUCAUAUCAUUCAUAUUCAACCUAUGUUCAAGACACUAGGUUUAAUGCCACUCGAUCUAAUGUAUAUAGAUUGUCCAAAUGCACAUUAUACUAGUUUUCCAAUAUCGAGUUCUCUAAUCAAUCUAGAGUUAUCGACCCCAAGUAUAAUAUGUAAAUGUCAACUAAUAUAAUCCUCUAUAUGUCAACAUGCAUAUAUACCACUAGCAUCACAUGAUAUGUCCUUUACUUAGCAUUCUUAUUUUAGCAUCCCUAAAACAUGCUUAUCAUACAUGGACUUAGUGUUUUUAUCAUGUCAUCAUCUAUAUUCUUAGCAUUAACCACAUGCUUGCAUUUAUUAUUUUUAUAUCAUGCUUAUCAUACCAUUACUUAGCAUUAUUCACAUGCAUGCUUAUCAUAUAUACUUUAGCAUUAAUCAAUGCAUUCAUCUAGCACUAUUUACAUGGAUCAACAUGAAUUCACUUUACUUAGACAUACAGGCGACCUAGUCGCUUCAGCAAGCACAACCCACCUCAUUUCGCAUUCCGAUUGCUUGUCGACACUUGCAAUCGGCCUCCCGCGGCACCCGUAACCCGGUUUGGCCCGCUCUCUUGCGCGACCACCCGAACGGCCUCCAAUUCACGAUCCGAAAAUUAAAAGUCUUCGGUUAUGUGCCACGGUGCUUCAAAUCCGUUUUCACGAUUUUACGAUGUCGCCUCGGCCCUCCAGGCGAAAACGAAGCCUAAACGUCUGUUUCUUUAAUAACUUCGCAACGGCUCGACGAAUCGCCGAACCGUCAUCGCCCACGCAUUCGUUUACCUAGCAUUUAGGUUUACAGAGGGUCAAAUGAGAUCAAACCCUCAUGUUUACCAAAUUAACAUUUUUGAGCCCUACAUUACAACUAGAUAAAAAUCCACCAUUAGAGCCUUGGUUUCAAGCAUCAAACCUCUAAUUAGCAUGCUAGAAUACCUCUAAAUUCAUUCUUAGAGCUUAAAAACCAAACUAGAGAGAAAUGCCAUUAAAGGGUUUGAAGCUUACCUUCAAAGCUUAGUCUAAUGGAGAGGAAGAAGAUGAAGAAGAUGAAUAUCAACUUCCAAGCUUGCCUCUCCACCAAAACCUUCAAUUUUGGGAGAGAUCUAGAGAGAGAAAAGGAGCUUUCUCUCUUUCCCUUUCCUUGCGUGUGUGUGUGUGUGUCGUGUGCGUGUGUGGUGUGCGGCCCAAGGAGAAGAAGAAGCAUCAGCUUCUUUAUAAUACCCCUCAAACAUUAUUCACUCCAGACAGCUUAAAAUCUAAUAACUUUCGCCGGAGCUCUCUGAAUGUCCGUUUGAGCUCAAACUUGACAGUCAUGCUCGAUUUUACGUAAUGAGCAAGAAUAUAUUUUAAUUUUUCAGUUUCGACCCCAUUUGGUCACCGAAAACUGUACCGAACUGUAAUCUUUAUCAGAUAGUUGUCGGAUUUUAUUUCUCACUCUACGGGUGUCAGAAAAAUAUGAAACUUUAAAUCUAGCCUCAUAAAAAUAUUUCUGACUUAUCCUCCAAUUUUCAUAAUUUUCUGAGACUGUGCAUUUUCUGCUAAUUUAUCUGUCCCGUUUCCAACAGAAAAUUCUAGAUCUUCUGUUUUCAUUCCGAUUUCAGCACAAGUCACUUCUGACUUAUGUUUUACUUCUAUAAAUCUAAUAAAAAUAGUUUCUCAUACUAUUUUUAUUUAUUCUUAUUUUUACACCAAAAUCUGGUAUGUUACAUCUGAAGUGUCCAGGUUGUAAGAUAUGGAUCCCGAGGAUCUAAAAGGUAAGUAACACCUAGAGGGGGGGUGAAUAGGUGUAAUCCGGCAAACUCGAAAAAUCUCGAUGCAAACAAACACAAUUGCGGAAAAUAAAAUAACACACCGAGAAUUUAACGUGGGAAAACUCCAAUUCGGAGUGAAAAACCCACGGGACCGAUCACGCAAAGAAAAUCCACUAAGAAAACUUGAGUACAAGUGAUUUCGACCAAAAACACACGACUCAAUUUACCAAUUUCUCGUUGACGGUGAUCUUUGCCGGUCCUCGAUCGAUAGGAAUCCACCAAUCGACCUUGCUGCUACUCCUUGCAGCGUCAACGCCUCAACUCCUCGAAGCGUCCACCGAAUCCUCGGCUUCGCGCGAGAUCCACGCGCCGAACCUCCUUCCGGAGCUUGUAGAAUUGAAGAUUUGCGGUGAUUUAACUUUUGAAAACCAUAAGCUAUGAGGAUUCACCUUUAAUCAAACAUCUACUUGAUUCUCGUAAGAAGUAUCGAGCAAAAACGAAGAAUCAAGCCGAUGUUGAUUGCUAGAAACUCAUUAUGUAAAUCGAAGCAUUGAAACGGGAAGAAAACGAGUUUCUAGGGUUUGGAAUUGGUAAAAUAUUCAAAGCCUUAAUUUUAGAUGACCCACAUAGCUUAUUUAUAUGUUUAGAAGACUUAGAAGUAGACUAGGAUUGCAAAAAGUCGAUUUCAAAAACCUGUGUCGUCCUCAGAGACCGGUCCUGUCGAGGAGACCGGUCUGUGAGAGACCGGUCUCUCAAGUGAGGAACCGGUCCCUCCCUGCGUGACCAAAAACCCCACGUUCGGGAACCGGUCUCUCAAACUUGAGACCGGUCCCUCGCUGCGCGACAGAACCACCAAGGUUCGGGAACCGGUCUCUCACCACAGGGGACCGGUUGCAUCAGGAUUUACGCAGUGAGGACCUUGAGGGAACCGGUCUCUCCAUUUAAGAGACCGGUCCCAGAACACAAGAAAGUUCAGAAAAUUUGUUUAAAAACAAUCUAAGCCUUCUGAACUUAUUUUAAUCAUGUAUCUUCACCACAAAUGAUCUUUUCUACAUACCUUAGGUGUCGAUCUUUCCGAAUGAGUCUUUGUCCUCCAAUUUGAAUCUUUUCUCAAAAUCUUCUGCGAUCAACUCUUCAAGACUCCAAACAACUUUACGAAAUUCGCCAACCUAUAAAAUCCUUAACACAGGUUAUAGCUGUGAAAAAAAAAGGUUGAAACUUUAGGUCAAUGAAGUUAGCUGGUAACAGAUAGAGAAUUACAAAGACCAUAACUCUCAUCUAUCCUAUAGAUUAGCUCCAUGUCUAGUUAUGUCCUUUGCAGCAAAAAAAAUAUAGAAAAGAAAAGAGAUAUAUGUCCUUGUAAAUCACGCACGAAAAUUAACAAGGAGGACUACAGUAGCAUAUAUAGAGGCAAAGAGGGAGGAAUGGGAUGACUAAAUGAUGAGCCCAAUUUAGAGUGCUUAUAACCUCACUGCUCAAAUUAUUCGCAAUAGCAGAUAUUCCAAUCUUCUCUGCCAUAAUUUAGUCUCAUUACAGCAUGAUCUAAUUUUUUCUGUGUAGUUAAAAUGGCUAGUUGUCGGAUGUCUCUUAGUGUUCAUUGGGAUGGACAGUUAGUUAUGGAUGGUAAUGGUCCCCGAUAUUUCGGUGGUCGAAAGAAAUUGAUCGCGAUUCGUUCAAAUACGACCUAUAUGAAUUUUGAGAGGAGAAUGUAUCGUUUAGUAAAUUGUAAUAGAGAAGAAUGUUGUCUUAAAUAUAAAAUUCGAUGCCCUAUGGGAGCGAAUGAAUAUAUUGAUCAUGAUAUAGUAGAUGAUGAAUCAUUGGAGGGUUUAAUUGGAUUGUCUGAAUGUUAUGGAUGUGUGUCGUUAUAUAUCGAGAAAGAUUUAUAUCCGUCGGAGACACAAUAUCAGUCGCAAGGUUAUUACACAAGUCUGCUACAUAAUAAUAUCGAUGUGGAUUUUCCGGAUGCUCCAAGUGGUGACCGUGAAGUUAGUAAUGAACUAGACACUUAUCAGAUGACAAGGUCAGUAAGAUCUAUAGAUUGCGGUGAAUAUUUUAUUUAAUUACAAAAUAUUUUGAUAAGUUUGAAUAAUAAUUACUGCAGACAGAUUCAGUCUCCACGUGCGCAACCCUCCACCGCACGUGCGCAACCCUCGACGUCACGUGCACAACCCUCGACGUCACGUGCGCAGCCCGAGACUUCACGUGACGAACCCACGAUAUUUAAUACAUCUAAUGAAAAUUACGAUUGGGGGUAAAGAAAAUGUUGAUUAUUUUUUAAUUAAUAGUAAGUGAAAUUUGAACGUCUUCUAGUAAACAUUCGGGACCUAUUGCAGGCUAUCUACGUCCUAUACAAAUUGGAAUGAAGUUCUUGAUAAUCUAAUCGAAAAAGGAGAUGAUAACGACGGUAAUCAGGACGAUGCCCCCAUUCAUAAUGAUGGUAAUCUGGAUGAUUCACCCAUUCGUAAUGACGAUAAUCAGGAUGAUGAACCCAUUCAUGAGGACGACGAUUGGAAUGAUCUAGCUGCCGACAUUGAAGAUGAUCACGAUGGUGGAUUAAAUUGCCUCGCGAAUGCCAUUUACAGCUUGAAUGAUGAACCGCAUGUAAACAACGAAUAUGUAGACAAUCCUGACGAAGAGCUUGAUUUCAUUGACCAUCCGGAGCAAUUUCCUACAGAUAACAAUUGGAUAUAAGAGCAUGUUGUGAAUUCGAGUGAGUUCGAUGUUAGACGUACCAAUUCUGAUCUACCUAGCAUUAACGGGACUUGGCUCCGUGAAAUCUUUAAAGAUAAGGCAUCUUUAGUGGAUGCUCUAGAUCGAUGGCACAUUACUCACAAUGUUCAGAUGAAAGUUUUGAAAUCUACCAAAACAACUUAUACAGUGAAAUGCACAGUUGAGGGAUGUCCUUGGAGAUUACACGCUUCGGUUCCUAAAGAUGCAACAUAUUUCAGAGUUAAGACAUAUGGAGGUCAACACACUUGUGUUAUUCCAAUGCUAAAUGCGGCGCACUGUAAUUGUACUUCAAAUCUCAUAUACUAAGUAAUUCUCCCGUUAAUGAAGGCAAGACUAAAUAUGACGCCAAAAGAAGUGCAGGAAAUGGUGCGAUCCACUUUGCAUGUUCAAAUGAGUUAUUGGAAGGCAUGGCUGGCAAGGAGCAAAGCAUUAUAGAUUAUUUACGGGAGCUGGGAACAGUCAAACACAGACUUGCCUCAGUAUCUUACUAUGCUACAGAGUACUAAUCAUGGAACUUUUUGGCGGUUUGAUCAUAGAUGGCCAUCAGAGGGAAUAUGUCAGUUUGACCGUGUUUUCUGGUCAUUUGCUCUUUCUAUUCAGGGAUUCGCACAUUGUCGACCUGUGGUGAGCAUUGAUGCCACUCACUUAUAUGGCAAAUACGAAGGCCAUGCAUUGAUAGCGACGGCUGUCGAUGCGAAUGAUAGCAUUUUCCCCUUGGCUUUUGCAAUUUGCGAAGGCGAAAAUGGCAGAAGUUGGCGUUGGUUUUUACAUAACUUGGGGCAUUAUAUUAUACGCAAUCGACCGGUUUAUUUUAUCUCCGAUAGAUUUAGUAGCUUAAAGGAAAUAGUGGCUGAGUUAUAUCCCACUCGACAGGGGCAUGCACACCGGUGGUGUUUUCGACACAUGAAAGCAAAUAUGGCUAAGCGGUUUAAAAAUGAUUCAUUAUUAGACAAAUUCUAUUAUAUCGGCAGUGCUCCAACAUCGGUACAAUAUUAUAAACUAAAAGAUGAGUUACUCGCGCUAGAUCAAGAUGCUUGGAAGUAGGUCGAUGAGCUCGAAGUAUACAAAGAGUAUUGGGCGUGGGCAUUUGAUGGAGGUCGACGCUUCGGGUUGAUGACCACAUAUAUGUCCGAAAGUUUAAAUGGGGUACUUAAGGAAAUUCGUGCUCUCCCAGUAACGGCAUUUGUCGCGGAAACUUUUUUAUAAACUUAAUAGUUAUUUUGUAAAGCGUCGUGAAAAUGGUGAAAGCAUGACGGGUACGUUAGCACCUAAAAUACAAAGUCGGAUUACGAUGACUAUGGUGACGGCGCGGGGACACAUGCAUUGUAUAUCGAUUUGGGCCUAAUGAGUUUGAAGUCCAAAUAUGACACUCUAAUUACAAUGUUACCCUUAAUGGAACACAAGCGGAUUGUAAUUGCGGCGAAUUCAAGCUAACGGGCAUUCCUUACUCGCAUAUUUUAGCAGUUUGCAGUAAUUCACAACUAAGAAUAGAUUAUCAUAAUCUUUGUUCCCAUUAGUAUAUUGUAAAGUGUUAUUGCCAGACAUACGCACCGCUUUUCCAUCCAGUUCCAGACAGACGCUACUGGCCAUGACCCUAGGGCCCACCAAUUGUACCGCCUCCCGUGAGAAAGAAGAAAGGUCGACCACGAUCAACACGUAUUCGUAAUAUAAUAGACGAAACAAGUGGACGACGAACAAAAUGUAGCAUUUGUAAACAGGGAGGUCAUUAUAGAAACACCUGUCCACAGAAUACAGAGAUAGCACAACAAGGACGUCGACGUAGGACUUGAUACCUAACUUAAUAGUAUUUAUGAAACUUUCAAUCUUUCAAUAUUCCAUGCGCUUUUUGAUAAUAUGUUACUAAUUACAAAUUAUUUAAAAUUGCAGAUAGCAGAUCUAGAGGAGGCGAGACCAGUUGAUGAGUCCAUCCUGACAGAGCAGCAUCUCCAUAGGUCUUCAUUUAUCACGACUGAGGUGAGAGCCAAAAUUAUUGUUUUAAAUAUUUUCUUUAGUAUUGGUUUGAAUAUAUAUAUUGUUCUAACUAAUUUUUUAUCACUGUAGGGAUAUCGCGGGGUGCAGUUCAUAGAGCAUGGCCGCAAAUUAAACCAGUGGGAGCUUGAUCAUCCAGCAGUGCUAGAUUUGCUACGACAGUCUGGAUUUUAUUAUAUUUCUCGACUUAGGCGUCUACAGCUGGAUCAGGCAUUAUUAGGAGCUUUGAUCGAGCGAUGGAGACGGGAGACCCAGAUAUUUCACUUCCGCCACGGUGAGAUGACGAUUACACUUUAGGAUGUGGCGGUUAUUUCGGGUCUUCGUGUCGAUGGAGCGCCGGUCACUGGGACUACAGUGUAUCCGUGGCCAGAUAUUUGUCAGGCGCUUUUAGGGGUUGUGCCGGAUGACAUCCGAGCUGGACAAAUUAGAUUAGAUUAGAUAUACCAGCAGUUUCAUCACCUACAUUUGGAUGCUCCGGCUGGAUUAGUUGCAGCCACUGCACGUGCAUAUAUAUUAUAUCAGAUUGGCUGUAGUCUAUUUCCAAACCCCACCGGAUAUAGGGUUCAUCUUAAGUGGCUGCCACUUAUAGCGGAUUUUGAUGCAUGCGGCGCUUUAGCUUGGGGUGCAGCAGCACUGGCCUAUCUAUAUCGAGCUUUGGGAUCGGCUGCAUUAAAAGGAAGGGUCGAAUGCUGUUGCUUCGCGACAUUAGUACAGGUAUUAUGAGUAAUAUAUAAUAAUUGUUAUAUAAAGCUUCUUUUAUUUAAGUUCAACAGUUUAAUUUAUUGUCAUUUAUUUAUAAAUUUGGGUGUAGGACCAUCUACAUGUCGGCCGACCUACUAGCGUUGGAGCUGUUGCCGACAUGGCUGAUUGCCCUAUGGGUUGCCGGUAUGACAUAUAAAUUUGAUACCGAAUAUAUUUCUAUAUAUAUAUAUAUAUACAUUUGCAACUGUCACAGCCCGCGACCACCCGCCUAUUUGGCCGAGGUCGCGGCGCCGACGACAGUGCCAAAUGGACAGGGUUUCCCCUGUACUGCGGACAGAGUCUCCCCUGUACAUUCAAGGCAACGCAAUCAAUACAAUACGAAGGUUCCAACCAGGAACUGAUAUCAAUCAAGAUUGCAUAAAGGAAGGUAUCAACAACAUAUCACAUCCUACGUUAUUACAUGCAUUCUCAUUCAUAUGUUUUUACAUCACAGUUCUUUUUACAUUCAUUUUCUUUUUCAUCCAAAUGCAAUCUAGUUAUUACAAAUUUAUUUACAAAUUGAUACAUUGUGUUCUUUCCAUUUUCUAUACCCCUAGCCACGUCGACGGGGUACUGCUAGCUCUGGUCUCUGGGUAAGGCGCUAUCUACGGAGCUACGCCCUCGCCUCGUGCCGCCGCGCCACACUCGUACAACCUGUAAACACCCCAAAACAACGUGGGGUGAAAACCAAUUCCAUGGUUUCCAGUGGGUACGGCCACCCAAGGGAAAAGCUCGACCAAAAGGUCUAAGUAGGCCCUGCAACAUGUUAGUUCAACAAUAUACAACAGAUAUAUAUAUAUAUAUNNNNNNNNNNNNNNNNNNNNNNNNNAUAUAUAUAUAUAUAUUCAAUUGAAAUACAUGUCAGGCCUAACAAUAUGCAAUAUGCAACUCAUGCAACUCUAGUAGAUCAUUUGAUUCUACGUUUACUUGGCUACUUUUAGCUCAUAACUUUACUCUAAGGUUUCUAUUACCUUAGUUCACAACUCAAGUUCACAUUGCCUCUAAGGUCUUUAUUACCUUAGCUCUUAUCUUUAUCACUAGUUUAUAAGGUUUCUAUUAACCUAAUCAAGCUAACCACCCGACUCGGCCUCGAGUCAAUCAUUCGCGGAUAGUCCGCGCACUGGCCGCUCUCGGUGACUUAACCAGCUGGCGGCGAAAUCGUCGCACACGCCGAACACUAGUUCAAGUCCCUUGACUUGGCCAUCUGGCGGCGAACGAAUCGCACCUCACCCAACAAUAGCCCAAGUUGAUCUAGCGGCUGUCACGCCCCGCCCCGAGUCCGCUACCUAUUUGGCACGAUUCGGGCACGGCGAACGGACCGCCGAACGAACAGAGUUUCCUCUGUUCGCCCAAGGCUCCACGACUAGAUUGUGUACACAAGUUCCCAGGAAACAACUUGGCGACAUACACAAUCAACUAACCACCACAAUUACGAGAGCACAAACAGUGCUAAUCAAAUAAGGGCAAGCAACACAUGUAAAGCUUACAAGUGAUAAAAGAGAGAUGUACUUAAUUAUAAACUCAUUAAUUUACACAACUAUCCAUUCUUUUACAUUCUUUCCAAACCUGUACAACAUGUAUAUAAUACAAUUCACUCAAACCUCACCCUUUACAUCAGUCUACUCUCAAAAUAGGUACAGGGUGAUCUAAUGCAUAGGAAGUAAGCUACCAAAAUGCUCAGGGCGCCAAGCGCUUGCCGCGAUCCUCGCCGGGGACGCUCGAACUCGGACCUGCAACAUGGUGGAGUGAGAACUACGAAUAGUUCCCAGUGGGUUCGGCCACCGACUCCGCCGAUCUCCCCACUAGGUCUUAAGCAGGCAUAAAUAGAUAUGCAAAUAGAGAGAUAUGUAUAUAAAACUGAAAGCAGUAACGAACAACUAUAAUCUAUCAAUGCCUCAAUCUAGUGAAAUGCAUGCAUGGAACUCAUAGUAAGAAGGCUGACUAUCAUACUACCAUGUUCAACAACAAAGUCAUUCAACUGAUUACCCAAUCUCUCGGUGAACACGAAGCUCGCUCACAACUCACAUGUAUCAAUCUCCUAGGGAGGUGGCUAGCUUUUCACCAUCCCCGAGACCGCCUGCGGACACUACACUGGUCCAAGGGCAUCUACACUGGCCCCCUUCGCGUGCUAGGCUCCGGAGUGCACUAUCUGUGAGGAGCUACCUCCACAGGUGCAGACAGGCUAAGUGAGCUCGGUCCAAUCUCAUGUACUGGGAACAACCUAACCAACCAGGGGUGAUAGCAACCUAGUAUCUCACUAUACUAGUGUUCUCAUGCCACUCUCGCACUAUUUAAUGCCACUCGUUCAAGGUUUAGGGUUAACUAGAUGCCACUCGUUCUGGUUCUCUAUUCAUAUAAUCAUAUUCAUCAGAUAUAGGGUUAACUGUCUCGCAACGCUCGGCUCAUGCAUACUAGGUUCAUAAUCAUGUAACCAUAAUUCACACUAUCACUAGCAUGCAAGGAUAUGUACAAUUGCAUUUAACACCCUAUAAAGCUAUGUACAAUAUGUAAAGGGAUCGACGAUGACACUCAGACAUAAAAGGCAGCCCGACUGCUUCGGGAUGGCACUCCCCCACCUCGUGGUGAUGCCGCGACUCCUCGCUUGCAAUUCACCGAUCUCUCGACGCCUCGCUAGACCGCCGAGCGAAACCGAAGCUCCGGGGUCACCGUGGCUCUAACUUUGCAGCCGCUUGACGGAUCGACGCGCCGUCUUCGCCGACGCGUUCAGGGACCUAGCAAUUAGGUUUAGGACCCAUCAAUCGAGAUCAAAACCCUAGAUUUCUCGGUAUCCAAAAUCGUGCCCUGGAAUAGCAACGGCGGGAAAACCCGUGGUGCGAGCUUCGAUUGCGAGCUCGAACCACCACUCUAGCUUUAAUAGGUUCCAUUCGAACCACUUCCUAGCUACAAAACCUCAAAACCCGAGAAAUACCAUUAAAGGGUUAGAAGCUUACCUCUAAAGGCCUAGCUCCAACAAGAGAAGAAGAUGGUGAAGAGGUUCACCACUUUGAUCUUCUUCUUCUUCUACUUCUUCUCCUACUUCUCCUCUUCUUUCUUCUCCUUUCCUUUUUCUUCUCCUUCUCUCUCUUUUUUUUUUGUUUCUAGAGAGAGAGAACGUGAGAGUGAGAGGGAGAGAGAGACAUCUGAGAGAGGGAAGGAGGUCCCCCAACCCUAAUAUAAGCCAUUUUGCAUCUAAGCCCCUCAACUUUUCAAUUUCCGAAUCAGCCCUCACAGGGCAUUUUCGCAGUGAGGGACCGGUCCCAGGUCGGGGAGACCGGUCCCCGAAAGCUGCACAACCAGGCAGAGGGGAUUUCGCGUUCGGGAACCGGUCCUUGCCUGAGAGACCGGUCCCCGGGAGACCGGUCCUUGUCCGAGAGACCGGUUCCUGAGAGCAACACUUCCGGGACUUAGCCAAAUUUCGGCUUCUCUCGCUGGACCAACGUUCGGGAACCGGUCCUUGUUCGCCAGGGACCGGUUGCACCAAGGAUCCUCGCCAGCCCAGCCCGAUGGGACCGGUCCCUCUCCGCCAGGGACCGGUCCCCGAGAGCAUUUCUGCUCCAGUGCAGCUUUUGCACUGGUGCUCUCGCGGACACCUCCUCAAUGCACCUUAUACAUUGUGAUCAUCUUCGGACUUUCCAAAGCACACCAACUCGACAAAUAGUCGAUCCCACUCGAAGUCUAAUCCUCGGAUUUCGAUAAUUCACUUCCCUUACAGCGGCAUAAUCCACAAACUUGCUUAACCAUCUGGCGGCGAAAUCGUCGCACACGCCACGACAAUGGUUCAAGCCCCGGGAGGUGAUCUUUGCGCAUUCACCCCCAGUCCAUCCUUGGUAUCAACCUCGACGGCGAAAUCGUCGCACACGCCCUAGCCUUGAUACCAAGGUUAGCAUAGCACAAGUCCUGGGAUUCCGGAAUCCACUUCCACAGGUCGAGGGUCCAUAGCCAACCCUAUGCUGUCGACCUAAAACAUCCUAAUGGUUGCUACCACUAUACUCAACAACCUAGGUUCAAUGCCACUCUAGGUUUACUAUUCAACCUAUGUUCACUAACACUAGGUUGUUCAACAUCACUAUGUCCGACCUAUGUUUAUUCACAUUAGGUUAGAUGCCACUCGAUCUAUUUGCUUCUAGGUCUACUCACGACCUAUGUUCUUUAACAAUAAGUUAGAUGCCACUCGAUCUAUUUGAUUCUAGGUCUACUCACGACCUAUGUUCUUUAACAAUAGUUAGAUGCCACUCGAUCUAGUUCACAUGCUACCUGUCCAUACCGAGUGUUCCAAUUAUACAAUCCUAUUUUCCAAUGUCAUUUCUCUAAUCAAGCUAGAGUUAUCAACCAAGUUCAUGUUUCAUAAAUCUAGCAUAAUAUCCUACAUUAGUAGGCACUUUAUCUAACAUUCAUUUCUACAUGAAUAUGUUAUCAACAUGCAUUUCAUUCUAUGCAUUAUAUUUACAUGCAUCCUUCUAGUUUACAUGCGUAUAUAUAUAAUCUUUUAUAUACAUCUAUUUCAGCAUUUACAUCAUAUCAUGCAUUACUAGCAUUACAUUAUUAUCAUGCAUUACUAGCAUUAUGUAACUUGCACACUUUAACUCUAACUAGCUCUUUAUGCUAGUUUCAUAAGUUCAAUCUCAAUGCUAACCAAUACUCUGAUUAUAGUGUCACAAAUCCACUAUUGUCUUGGUUCACAAUAAAUUCAUGCAUUCAUAGGUUUUUAUGUUCACAUACUACUAUUCAUUGGUUCUCAACAUUGAUAGAAAUUCAAAUAUUUCAUUAUCAUUGGUAUAGUGCCAAUACCCUAUAAUGCAUGAAUACUAAUAAUAUGCUCAAUGAAACAUUAUAGACAUAAUACUAGCAUUAUGUAACUUGCUCACUAUGCAUUUCUACUUAGCAUUUACAUUAACACGCAUUAUUUAACGCUUAUAUGCAUCAACCCGAAUUCUUAAUUUGCUUAGACAUAAAGGCGACCUAGUCGCUUCGGUAAGCACAACCCACCUCGAUUCGCGUUCCGAUUGCUUGUCGACACUUGCAAUCGGCCUCCCGCGGCGCCCGGUACCCGUUUGGGCCCGAUUUCGUAGUUGCGCCUCAACCGUCCUCCGCUUCGCAGCCCCGAAAAUUAUAGGUCUUCGGUUUGAUGCCACGAUGCUACAAAUCCAUUUUCACGACUUUACAACAUCGCCUCGGCCCUGCAGGCGGAUACGAAGCCUAACGUCCGUUUCUUUAAUAACUUCGCAACGGCUCGACGAAUCGCCGAACCGUCUUCGCCAACGCGUUUGUUUACCUAACAAUUAGGUUUACGAAGGGUCAAAUGAGAUCAAACCCUACUAGUAGCAAAAUUUGCAUUUUGAACCCUAGGUUUCAAGUAUUGCAAGAAUACACAAUAUAACCUUGGAUUCAAGCAAUAGAACUUCUAAUUAGCAUAUAGGAAUGCUACUAAAUCCAUUUCUAUGAAUUAUACAUAAAGCUUUGGAGAUCUACCAUGAGAGGGAUCGAGAAGCUCAUCUCAAAAAUAGCUCCAAACCAUGGAGAAGAUGAAGAAGAUGAAGACGAUUCAUCGCCAAGCUUCAAUCUCCACCAAUUUCUCUCUUUUUGGGAGAGAUUUAGAGAGAGAAAGAGAGCUUUCUCCUUUCCAUUCCAUGCGUGUUUGUUUGUGUGUGUGAUGCGGUUUGGGGCAGCCUCGGUUGGGGAAGGAGAAGAAGAAAGGGUUUUAAACCCUUUUUACCAUUUUGCCCCUCAACUACGCACUAUUCACUACGGACAGUUUAUUUUUCGCCGGAGCCCUUCUGAAUGUCCGAUUGAGCUCAAAUUUGACAGGCAUGCUCGGUUUUACUUAAUAAGUCCAAAGAAAUUUUAAUAUUUCAGUUUCGACCCCGUUUGGUCACUGAAAACUGUACCGAACUGCAAUCUUUAUCAGAUAGCUUUCGGAUGCUAUUUCUCUCUCUACGGGCGUCAGAAAAAUAUGAAACUUCAAAUCUAGCCUCAUAAAAAUAUUUCUGACUUAUCCUCCAAUUUUCAUAAUUUUCUGAGACUGUGCAUUUUCUGCUAAUUUAUCUGCCCCGUUUCCAACAGAAAAUUCUAAAUCUUCUGUUUUCAGUCCGAUUUCAGCACAAGUCAUUUUUGACUUAUGUUUUACUCCUCUAAAUCUAAUAAAAAUAGUAUCUCACACUAUUUUAUUUAUUUUCAUUUUUAUAUUUAAAAUUCGGUAUGUUACAUUCCACCGCAACUUCACCGGAACCAUUUAAAUGUAUACCGUGACUUCAUGAUUUUAGAAGUUCGGUAUGUUACAGCAACUAACAAAUAUACUUUUUAAAUAUUAGGUAGACGAAUGCCGGUGGGUUACGUUUUGCAGCAAACGUUAGAACAACAGAUAUUGAGUUCUACAGUGAUGAGUUAGACCAACAGAGAGAGACUCAGGUACAUAUUAAUGCAACCAUUUUUUGACUAUUUCAACUGAUAUUUUAGCUGACUAAUAUUGGAUUUUUCACAGAUGACAUGGCGGCCAUACACAGAUGCUAUUAUAAAUGCGCUACCUGUAUUCUGUGUAUAGGGCAGUGAGGUAUAGCGAUCUCGGAUGACACUGAUUUGUUUUCAUAUCGUUGAGCUUCACGUGCCGGAUCGAGUCCUACGGCAGUUUGGUCUCCUCCAACAUAUACCCAUUCCGGUGGAGACCAUCCGACGCUACACUUCUCAGGGGCGGCCAGAUGAGGGUUGGGCUCACUUUCAUGCUGCACACAUCGAGAGAUGGGGAGAUAGAUUACAGGCCAUUAUUGACCAGCAUCCGAUUGUCGGUGAUGACUCGGUACAGGCGACCUCGAUUUAUAUGAAGUGGUACUGGCAUAUCACGAGACGAUAGAUUUCUCGUCCAGUACAGCGUCCACCAUUGACUUACCAGCCUCGUGGCCAGAUCGAGAGAGCUUUGGUACGAUCACUCAGCCCAUUUAUUAUUUUUUUAAUCUUUUGUAUAAUAUAGAUUGCCAAAAGUGAGUUAUUAUCUAUAAUGCAGGUGGACACUAUAUGACAGACACAGUAUAGCAUCAGAAGCCUAGUUCAUGAUCGACCUUCUUACGAUGCAGUGAUGGAGGCAUUGACGGGCAUGGAUAUCGAUCUUGAUAGUGUACCGGAGUACAUUCCUACUAUACCUAUCGCCACUGAUAUCAGAGGUCGAGAUUUUGGACAUGCAUCGACAUCUGGUCAUCACCACCGUCAGACACCGACAUCUGCUGGAUCUCCAUCUCCUAGUGAUGUUGCUGAUAUGCCCGCUGCCCCUGAGAGAUUUCCUACUAGGCCAUUGGACUUGGACUUGCUUUUGCCGCCGCCAGUCUCUAGAGAGCACUUUACAUUCGUCUAUUCUCGAUGUCAUGCCGCGUCUUCAUCACAGACCCGCCCAACAUCUAGACCAGCCACUAUUGAGGAGACUCAGGCGAUACCGGAGCAUCGCGAGGGCAUUAUGAUUGCGGAUCUCGAUGAGAUGGCCGAUAUCGAGGCAAUUGAUGACAUACCUAUUGCUGAUCUCGUUGUAGAGGGUGGCCGUAGACGUGGACGUGGCCGUGCACGAGGACGUGGCCGAGGACGUCGAGGGAGAGGACGAUCGAGAGGCUAAUUGUAUAUCUUUGAUUUCGAUAAUUUAGACUUUGUAUAAUAUUAUAUAAUACUUAAUUUAGUGCAUAUUUGUAUAUUUCUCGGGGUUUUUUUUGAUAUUUUUAUCCUGUUGAAUGUAUCUUUUUAUUCCACUCGAUCUGUUGUGUUUCUUGUUGGAAUAUUUAUUAUCGUAAAAAAACUUGCGUUAAACUUGUUAAAAUUUUUUAAAAAACCAAGCUUAAAUCAGUACCUGGUGCUGUUUGCACUAAAGGCGGUGAAUGGUUCACCGUUCACCGCCUUUAGUGCAAAUCCACAAACACGGGAAAAAAAAGGGCUAAGUCCUGGACUGCGUUGUGUUUGCACUAAAGACGGUGAACGAGUCAUCGUCGUCAGAUAAGACGGUGAACGCUUCACCGUCUUAUCUAUGCCACAAACCCGGGCGGUUGGGCGGGGGAUUUGCUGAGAAGGCGGUGAAUGGUUUACGCCUAGAUAAGGCGAUAAACGAUUCAUCGCCUUUACCUACUUUAGAUAAGACGGUGAACAAUUCACCGUCUUAUCUAUGACACAAACCCGGGCUGUUGGGCGGGGGAUUUGCUGAGAAGACGGUGAAUGGUUUACGCCUAGAUAAGGCGAUAAACGAUUCACCGCCUUUACCUACUUUAGAUAAAAGACGGUGAACAAUUCACCGUCUUGUCAUAACCGUCUUAUCUAUGACACAAACCCGGGCUGUUGGGCGGGGGAUUUGCUGAGAAGGAGGUGAAUGGUUUACGCCUAGAUAAGGCGGUAGACGAUUCACCGCCUUUGUUAAGGCGGUAAACGAGUAACCGUCUUCUCAGGCACCUUAAGCUACGCGGGGAAUUGCUGAGAAGGCGGGUGAUACGCGGGGAAUUGCUGAGAAGGCGGUGAAUGGUCCACGCCUAGAGAAGACGAUGAACCAUUCACCGUCUUCGUGACGCUAGACUAAAGACGGUGAACGAGUCACCGUCUUUGUGAGAAAUGCUCAUGUGGCGGCCGAGGUGGCGAGAGGACGGUUAGUUUCACAAAUAAAAGUUUCACAGGGUUAUUUUGCCAAUUACGAAAUUUCAAAGGGUUAUUUUCGAAAAAAGUCCUCUAUACGCAGCUAGGCAAUUUUAUUUUUGACUGAGAGCUCUCUCCAUUUUUCCCUUUUUUUCAAUUAAUUAAUUAUUUAUUUGCUUAAUUAUGCUCCACUGUAUUACACUUUCACCCGUUUAGCAUAGUUUCUGAAAAAGUAAUUUUUAAAAAAAGUGAUUUACUUUGGAGAAGUAAUUUUGAUUAAAAGCUGUAGGGCGUUUGACUAAGUUUAGAUAAAAGUGAUUUAUCUGAAGUGAUUUUAAGUUGUUUGCCAAAAUUUUUUUGAUGUUUUCAAAAAUUAAUUUUCUUAUUAAAUUUUAUUUUAAAAUAAUUUAAAAUCCAUUUANNNNNNNNNNNNNNNNNNNNNNNNNNNNNNNNNNNNNNNNNNNNNNNNNNNNNNNNNNNNNNNNNNNNNNNNNNNNNNNNNNNNNNNNNNNNNNNNNNNNNNNNNNNNNNNNNNNNNNNNNNNNNNNNNNNNNNNNNNNNNNNNNNNNNNNNNNNNNNNNNNNNNNNNNNNNNNNNNNNNNNNNNNNNNNNNNNNNNNNNNNNNNNNNNNNNNNNNNNNNNNNNNNNNNNNNNNNNNNNNNNNNNNNNNNNNNNNNNNNNNNNNNNNNNNNNNNNNNNNNNNNNNNNNNNNNNNNNNNNNNNNNNNNNNNNNNNNNNNNNNNNNNNNNNNNNNNNNNNNNNNNNNNNNNNNNNNNNNNNNNNNNNNNNNNNNNNNNNNNNNNNNNNNNNNNNNNNNNNNNNNNNNNNNNNNNNNNNNNNNNNNNNNNNNNNNNNNNNNNNNNNNNNNNNNNNNNNNNNNNNNNNNNNNNNNNNNNNNNNNNNNNNNNNNNNNNNNNNNNNNNNNNNNNNNNNNNNNNNNNNNNNNNNNNNNNNNNNNNNNNNNNNNNNNNNNNNNNNNNNNNNNNNNNNNNNNNNNNNNNNNNNNNNNNNNNNNNNNNNNNNNNNNNNNNNNNNNNNNNNNNNNNNNNNNNNNNNNNNNNNNNNNNNNNNNNNNNNNNNNNNNNNNNNNNNNNNNNNNNNNNNNNNNNNNNNNNNNNNNNNNNNNNNNNNNNNNNNNNNNNNNNNNNNNNNNNNNNNNNNNNNNNNNNNNNNNNNNNNNNNNNNNNNNNNNNNNNNNNNNNNNNNNNNNNNNNNNNNNNNNNNNNNNNNNNNNNNNNNNNNNNNNNNNNNNNNNNNNNNNNNNNNNNNNNNNNNNNNNNNNNNNNNNNNNNNNNNNNNNNNNNNNNNNNNNNNNNNNNNNNNNNNNNNNNNNNNNNNNNNNNNNNNNNNNNNNNNNNNNNNNNNNNNNNNNNNNNNNNNNNNNNNNNNNNNNNNNNNNNNNNNNNNNNNNNNNNNNNNNNNNNNNNNNNNNNNNNNNNNNNNNNNNNNNNNNNNNNNNNNNNNNNNNNNNNNNNNNNNNNNNNNNNNNNNNNNNNNNNNNNNNNNNNNNNNNNNNNNNNNNNNNNNNNNNNNNNNNNNNNNNNNNNNNNNNNNNNNNNNNNNNNNNNNNNNNNNNNNNNNNNNNNNNNNNNNNNNNNNNNNNNNNNNNNNNNNNNNNNNNNNNNNNNNNNNNNNNNNNNNNNNNNNNNNNNNNNNNNNNNNNNNNNNNNNNNNNNNNNNNNNNNNNNNNNNNNNNNNNNNNNNNNNNNNNNNNNNNNNNNNNNNNNNNNNNNNNNNNNNNNNNNNNNNNNNNNNNNNNNNNNNNNNNNNNNNNNNNNNNNNNNNNNNNNNNNNNNNNNNNNNNNNNNNNNNNNNNNNNNNNNNNNNNNNNNNNNNNNNNNNNNNNNNNNNNNNNNNNNNNNNNNNNNNNNNNNNNNNNNNNNNNNNNNNNNNNNNNNNNNNNNNNNNNNNNNNNNNNNNNNNNNNNNNNNNNNNNNNNNNNNNNNNNNNNNNNNNNNNNNNNNNNNNNNNNNNNNNNNNNNNNNNNNNNNNNNNNNNNNNNNNNNNNNNNNNNNNNNNNNNNNNNNNNNNNNNNNNNNNNNNNNNNNNNNNNNNNNNNNNNNNNNNNNNNNNNNNNNNNNNNNNNNNNNNNNNNNNNNNNNNNNNNNNNNNNNNNNNNNNNNNNNNNNNNNNNNNNNNNNNNNNNNNNNNNNNNNNNNNNNNNNNNNNNNNNNNNNNNNNNNNNNNNNNNNNNNNNNNNNNNNNNNNNNNNNNNNNNNNNNNNNNNNNNNNNNNNNNNNNNNNNNNNNNNNNNNNNNNNNNNNNNNNNNNNNNNNNNNNNNNNNNNNNNNNNNNNNNNNNNNNNNNNNNNNNNNNNNNNNNNNNNNNNNNNNNNNNNNNNNNNNNNNNNNNNNNNNNNNNNNNNNNNNNNNNNNNNNNNNNNNNNNNNNNNNNNNNNNNNNNNNNNNNNNNNNNNNNNNNNNNNNNNNNNNNNNNNNNNNNNNNNNNNNNNNNNNNNNNNNNNNNNNNNNNNNNNNNNNNNNNNNNNNNNNNNNNNNNNNNNNNNNNNNNNNNNNNNNNNNNNNNNNNNNNNNNNNNNNNNNNNNNNNNNNNNNNNNNNNNNNNNNNNNNNNNNNNNNNNNNNNNNNNNNNNNNNNNNNNNNNNNNNNNNNNNNNNNNNNNNNNNNNNNNNNNNNNNNNNNNNNNNNNNNNNNNNNNNNNNNNNNNNNNNNNNNNNNNNNNNNNNNNNNNNNNNNNNNNNNNNNNNNNNNNNNNNNNNNNNNNNNNNNNNNNNNNNNNNNNNNNNNNNNNNNNNNNNNNNNNNNNNNNNNNNNNNNNNNNNNNNNNNNNNNNNNNNNNNNNNNNNNNNNNNNNNNNNNNNNNNNNNNNNNNNNNNNNNNNNNNNNNNNNNNNNNNNNNNNNNNNNNNNNNNNNNNNNNNNNNNNNNNNNNNNNNNNNNNNNNNNNNNNNNNNNNNNNNNNNNNNNNNNNNNNNNNNNNNNNNNNNNNNNNNNNNNNNNNNNNNNNNNNNNNNNNNNNNNNNNNNNNNNNNNNNNNNNNNNNNNNNNNNNNNNNNNNNNNNNNNNNNNNNNUAUAUAUAUAUAUAUAUAUAUAUAUAUAUAUAUAUAUAUAUAUAUAUGCUGGAAUACUAUUAAUAGCACCAAUGACUUGGUGCUAUUAAGUUUUCUACCGUUGGAUUAAAAGAUGUGCGGUUAGAAUGAUGUGGGCCCCCUAGGGUUGAGUGAGUGGUUGGUUGAAUAGUAUAAUCUAACGGGUAAAAAUGAUCAAAAGGGUUAAUCUAAUGGCAGAAAACUUGAUAGCACCAACUACUUCGUGCUAUUGAUAGUAUCCCAGCUGGACUCAUAUAUAUAUAUAUAUAUAGUACUAACUUGAUACACUUUAAACCACAAGUUACUAAAGUGAUAAAGUGAGAAACCACAAAAUACUAAAGUGAUAAAGUGAGAAACCAUAUGGUACAAACUUAAUACACUUUAAAUCACAAGUUACUUAAAUAAAAAAAUGUGAAACCACAUGGAGUUUUUUAAANAAAAUUUAAAAUAAUUAUGAAAUUUAAAAUAUAAAAAUUAAAAUUUAAAAUUAUAAAUUUAAAUUUAAAAAUAUAAAUAUGUAAAGGUGUUGUUUGGCUUAGCUUUUAAAAAGCACUUUUGGGUUGAAAAGUGAUUUUCGGCUCAAUAAAACGUUUGACAACCUCAUUUUUUUUAAAUCUGAUUCUGCUUUUCAGAAUCAGAAAACUGAUUUUGAAAGUCCAGAAUCAGAAACAGAAAAAAACUACUUCUUGAAAUCUGAUUCUAAUUUUGGACACCAAAUUCAAAUUUUUAUUUUNNNNNNNNNNNNNNNNNNNNNNNNNNNNNNNNNNNNNNNNNNNNNNNNNNNNNNNNNNNNNNNNNNNNNNNNNNNNNNNNNNNNNNNNNNNNNNNNNNNNNNNNNNNNNNNNNNNNNNNNNNNNNNNNNNNNNNNNNNNNNNNNNNNNNNNNNNNNNNNNNNNNNNNNNNNNNNNNNNNNNNNNNNNNNNNNNNNNNNNNNNNNNNNNNNNNNNNNNNNNNNNNNNNNNNNNNNNNNNNNNNNNNNNNNNNNNNNNNNNNNNNNNNNNNNNNNNNNNNNNNNNNNNNNNNNNNNNNNNNNNNNNNNNNNNNNNNNNNNNNNNNNNNNNNNNNNNNNNNNNNNNNNNNNNNNNNNNNNNNNNNNNNNNNNNNNNNNNNNNNNNNNNNNNNNNNNNNNNNNNNNNNNNNNNNNNNNNNNNNNNNNNNNNNNNNNNNNNNNNNNNNNNNNNNNNNNNNNNNNNNNNNNNNNNNNNNNNNNNNNNNNNNNNNNNNNNNNNNNNNNNNNNNNNNNNNNNNNNNNNNNNNNNNNNNNNNNNNNNNNNNNNNNNNNNNNNNNNNNNNNNNNNNNNNNNNNNNNNNNNNNNNNNNNNNNNNNNNNNNNNNNNNNNNNNNNNNNNNNNNNNNNNNNNNNNNNNNNNNNNNNNNNNNNNNNNNNNNNNNNNNNNNNNNNNNNNNNNNNNNNNNNNNNNNNNNNNNNNNNNNNNNNNNNNNNNNNNNNNNNNNNNNNNNNNNNNNNNNNNNNNNNNNNNNNNNNNNNNNNNNNNNNNNNNNNNNNNNNNNNNNNNNNNNNNNNNNNNNNNNNNNNNNNNNNNNNNNNNNNNNNNNNNNNNNNNNNNNNNNNNNNNNNNNNNNNNNNNNNNNNNNNNNNNNNNNNNNNNNNNNNNNNNNNNNNNNNNNNNNNNNNNNNNNNNNNNNNNNNNNNNNNNNNNNNNNNNNNNNNNNNNNNNNNNNNNNNNNNNNNNNNNNNNNNNNNNNNNNNNNNNNNNNNNNNNNNNNNNNNNNNNNNNNNNNNNNNNNNNNNNNNNNNNNNNNNNNNNNNNNNNNNNNNNNNNNNNNNNNNNNNNNNNNNNNNNNNNNNNNNNNNNNNNNNNNNNNNNNNNNNNNNNNNNNNNNNNNNNNNNNNNNNNNNNNNNNNNNNNNNNNNNNNNNNNNNNNNNNNNNNNNNNNNNNNNNNNNNNNNNNNNNNNNNNNNNNNNNNNNNNNNNNNNNNNNNNNNNNNNNNNNNNNNNNNNNNNNNNNNNNNNNNNNNNNNNNNNNNNNNNNNNNNNNNNNNNNNNNNNNNNNNNNNNNNNNNNNNNNNNNNNNNNNNNNNNNNNNNNNNNNNNNNNNNNNNNNNNNNNNNNNNNNNNNNNNNNNNNNNNNNNNNNNNNNNNNNNNNNNNNNNNNNNNNNNNNNNNNNNNNNNNNNNNNNNNNNNNNNNNNNNNNNNNNNNNNNNNNNNNNNNNNNNNNNNNNNNNNNNNNNNNNNNNNNNNNNNNNNNNNNNNNNNNNNNNNNNNNNNNNNNNNNNNNNNNNNNNNNNNNNNNNNNNNNNNNNNNNNNNNNNNNNNNNNNNNNNNNNNNNNNNNNNNNNNNNNNNNNNNNNNNNNNNNNNNNNNNNNNNNNNNNNNNNNNNNNNNNNNNNNNNNNNNNNNNNNNNNNNNNNNNNNNNNNNNNNNNNNNNNNNNNNNNNNNNNNNNNNNNNNNNNNNNNNNNNNNNNNNNNNNNNNNNNNNNNNNNNNNNNNNNNNNNNNNNNNNNNNNNNNNNNNNNNNNNNNNNNNNNNNNNNNNNNNNNNNNNNNNNNNNNNNNNNNNNNNNNNNNNNNNNNNNNNNNNNNNNNNNNNNNNNNNNNNNNNNNNNNNNNNNNNNNNNNNNNNNNNNNNNNNNNNNNNNNNNNNNNNNNNNNNNNNNNNNNNNNNNNNNNNNNNNNNNNNNNNNNNNNNNNNNNNNNNNNNNNNNNNNNNNNNNNNNNNNNNNNNNNNNNNNNNNNNNNNNNNNNNNNNNNNNNNNNNNNNNNNNNNNNNNNNNNNNNNNNNNNNNNNNNNNNNNNNNNNNNNNNNNNNNNNNNNNNNNNNNNNNNNNNNNNNNNNNNNNNNNNNNNNNNNNNNNNNNNNNNNNNNNNNNNNNNNNNNNNNNNNNNNNNNNNNNNNNNNNNNNNNNNNNNNNNNNNNNNNNNNNNNNNNNNNNNNNNNNNNNNNNNNNNNNNNNNNNNNNNNNNNNNNNNNNNUGGUAUACCAAAGAGUGAAAUAGUGAAAUCAUAAAACACCAAAGAGUGAAAUAGUGAAAUCAUUGAACACCAAAUUUCACAUAGUUCAAUCAUGAUAUAUCUAUAUAUAUAUACUCAGGUCGACCCUAUGAUAGUUAUCGUGUUUCAUCAACCAUGAUAGUUUAAAAGAUGGUAAUCUAAUUGGAGAAAACUAGUAAAAGUUGGCAAUCUAAUAUGAUAAGUUGGUUGGUGGGUGAGUUGGGAUCUCCCGGGUGUAGUAGUAUUGGCGUGUAGAGAGUUAGGUUGCCGAUCUUUUUAAUUAUCGUGGUUCAUUGAACCAUGAUAAUUAUCAUAAGGUCGUAUAUAUAUAUAUANNNNNNNNNNNNNNNNNNNNNNNNNUAUAUAUGAGCUAGUUAGGGUUUUCAUGGAAAAAAAAACUCUUAACGCUAGCUCCAGCUGACCUCAGCCGCCUCUCAUUCCUCACCCACGUGCGCAGCGCACUCCCCGGCCGCCGGCGAUCGAGCGGCCGGCUAGCCGCCACCUGCGCCAUUUUCUCCACCACCACCUCCCUUCACCUAUGUUCGAGCACAACUAGGAGGGCUACUUACCCUCGAGCUCCUCCUCUGGCUGUGCCCCGACCUCCAGCGACCUCCCCCGACCUCUAGCUAUGCCGCCGUCCCCGCACACCGCCAUUGCCGGCCCCGGCAACCUGCGGCCAUCUAAGGCAAGUUUAGGCCGAGGCAGACCCAACUCCUUUCCCUCGCCCCGCCGCCUCUCGGGGCCACCUUGGUCGCCCUCUCCCGACCUUCGGCAACAUUCCCCGCCGAUCACCACCGUCCCCGCGUGUAACACACUGGGCCUUUGCAAAUUACGAGGUUCGAGUUUUGAUCAGUGUUCCGAGCCUUUCCAUAGUUUCUGGAGGGUCAUUGACAGAGCUCCGACCUAUGGUUCGUAUCUCGAGAAUUCUAGUAUUUGAAGUAGCUCUAAGGUCACCAAAGCGAUGGCUUAGGCUGUUCUCGGGUUGCAGUUUUCUGAAAAGUGUACCGGUACACCUUGAUGGUUGUACCGGUACAGAAAGUGUACCGGUGACUAUUCGAUGGUUGUACCGGUACAAAUGAAAUUUUCUGCCAACCCGAGGCUCGGGUUGCUGUCGCGCAGGAUUUGUACCGGUACACUUUCUCAUGUACCGGUACACUUUGCUUUGCGAGCUGUUUUUGUUGAGGGGUGUUUUUGCAUUUGUUGCAACACUAUUUAUACACACCCCAGCCCCCUUAGGAGCUCUUUUGAGCCCUAACCAGAGGAGAAACAAGGUGAGGCUUCCUCCACUUAUUUGAUUUUUAUUUUUGAUGGAUUAUUGCAUGUUUUGAUCUCCUCUCUCUUACUUUUCCUUACUUUUGUUGGUUUCCUCCAUGGGAGAAGCUUGGAUUUCGGGUUUGGAGCUUGCUUGAGAUUUGAUCUUCAACCCUAGCUCACUUGCUAGCUUGAAUUGGUGCUUUGGAGAGGUUAGUAAGCUUAAACUCCUAUUUGAUCCAUGUUUUAGUGGAUUUUACUUGUGGGAACCCUAGAUUGAGCUUAGUAGAGUUAGAAAUGGGGAUUUUUGAUUAAAGACUUUGGAACCUAAUUGAUGGGUUUACAACCUUUGUUUAGGUUGGAUUUAUGGGCCUCUAACUCCUUUUUGGAGAUCAAGAGAGCGUUCUUCGCAUUCGAUGAGUUUUCUUCACCAUAGCUUGAGUUACUUAAUGAUUGAGCCAAUGAUUGUUCGUAACGUUCGUGUAUCCCUCCUUUUGUUACCUUUAGUAGGAGAGUAGUGGACACUUUCGUCGGCGCAAACGAAGGGUUUCGCGAGUCUCGGUGGGUUUGACUUAAUGGAUUUGGGGAGAAAUGUCCCCUAUGUCAUUUGUACUUGUCGUUUCAUCGAAAUGCAUGUAUAUUCAUGCUAGAUAGAAAUUUUAUAGAUUUUAGAAUACUUAAAAUGCAUGUGUUAUGUAUCAUGAAAAUUCAACUCUAUAUAGUAGAGCCAUAUGUGUACUAAGCAUGCGUAUGAAAAGUAUUCUUAUUGUAUGAUGGAAACAUGUCUUUUGUGAGGAAAAUGUCUUAGUAGAGCCAGGACGGGAAGAAUUCACCUAUCGGGCUUGUCAGAGCUCGUGCUUCAUCGCGACGGUGUCGGCGACGAGAGCAAGAAAGUUGGUGAGCAACGGUUAUGCGCCGUUCUUGGCAACUGUUGUAGAGGUGGAUCGAGUGGCUCCAACAUUGGAGGAGUUAUCGGUGGUGCAGGAGUUUCCAGAUGUAUUUCCCACGGAGUUGCCAGGGAUACCACCGGAUCGGGAGAUCGAGUUCGUCAUAGACUUGGUUCCCAGUACCGCACCGAUCUCGAAAGCGCUAUACCGAUGGCGCCGGCGGAACUAAAGGAUUUGAGGAGUCAAUUGCAGGAUCUCCUCGACAAGCAAUUUAUCCAGCCAAGUAUAUCACCGUGGGGGAGCCCCGGUGUUGUUUGUGCGGAAAAAGGAUGGAUCGUUUCGACUCUAUGUGGAUUAUCGAGAGUUGAACAGAGUCACGAUCAAGAACAAAUACCCACUACCCCAAAUCGAUGACCUGUUCGUUCAGCUGCAAGGGUCGUGUGUAUACUCGAAAAUAGAUCUGCAAUCCGGCUAUCACCAGUUGAAGAUCAAGCCGGAGGAUGUACAGAAAAUUGCGUUUUGCACGCGGUAUGGACACUAUGAAUUCACGGUCAUGCCAUUUGGACUCACGAAUGCUCCAGCGUCGUUCAUGGAUUUGAUGAACCGUGUCUUCAAGAAGUUUUUGGAUUGAUUUUUCGUGGUCUUCAUAGACGACAUAUUGGUCUAUUCUCGUAGUGACGAGGAACACGCCGAGCAUUUGAGAAUGGUGCUUCAAGUCCUUCGGGAGGAGAAGCUAUAUGCUAAGCUGAAGGAGUGUGACUUCUGGCUCCGAGAAGUCGCAUUUCUAGGGCAUGUGAUUUCCAAGGGUGGGGUUUCUGUAGACCCGAGGAAGGUUGAGGCAAUCAAAGAUUGGCCGCGCCCGACGAACGUCACGGAGGUUCGAAGCUUCGUGGGUUUAGCGGGCUAUUAUAGGCGGUUUGUGGAAGCCUUUUCGAAGAUAGUAAUUCUACUUACCCGCCUGACUCAGAAAGGCGCCAACUUUGUUUGGAGCGAGGAGUGCGACCAGAGUUUCAAAGAGUUGAAGCAAAGAUUAACUUCGACUCCGAUGCUGGCUCUACCGGUGCAGGGCAAAGAUUUCGUGGUUUACAGCGAUGCCUCCUAUCUUGGAUUGGGGUGUGUAUUGAUGCAAAACGGGAAAGUAAUCGCUUAUGCAUCCCGUCAGCUGAAGAGCUACGAGAAAAACUACCCCAUCCAUGAUUUGGAGUUAGCGGCGGUGAUUUUCGCCUUGAAGCUAUGGAGGCACUACUUAUAUAGUGCCCAUUGUGAGAUCUAUACCGACCACAAGAGCUUGAAGUAUCCGUUUACACAGAAGGAGCUCAAUAUGCGUCAGCGGCGGUUGUUAGAGUUGUUAAAGGAUUAUGACGUUGAUAUCCUCUACCACCCCGGGAAGGCAAAUGUGGUCACGGAUGCGCUGAGUAGGAAGUCAGCGGAGAACCUUGCCUUGUGGAUUACCAAUCAAUCACCCCUAUGGCUGGAGAUGGAGCGGCUGGACCUCGAAGUAGUUAUUCCUGAGGCUCUAGCUCAAUUGAUGGCACUCGUGGUCCAACCGACCUUAUUGGAGAGGAUCAAAGAUCUGCAACCCGCAGACCUCGAACUCCAAAAGGUGCGGCGAAACAUCGAGGAAGGGCGUGGCGGCGAUUUCAGUAUAAACGCCGAUGGUACGCUUCGGUUUAGAAACCAAUGGUGUGUACCGAAAGAUGGAGAGCUUCGUGAAUUGAUUCUACAAGAAGCACACCGAUCACCAUAUGCCGAUCACCCGGGCGGCACCAAGAUGUAUCAAGGACUAAAAAUGCACUAUUCGUGGCCGGGAAUGAAAGGCAAUGUCGAACACUUCGUGGUAAGGUGCUUAACGUGUCAGCAAGUGAAGACCAAGCGUCGAUUUCCAGCGGGAAAGCUUCAAAGCCUACAAAUCCCCGUUUGGAAAUGGGAGGAUAUAUCGAUGGACUUCGUGGUCGGCUUGCCUCGCUCAACGGGCGGCCACGAUGCAAUUUGGGUGAUCGUGGACCGAUUGACGAAGUCGGCUCACUUCUUGCCGAUCCACACCACGUGGGCAGGCGACAAGUUGGCGUAGGUAUACCUCGACGAGAUAGUGAGACUACACGGGGUGCCGAAAUCGAUCGUGUCGGAUCGUGACCUCCGGUUCACUUCACACUUCUGAAAGAGCCUGCAAGAAGACCUUGGCACACGGCUCGACUUUAGCACCGCGUUUCAUCCUCAGAUCAAUGGGAAAUAGAGAGAACCAUUCAAACUCUGGAGGACAUGUUGUGAGCGUGUGUCAUCGACUAUAAAGGAAGUUGGUGUGAUCACCUACCGAUGGCCGAGUUCGCCUACAACAACAGUUAUCAUGCUAGUGUGGAGAUGGCACCGUUCGAGGCUCUCUACAGGCGGACGUGUCGGUCUCCCAUACACUGGAGCGAUGUGGGUCAGCGUGCGGAGUUCGGCCCUGAUGUGUUGCGAGAAGUGGAGGAGAAAGUCCGCCUUGCUCGCAAGAGAUUGCUCACGGCGCAGUCGAGACAGCAAAGCUAUGCAGAAAGGCACUGUCGGAAUAUAGAGUUCGCGGUGGGUGACCGCGUAUUCUUGAAGGUUUCACCAAUGCGGGGUGUGAAGCGGUUUGGAGUGCGGGGAAAGUUAAGUCCACGGUACAUUGGGCCAUAUGAGAUAUUGGAGCGAGUCGGCACGGUGGCUUAUCGACUCGCUUUGCCGCCAAAGCUUGCGGAUGUACACAAUGUAUUCCAUGUCUCUAAUCUCCGUAAGUACAUUUACGACCCCGAGUAUGCGAUGCUAUUUGAACCGCCGGAACUCCAAGAAGACUUGAGCUAUGAAGAGUUUCCGGUAGGGGUAAUCGCCUGAGAGGUGCGAAAGUUGAGAAAUCGAGAAAUCCCCUAUGUGAAGAUUCGGUGGAGCAAUCAUGAUGAUCGCUAGGCCACCUGGGAGCUCGAGGAACUGAUGAGAAAGCACCAUCCUCAUCUAUUUGAGGAGUAAGGUAUGAGUUUGAGUUAGGUUUGGAAUUGAGUUCGUUUCGAGGACGAAACUCCUUUUAAGGAGGGGAGGAUGUAAAGAAGUGAAUUCUCGAAAUUCGAGAGUUGUACUUCAUCCAGGAUCGACUAAUUGUCGAGAGAAUACCCUUUGGGGAAGUUAAAAAUGUCCAAAACACAAAAAUUGCUUUGGAGUUGAGUCCGCGAGAGCAAAUAUGCGAAAAUCUGGACUUAGCAGAUUUUGCUCUUGGGGACCGGUCCAUGGAGGGGAGGACCGGUCCCCGUAGCUACAGUAGCGGGGUUGCUUGAUGCAACCGGUCCCUGGCAGUAAAGGACCGGUCCCCGAACGUGGUCCCAGCGAGAAAUGCCGAAAUUUGACUAAGUCCUGAAAAUCAAGCUCUCGGGGACCGGUCUCCCGAGGACCGGUCUCCCGGGGAGAGACCAGUUCCCGAACGCGUGCGCCCGAGGGAAGCUCUCGGGGACCGGUCCCAAGUCGGGGAGAUCAGUCCCUCUGGGUGAAAGCAGCCCCGUGACAGCUGUUUGAGAGAUGAAAAGUUGAGGGGUUUAAGUGCAAAAUGACCAUCAUGUGAGGGGUGUAUAUGGGAAAUAACCCUCUCCCUCAGCCCCCUCUCAUCUCAUUUCCCUCUCUCACUCUCUUUCUCUCUUGCUCUCUCUCUCUAGAAAGGAAAGGAGAAGAAGAAGAACAAGAAGGAGAGGAAGGAAAGGAAGAAGAAGAACAAGAAGGAGAAGAAGAAGGAGAUCAAGAGGAAGGCAUUGGACACCUUCAUCUCCCUCUCCUCUUCCCAUUGGUGUAGCUCAAGAGAUAAGCUACAAACCCUAGCUUGUAGAACUUAGGGCUUGUUUGGUUCAAGGGUGGAAUUGGAAUGGAUAAUGGAAUGGGAAUGAAUUGGAAUGGUAAUUGGAAUGGCCCACUCCCCCAAGACCUUUGGUUUAUUUGUGGAUUGGGAAAUGGAAUGAGUUAUUCACAUUUUAUUGUUUGGUUCGUAUAAACUAAAAAAAUUAUAGAAUACUAUAAUACUAAUUUUACUUUCAAAUAUAAAUUUAUAUUAUUUAAAAUUUAUAAAAAAUAUANAAUUUUACUUUCAAAUAUAAAUUUAUAUUAUUUAAAAUUUAUAAAAAAUAUAAUACUAUUCUCUAAUAAGUUUUCUAAAAAAAAUAUCAAAUUUAUUUUUAAAAACUUUUAUUGAUGUGGAUAAGGGAUAGGGUUUUGAGAGAGGAUAUGUUUUUUUUUUUUUAUGAGAAAUGGGUGAAGAGAAGGAGGGUGAGAUGGUCACAUGGGCUUCGGGAACUUAGUGGGCUUCCGGAAUGAAAUCUCAAUCCGGGCUAGAAGACCGGAAUCAAGUUGAAGGCUAAUGGGCCAUUCCCAUUCCAGUCCGGAAUAGGAAUCCCAAACCGAUUCAUACGAACCAAACAAAAUUAACCGGAUUUGAUCAAACCGAUUCCCAUUCCAUAUCCAAAAUGGAUGAACCAAACAAGCCCUUAGCGUUAGAUACGCUUUAGUAUAUACCAAACAGGGUCUUACCGGUUACCAUGAGUGAAGAUUAGGGAUAAUCUGCGGUGUACAAGUGAAGGACAGCGCACUAUUUGAAGCGCUCCUGAAAAUUAAUCUUAUUAUUAUAAUGAAGGAUAUCAAGGAAAUAUUACCCUCUUCGUAUAUAAUAAUAGUUAUCCAUUAAUCCUCCCUCGCACGCUAUAUAAUAACAGCUAUCAAGGAUAUCCAUUAGUCCUAAUUGAUUCAUAUUUUCAACUCUCUCAAAAAAGAAAAAAAAAAAAUCCUCCUCGUUGUCUAAAAUAUGAGUAGUAGAUCUACUAUAUUUUUUAAAGUAUAAAAAAGUUGGUGCUUCUAACUGUUCGACCCUUGGAUCAACUCCAAUGAUCAUUUUUGAUCUUUUGAAUAAUAUGAUUAUCUCAAGAAAACCACUCAAUCCUAAGGGGGAUCACUAUCAUUCCGACCCUACAAUUUUUAAUCCAAUAACCAAAAAGUCAGAAGCACCAAUUUUCUUAUAUUUUCAACAGUAUAAUAACUCUAUACUUAAAAUAUUAUAAACUGUAAAAUAAACCGUCCUUAAAAUGAGUCUAAGGCUUCGUUUGGGAUUACAGGGAGAUUGCGUUACGUGCGAUGAGAAAGUACGAUAGAAAAAUACCCUAUUUGUUUUCGUACGUAAUACUGCUUUCGUAUGUUAUGAUGAGUCGGUUAUGAUAUAUUUUUUGCGUUCCCACCGGAGAACGCAGAAGUACAUCUCAUAUGCUUUUUUUUUUCUAUCUCUAUUUUAUUUAACAGCAUUAGAUAGACCUCAAUACCAAACUAAGUCUAAGUUACUACUGUAUUAUAUUUGCAAAGUUCUAAAGCACUCAAGUAUUUAGUGACGGCAUGAGGCGGAUUUAGAUUGGUUUAUCCCCGUACUACCCUGCAGAAGAAAAGAAGGGGGAAAAUAAAAAAAAAGAAAAAAAAAAAAUCCGUUCCUCUCGUACCCUGUUGUGGAGUUUGAAACUUUCCACGCUUGUUAUCAUCCGACCCGUUGUACAAAAUUCCUCACACUUGCAAUCACAAAUAUCUAAAAAAUGAAAAAAUUACAACAUUGUUAAUUUGAUGAAUUGUUCUACCAUUGAUAUCUAUAACAUAUAUAGUUUCUGUUUGAAUAGAAAAAACAUUUUAUUCCAUAUUUUGUUUAUUUAUUUAUUUAAAAAGUUCAUAGUAUUUGGCUCAAAAAGGGGGCGAUCAAAUGUUUCUAGAAUUUAGUCUUCAAGUUAUUUUUUCAGAAUAAAAAAAAUCAAUCUAGAAAACAGACACUUGCAAAUCAAAACCGAUUGUACAAACAAUAUAUAUAAAAAAUGGGAGCAGAAAGAUAACGCAUAUAUAAACUUCCAAAAUUAAUAUAUAUAUAUUAUAUCUAUAUAUAUAUAUCGUAUAUAUAUAUACUAUACUAUAUAUAUAUAUAUAUAUAUAAUCUAGCAGAAGAAAUGAUCGUGUUAAAAUCGAAACGGCAAAAAAAAUAGAUCCAGAAAAUAAUUUAAUGCAGGAAACGAAAAAAGAUAAGGAAAGAACACACCGAUAUUUACGUGGUUCAGCCAACGGCCUACGUCCACGGGCAAAGACAGAGCAAAUACUUUAUUAAUGUCGAAAAGGUGAAGUACAAAGAAAAUCUUUCAAAAGAACCAAACUUAAUUAGAUCGGAAAUGCUGCAACAAGCAACUCCAAAGCGGCUUCUCUCUCAACCCGUACGGACGAAAAAUUGGCCUUAAUUUGCCGGCGGCUUAGCUCUCUCUAAUAUGCAAUGCACAAUAGCUUCGUCUCGGCUCGGGUCACGACACGCAAGAAUGCACAAUACACCUUGGGUUGGGUUGACUUAAUUAAUUAAGCACCAACAGAGUACCCUGAGCCAAGCACCAAGAGCAACCCCUUAAUUAAUUUGCUUGGCCCUUAAUUUGGUCGCCGCAAGAUUAAUUUGAUCGUAGCAUGUAUUUAUAAUACAUGUCUCCUAACUAGAGUCUAAUUCUAAUUCAAUUAGAAUUACACUCCUAAUAAUAAUCCAUAUAUAUGUCAAAUUAAAUCUAAAUAAUAUCUAAUCCUAAUUAGAUUAGGAUUUAUCCUCAAUUUACAUAACUACAAAUCUAAACCAAAAUUUAACAAUCUCCACCUUUGUUUAAUUUGUAGUUUAGCCGCUGUGUCGAGAUCGCCAUAAAACUCCACCUUGAAUUUCAUUCGCCUCAAUAUUGCUUAACGCUCCGUGUUAUGUCUUCUCCAAACGCCCCAUAUGACCUCAAAUGCUACCAACUGCCACCAAGUCCAAACAAUGCUUGAACUUGGCAAUAUUAAGAGACUUAGUAAGCAUAUCCGCUGGAUUGUCCUCAGUACCAAUUUUCUUAACAGUCACUGUACGCUUCCCAAUCACAUCCCAAACAAAGUGAAACUUUGUAUCGAUGUGCUUUAUCCUCUCAUGAAACAUCUGAUCUUUCGACAAAUGAAUAGCACUUUGACUGUCUAAAUAAACAAUCGUUGUAUCCCAACUAGAAGUAAGCUCUCCAAAUAAGCCUCUUAGCCACAUAGCUUCCUUCACACCCUCUGUCAUAGCAAUAUAUUCCGCCUCUGUCGUCAACAAGGCGACAAUAGGUUGUAGUGAAGCUUUCCAACUAACUGCACAUCCGCCAAUAGAGAAUACAUAACCUGAAAGUGAUCUCCUCCUAUCCAAAUCACCUACAAAAUCCGAAUCAACAUAUCCAACCACACCAUCCUUACAUCUCCCAAACUCUAAACAAGUGCUAGUGGUACCUCGUAAGUAUCUCAAAAUCCACUUAACAGCUUGCCAAUGAGCCUUACCAGGAUUGGUCAUAUAUCUGCUAACCAUGCUUACUGCGUAGGAGAUGUCCGGCCGUGUGCAAACCAUGUCGUACAUGAUGCUCCCGACAGCACUAGAAUAGAGAAUAUGUGACAUGUACUCCCGCUCAUCAUCGGACUGCAGUGCUAACUCGGUGAAAAGUCUGAAAUGCGCCGCAAAAGGAGUGCUCACCGGUUUUGCGUCUGUCAUCCCGAAACGCUUUAAAAUCUUCUCUAUAUAUUUUUCCUGUGUCAAAUGCAGUAGUCCUAAUUUGUUGUCCCUCUUAAUUUUCAUACCAAGAAUUUUCUUAGCAGCACCUAGAUCUUUCAUCUCAAACUCACCCUUUAGUAAAGCAUUAAGUUUAUUUAUCUCAACUAUGUCGCUAGAAGCAAUUAACAUAUCAUCGACAUAGAGCAAAAAAUAUAUGAAAGAUCCCUUAUAAAGCUUUCUGAAGAACACACAACUGUCACGGUUGCUUCUGGAAUAUCCGUGACCUGUCAUGAAGGAGUCGAACCGCUUAUACCAUUGUCGAGGAGGCUGCUUUAAGCCAUAAAGUGAUUUCUUUAACAGGCAAACAUAGUCCUCCUUCCCUUCAACAAUGAAUCCCUCCGGCUGUUUCAUAUAAAUUUGCUCCUCAAGUUCUCCAUGUAGAAAAGCUGUCUUAACAUCAAGCUGCUCAAGAUACAGGCCAUUCAUGGCUACUAACAAUAAAAGAAUACGAAUAGAAGUAUGCUUCACGACGGAUAAGAAAAUAUCAUUAAAGUUAACACCUUCUACCUGACUGUAGCCCUUAGCAACUAAACGAGCUUUAUACCUUGUAUCUCCCACGCCGGGGAUUCCGUCCUUUUUCUUGAAGACCCACUUACAGCCGACAAUUUUCUUGCCUGUAGGCGAUUUUACCAACUCCCAUGUGCGAUUCUUAUGGAGAGACUCCAUCUCCUCAUUCAUCGCCACCAACCACUCUGCAGAACUGGCAUCAGAAAUAGCUUGAUUAUAUGUGGAAGGCUCACCUUAUUCUUCUGUGUCUUAUGCCACUGAAAAAGCGUACGCAACCAUAUCUUCAUAACCGUAUCUCUGCGGUGGUUUGAUCUGUCUCCUCGCUCUGCCUGUAGCAAUGCUGCCUCUCAACUUGUGGGGUUUCAGUUACUAAGGUGUCUGCCGACUAAACUUGUUCUGACUGAGAAGAAUCCUGCGACUAAACUAUACCAUCGGUCUCUACCUCCACCUACUUGCUAGCACUCGGUGUCUCAUCAGAAGAAUUAUGGUUAGUAUAUAAUAUAGCAAAUUCAUCAAAUGUGACAUCCCUACUAAUAAUUAAUUUAGACGAUUCAGGACACCACAAUAUAUAUCUCUUAACCCCCGAUGCAUAACCAAUAAAAAUGCACUUUUUAGCCCUAGGUUCUAACUUGCCUUCAUUAAUAUAAACAUAAGCAAGACAACCAAAUAUGCGUAAAUUAGAAUAAUUAGAAGGGCUGUCAGACCAUACCUCCUCCGGAGUUUUGCAAUCAAGUGCUGAAUGUGGAGAUCGAUUCACCAAAUAGCAUGCCAUAGAGAUCGCCUCUACCCAGAAACUCUUCGCUAAGCCAGCAUUAGAGAGCAUACAACGGGCCCUCUCUAAAAGAGUUAUAUUCAUCCAUUCGGCCACCCCGUUCUGCUGUGGAGUAUGCCUAACGGCCUUAUGUCGAACGAUCACUUCCUUCUUGUAGAAUUCUUCAAACUUUGACGAACAGAAUUCCAAACCAUUGUCGGUUUUUAAUCUCUUGAUCUUCUUUUCAGUUUGCUUCUCAAUCAUGACCUUUGUAAGGUACCGGACUUCUAAAAUCAUGAAGUUAUGGUUUAUAUGAGGUUAGAAAGCCAUUUGAAUGGUUUCGGUGAAGUUCGGUGAAGUUCGGGAGCUAUCGGGCGUUUCGGUGCGCGUAGGCGCGGAAACGGAACCCGAAAGGCUAUGUUGGGCCGUGAGCUAAAUCCGACAUUAAUGUGGAUGGAAAGAUGAUGAAAACAUGUUUGGAAACAUGUUUGAAGAGUCUCGGUUCGAUUUGAAGUGAAUCGGAGGUCAAACGAGCGAAAACGGACGAAAACGGUGAAAAAGGCUGAAAUUUGGCUAAGUCCUUGAGGCUGAGUACUGGACCUUCGGGGACCGGUCUCUCACCGCAAGGACCGGUCUCUCAGGGACCGGUCUCUCACCGCAAGGACCGGUCCCCGAGCGCGAAAAUGCCCAUUUUGGGCUGUUGCAAGAAGAGGCUUGUUGAGGGGCUUAAGUGCAAUUUUGCACUUAUUAGAGUGUAUAGAAGUGGGUUUUAACCCAUUUCUCUCUUCUCCCUCACCCCAACCGUGCCCCUCUCUCUCUCUAAACGAAAUAGAAGGAGAGGAAGAAGAAGAGAAAGGAGAAGGAGAGAAAGAAGAAGAAGAAGGAGAAGAAGAUCAAGAAAGGGAUCCUCGUCACCUCCUUCGUCUUCCUCGCGCUUGGAGCAACCUAGAGAGGUAAGCUUUGUUACCCUCUCAUGGUAGAUCUCUAGAAAUAGGUCUAAUUGCUCUAGGAAUGGAUUUAGUAGGCUCCUUUGAUGCUUAUGAGUAGAUUAUUGCAUGAAUCGGAGAUCGAUUUGGUGGUUUUUGCCGUAGUCGCAAACUAGGGCUCAAAAAUAGGAUUUUUGUAAAUAGAUGGGUUUGAUCUCUUUUAACCCUCUGUAAACCUAAUUGGUAGGUCUACGAACGCAACGGUGCGCUCGGUUCGGCGAUCCGACGAGUGUACGCGGAGAUAUUGAGGAUCAAAGCCGUUAAGGUACAGAUUGCCGCAGCUCGCGGCGAAAGCUUCCAAAAAUCAUGGAAAUGGAAUCGUAGAAUCGUGGUGUCGGGGAAUAAACUCCAGAACAGACGGAUCGCGGAUAGGAGGUCAUUUGGCAGUCGCGCGUGAGUUUGGUCGAGCCGUGCGGCGUGCGCCGCAGGAGGCCGAUUGCGAGUGACUACGAGCAAUCGGAACGCUAUAAAAGGUGGUUGUGUUUACGCGAAGCGACUAAGGUCGCCUUAUGUUAAGAUGAUUAAGGAACCACGUUGAUGCAUAUGCAUGUAUAAUGAUGCAUAUAGAUGAAUGCAUAUAAAGUAAAUAAUGCAUGUUAAUAGAAUAUGCAUGCUAAAUCUGCUAAGUAGAUCUCAUGUAAACAGUGAUGUAUGUUGUGUAUUGGAAUAUACUGCUAGUUUCACUUAGCAUUAUGAGUUCAUUGCUAGAUUAGGUAAAUGCAUAUUGCAUCAACGAACUUAUGCGAGAUGAAAUGUGAUAUCAUAGAAAUACCUCGAUAUAUUGGACGAAUAGAUUCAAGUAGAUCGAGUGGCAUUAACCUAGUGUUAAUAAACAUUGGUUCUGGACAUAGGAUUAUCAUUGGAACCUACACGUUGUUGAACCUAGGAUAAAUAACGAGUGCGCUCUAACCUAGUGUUAAGAACAUUAAGGUUUGAGAACUGAACCUAGAUUAAGGUAAAUCCUAGGUUUUCGACAUGGCGAGGCAUUAGACCUAGAGUCUGUUGGAACCUAGGUGGAAAGUGCAUUGGACCUUAAGAUAGUCAACAUGUAUACGGUUGAAUAUGGACCCCUUGACUUGUGAAGUCGAUUCCGGAAUCCCAAGUACUUGUGAACUCAAUAGUUCUUGGCCGGGUGUAUGCGGCGAUGUCCUCUCCCACCGGAAAGAACUUUGAGAUUAUGACUAAGCAAAACGAAAAUCCCCGCAGCGCUAGGUGCAGCUGCAUGUUCCUCUCCCUAAUCGGGGAUCUUGCGCUCUGGUGUACGCGGCUAUUUCAUCUCCCCACUAUGCGAAUCCUGACCACGGUGCACGGACCUUCGGCGAACGUUCGGGCGGCUGUGGUUCUUGCUUGCAGGCCUGAGGUGCAUGGCGAAGGAUCCUUCACCUCCGACCCAGAGCUGGGAUAUCCGCUGUUGAUUGACUCGAGCCCGAUGUCGGUGGCUAGCUGGAAUAUAGGUAGAUAAGAACAUUGAGGCUAGAUGGUAACUUGUGAUAAACUUAAGUAGGGAAACCUUAAGUUUGGAUACAUGGGUUAAAGAUUAGCGAGAUUGAUUGUAGAAUCAAUAAUUCUAUUAGUUGUUGCAUAAUUCCUGUUGCAUAAUAGCAUGCACGUGCAGUUGUGAGGAAAGCAAGUUAAGUUAGUGCAUGUUUAGAUAUACAUAUCUAUCUGUUUAUUGAGCUAACUUGUAAUUUGCCUCCUUGACUGUUUGUCGAGCUCCCUCCCUUGGGCUGGCCGUACCCACUGGGAACCAUGGAGCUUUGGCUCACCCACGUUUGUUUUGGGUUUUAGCAGUUCGCACCGUGAGGCGGCGGCGCGCGCGCAGGCUAAUAAAAAAAGGGCGUAGCUCCAUACAUAGCUGCCUCAACCCAAGACCAAGAGCUAGCGUACCUCCGUCACGUACUUAGAAAGCCAAGCAAAUGUAUUCAAAUUUAUAAAUAAAUCGUUGGUAAUAAACAUUAAUUGCAUUGGAGGUUGAAUGUAAUUGUAAAAAUGAAUCUAUAUGUAUGUUGUUAAUAUUUAGAUGUGUUUAUGCUUGUAUGAUACCUUCUUAGCAAUCAUCGAAUUUGAUAAUCUGUCCUGUUGGAACCUUGUAAUGUACAUUGUUUUGUGAUUGCUGACGCUUAGACAUACAGGGGAGACUCUGUCCGCGUACAGGGGAAACCCCCGUUAAGUUCGGCGUCUGUCGCAGUGCCCGAACCGGACCAAAUUGGGAGCGGUCUCGGGGCGUGACAACCUUCCACUGCUUGAAAUAAUUGAACAACUCAUCCUUACUUUUCAGAAAGAACGCCCAUACUUUACGAGAAUAAUCGUCAAUAAAAGUCAACAUAUAUCUAGCACCACCAUGAGUCGGAGUACGAGAAGGUCCCAGAAGAUCAGAAUAGAUGCAGUCCAGAGUUCCUUUUGUCUAAUGAACUGCGGCCUUAAAGCUGACUCUCUUUUGUUUGCCAAGAAUACAGUGCUCGCAGAAGUCCAACUUUUCUAAACUCUGAUUACCAAGUAGAUCUCUCUUGCCCAACUUCAUCAUACCAUAUUCGCUCAUAUAGCCUAGUCGCAUAUGCCAUAAUCUGGUGCUAUCAGAAUCUGACUUAGAGGAAGAAGUUACCGCUGCUGAACCUGUCACAGUGGAACCUUGUAGAACAUAUAACAUGUCGGACAACUUGGCAUUCAUCACUAUAAGAUUCCCUUUAGCAGCCUUCAUUAAUCCAUCAGCUGAAGAAUACUUUUAAUAUCAAGUGUACCCAACGAGAUCAGAUUUUUUCUCGUAUCCGGAACAUGCCGAACCUCAGAUAUAGUCCUCACAACUCCAUCGAAUAUCUGUACCCGAAUAGUGCCAAUUUCAAUAACUGUGCACUUAGAGUGAGUCGAGAACAUUCUUUAUGCAUGCAGAUAUGGAAGGAACAUGCGGAGUCCAUAAGCCACUCAUCCUGUUUGCGUGUCUUAUCUGUAACUGUAAAAACGAUAUCAUUUUUAUCUGAUUCUCCUGCUGCAACACUUGCUUCAGCUUUAGUAUUGGUGUUUUUCUGACCCUGAAUUUUAUCACCGUUAUUCUUCCGCUGCUUUUUAUUUUUCAACUUGAAACACUCAGCUUUUAUGUGACCCUUAUUCUUACAAUAACCACAAAUUAGAUACCUAUGUUUUGACUUUGAUCUAAAUAUACCUCUAUUAUCGGAACCCUUCUCGCGAGACCUCCCUCUAGCGACCAAAUCUUGUCCUGAAGCUCCAUCUGUCUCGUUGCUUAUCUGCAUGUCAAUUUUCUCUUUUGAAAGUAAAGAGGAUUUAACAUCAUCGAGACAUAGAGUAUCUCGUCCAAACAAGAAGGUCUCACGAAAAUUCUUAUAAAAGGGCAGUAGAAAACAUAAUAAUAAAAGGGCUUCAUCUUCCUUCUCGAUUUUAACAUCUAUCGAGCGGAGAUCCAUAAUAAUAGAAUUAAAUUCAUCUAAAUGCGACUUAAUAAAGAUAUCUUCCACUAUACGCAACAUGAAGAGACGUUACUUCAAAUAUAACUUGUUGGUGAGAGACUUCGUCAUGUGGAGAGACUCCAAUUUAAGCCAAAACCCUGCAGCGGUCUUUUCAUCAAAAACCUCGCGCAAUACCUCAUUGGAUAAAUAUAAUUGUAUUGCCAUAAGAGUUUUGUCAUCAAUCUCCUCCUUCUGCUCUGCCGUUAACGAAUCGGACAUUUUUUCUUUUCCCAAUAGUGCCUUCUGCAAUCCUUACUGCGUCAAUAUAGCACGCAUCUUGACUUGCCAUAAUGCAAAACUGUUGGUCCUGUCAAAUUUCUGAAUCUCGAACUUCGUCGUCAUCUUAUUUCUCAAAGGGAAUAGAAAGACUCUGAUACCAGUUUGUUAAAAUCGGAACGGCGAAAAAAUAGAACCAAAAAAUAAUUUAAUGCAGGAAACGAAAAAAGAUAAGGAAAGAGCACACCGAUAUUUACGUAGCUCUGCCAACGGCCUACGUCUACGGACGAAGACAGAGCAAAUAUUUUAUUAAUAUCAAAAAGGGGGAGUAUAAAGAAGAUCUCUCAAAAGAGCCAAACUUAAUUAGAUCGGAAACGCCGCAACAAGCAACUCCAAAGCGGCUUCUCUCUCAACCCGUACGGACCAAAAAUUGGCCUUAAUUUGCCGGCGGCUUGGCCCUCUCUAAUAUGCAAUACACAAUAGCUGCAUCUCGGCUCGGGUCACGACACGCAAGAAUGCACGAUACACCUUGGGUUGGGUUGACUUAAUUAAUUAAGCACCAACAGAGAACCCUGAGCCGAGCACCAAGAGCAACCCCUUAAUUAAUUUGCUUGGCCCUUAAUUUGGUCGCCGCAAGACUAAUUUGGCCGUAGCAUGUAUUUAUAAUACAUAUUUCCUAACUAGAGUCUAAUUUUAAUUCAAUUAGAAUUACACUUCUAAUAAUAAUCCAUAUAUACGUCAAAUUAAAUCUAAAUAAUAUCUAAUCCCAAUUAGAUUAGGAUUUAUUCUCAAUUUAGAUAACUACAAAUCUAAACCAAAAUUAAACAAAUCGAGCAAAAAUAGAGGACGGUAAAGAGAAUGAAAAAAUUUGAGGACUGUAAAAAACAUUUAAAAACUUAUAAAAUAAACACACGUGAUUCCGAGAUCAAAAUCAAACCAACAAAAUUUAGCUUAUCCACCAUAGCAACUGUACACACGGUCGCAGGGUGUUUAUGUAUGCACACUAUGCUUCCCAAACAAAUUUAUUCUGCAGGAAACUAAGAAUAUCAAAUCGCUAUGCUUAUUUAAUGCUUACACAAAGUCCCCUUUACACACCCACUAUCUAUUAUCUAUUAUCUAUUAUCUAUUAUCUAUUACUUUACAUUAUUUCUUAAAAAAUUUGCUACAUGGCAACACAAGCUUCAAUGUUGUUGGGUGUGGGCUCCACCGGUUCUUUCUCUUUAGUGGAAACGAACCGAAUUGUCGAGUAUGAGUCCCAUCCUGAACCAGCUCAAGUCCUCCAAAUAAUUUUACCUUUUUUUGUUUGAACCAAACAUGAUUGAGUGAGGCCUCUAUACUAAACCGGUUUCUGUUUCCUGUUUUUUGUUUGCCUGAACCAAACCGGUGCUCUUUUUCUUUGCUUGAACCAAUCUGUUUUAUUAGACUGAACCAGACCAAUUGAUUUAUAUCAUUUAUUAUUCGGCAAACUUGCAUUACAUGUUAAUUAAUUAUAAUAAUUCGAAGAAAAAAAACUUCAAUUAUCAAUCAUAUAUAUAUUUUAUUUAUUUAUUUAUUUAUUUAUAUAUUAUUUCUUCUAAAGUUGCCACAUGGUAAUUUUUCCUUCAUUUUUGAGUGUGUGCUCCACCCGAACGAGCUAAAGUCCUUUCUCUUCCUCUUCCUUCGGCUGCUAUUUUCGUUCAAUGGCAAAAUGAAUCCCACCCCUCAUUAUCGUUUUUUUAUCGCUGCUUUCUUUUUUUUUUAUCGAUACUUUCUAUAUAUAUUUUCUCUAAUUAUCUAUCCGUGGCAUCGCACGGGAUACUACGCUAGUUUUUAGAUGAAUUGUUGAACUAAAAGUUUCAAAUAGAAUGAAAGACAAUCUGAUUAUGCAGUCUUUGCAUGCCUAGCAAUAGUUUUUCGCGAGAUGAGAUCAACGUGUUAAGUUAUUUAUAUCUAACAAACUCAGCCCAACCACUUCAUACAUUUGAAGACGCACUGUUUCCACCUAAAUCAAACACUCUGUAUGGGAUUACACAAAACUUCAUGAAAAGAACAGUUCUAUUGCAAAUUAAUUUAUGACAUAUUGAGUGUUGCCAACAACAAAAUUGACAUUUUUUUUUUUUUUUGCGUAGGAAAAUUGCCCCAAAAAAAUCUACUUAUUAAAAUUUCACUAUAAAGUAAUUAAGAAUUGAAAUAUAGAUAAAUUAUUCAUUAAUAGUCCUCGGCUCCAUAAAUUGGAGUAUGCCAAGCACCAGCCUAUUGUCACUUGGUGAGGAAAUAAUAAAUAUAUCAAAAGAAAACAAAAGAAGACAAAAGAAAAAAAAGAAAAGAAAAAAACAUGUUUUUUCUUAAAGCUAGUGAAAUUUGGAAAAAAUAUGAGGACCAACGGAGUAAAAAAAUACAAACAAUCCAAGCACCCAAACAAACAAAUAAAUAUAAAAAAUAAUUCAUCGUGUGGCCCAAAAAGCAAAUAAGUUACUUCCUAUAAAACUAAAGAUAUAUUCUUGCUCAGUCUUACAGAAAAACCCCUUGUCAAUAUCCACUUUUUCACUUUCUCCUCUGUCAUUCAAAAACCUACAUUUUGCCCCCCUUAAAAAAUAAAAAAUGUUCACUUUGAUCCCCACCGUCAGUGUUCCAUUAGAGUUCCGUUUAUAUCCUUUUUUUACACCAAAAAUACCUCUGAAACCCUUCUCCUUCUUCAUCCUCGGCCACACCGCCUCACCCUCCACUGCCUCGCCCUCGCUCACCUCUUUGUCCAUGCCCACACACACACCCUCGCCCGCCUCCGCUGCCUCACCCUCGCCCUCACCCACCUCUCUGUCCAUGCCCGCCCCAAAGAAGAUGAAGGGCAAUUUGGUUAUUUUGUUACAGCGUAUCCUCCUGUGAACAAUUUAUAUUUUUUAAGGGGAUAAAGUGUAGAUUUUUGAAUGACAUAAGGGAAAGAAAAAUAAGUGGGUAUUGACAGAGAGAUUUUCUGUAAUUUAGCCUUAUACUUAAUAAAUUUUCAUAAUAAAGUAAUUGAGAAUUGAAAUAUAGAUAAAUUUAUUCAUUGGAAGUCCUCAGCUCCAUAUUGGAAUAUGCCAAGCAGCGGCCCAUUAUCACUGGGUGAGGAAAUAAUAAAUACAUUAAAAGGAGACAAAAGAAAAGGCCUUUUUGCAUAAAAAAUCCAUUUAUUUUGGGCUUUUGCAAAAUCGGGCCAUUUUUUUCGUUUUUACAGAUUCGGUCCGCUUUUUCAGCAAACUGACCAAAAUACCCUUAUAUAUUUUUCUCUCUUCUCUUUUUUUUUUUUCUCGUUCCUUUUUUCUUUCUUUUCCCAGAGACGUCGUCGUCCCCGGCCGUGCUCGCCCGUGGCUCCAUGGACACCGCCCGCGCCGUGCUGGAGCGGAGCGACCCGGAGUGGCGCCCGGCCGACGCCGUCGACGCGUCCGGCNAGGUAAAAAAAUUGUGAAGAAGAGGAAGAAGAAGGAGACGACGAAGAGAGAGACGGAGAGAGAGAGAGAGAAAAAAAAAGAAAAUUGAGGAGACGACGAAGAGAGAGACGAAGAGAGAGACGGAGAUGGGAGCGGCGGCGGGGAGGACGUCGGCACGACCGGGCGGGGCCCGCACACCUCGAAGGAAUCGAGGAGGCUCGAGGCGCGGUUACCGCAGCAGCUGCCACCUCUGCUCGCUGUUUCACUUCUGGAAAAUGGUGUAAUGGUGCAAAAUGGAAUAAUAGUGUAAUGGUGCAAAAUUGUAAUGGUGUAAUGGUGUAAUGGUACAAAAUAGUGUAAUGGUGUAAUGGUGUAAUAGUGCAAAUGGUGUAAUGGUGUAAUGGUGCAACAUUAUAAUGGUGUAAUGGUGUAAUGGUCCAGAUUGCACCACUAGGACCAGAUUGCACCAUUUAAAAAAAUUUUACACUAUUUUUUUUUCCCUCUUUCUCUUCUUUUUCUUCUUCUUCCUCUAGAUUGCACCAUUAGCUUUUUUUUUUUUUUUCCUCUUUCUCUUCUUCUUCUUCUUCUUCUUCUUCUUCGACGGAGGCGUCGGAUCGGUGGUGGGAGACGUAGGGGGAGACGGAUCGGGAGGCCACGAGGCGCAGCGGAGACGAUGGGCGAUGGGGCUUCAAGGUGCGGCGGCUCGGGGCCGGGGGGGCCUCGUUGUCGUCGUCGUCACUGGGCAACUAGUAGGAAAGCGUAGGAACGCGCGGCGCCGGCGCCUAGUAGGAACGUGCGGCGCCGGCGCCGGCGCGGCGGUGGUCGGGCUCGAGGUCUGCGCGGGGGAGGUCGACGAGGAAGUAGAGCUUUCCCGGCUUGAGCGGGGCGUCGGGGUCGAGCGGUCGGGCUCGGAGUCCGACGCGCUUGACCUCCUCGGACUCGCGCACGGCGAAUCUCGGGUGGUCUCGGAGGUCGACGUCGGCGCCAAACUCCAGCAGCAGCUGGACGAGGUCCGGCCGGCCCUGCGCAAUGGCCGAGUGCAGCAGGCCGACGCCGGACGCGUCGACGGCGUCGGCCGGGCGCCACUCCGGGUCGCUCCGCUCCAGCACGGCGCAGCGGCGUCCAUGGGAAAGAAAGAAAAAAGAACGAGAAAAAAAAAAGAGGAGAGAGAAAGAGGAAAGAGAAAAAUGUAUAAGAGUAUUUUGGUCAGUUUGCUGAAAAAGCAGACCGAAUCUGCAAAAACGAAAAAGGUGGCCCGAUUUUGCAAAAGCCCAAAAUAAGUGGAUUUUUUAUGCAAAAAGGCCAAAAGAAAACAAAAGAAAAAAAAAAGAAAAAAACAUGUUUUUUCUUAAAGCUAGUGAAAUUUGGAAAAAAAUAUGAGGACCAACGGAGUAAAAAAAUAUAAACAAUCCAAGCACCCAAACAAAUAAAUAAACAUAAAAAAUAAUUCACCAUGUGGCCCAAAAAAGUAAGUAAGUUACUUUCUGUAAAACUAAAAUAUAUUUUUGCUCAGUCUUACUCAUAUAUUUGGCUAAAAAACGGAAGCAAAUAGUUGCUUCAUGACCACGUUGGCCGAGCUUCUACUAAAUAGGAUCGACGGUGGCAAGGCAACGAAGCCAAUGCCAGGCGGCGGAAGAUGCGAGGGAGAGGAUGAAGAUGAAAAGGUUGUUGGGGAGGUGAGUCUGGGAGACAGUGAAGAAUGUGCGUGAGAGAGAGCGAGAGAGAAAGAGAGAGGGAGGGAGAUGGGAGAGGGUAAGAGGGAGUCGAGUAGGUAAGGGGGAGAUGUAAAUUGUCUGUAAAGAGGAAUAGGAGGAAGCAUGCGGCUGGUCCCACAUAUGAUUUGCAAAUAUUUUCUAACACUGUAGCGGGCCACAUAGGGAUGCAAAUGGAUCCGGGUUGGUGGAGCUUCGCCCCGAUCCGCCCCGAAUGGGGUGGUAAGUGGGAACAAAAAAUAUAAAAAAAUAUAACCCGCCCCGAAUCCGCCCCGAUCCGCCAAGUAAAUGGAGCGGGAGGUGGGAGACUCUUUUCUUCCUUCAAUCCGCCUCGAUCCGUCAAAAAUCCGGCUCCCGCCCCGAUCCGCCCCGAAUGGAGCGGUAAGUGGGAGCCAAAAAUAAAAUGAAAAGUAACCCGCCCCGAAUCCGCCCCGCCCCGAUAAGAAAUGGAGCGGGAGGUGGGGGAACUCUCCCGCCCCCGGAUCCGCCCCGUUUGCAUCCCUAGGGCCACACAUAGAGUAAAUGCGGAGAGCGUUUCAAGUUGCCAAAUUAUAAGUUUAUACUUAGGCUAAAUUACGGAAAACCCCUUCUGUCAAUAUCCUCCUUUUCACUUACCCCUCUGUCAUUCAAAAACAUGCACUUUGCCCCCUUAAAAAAUAAAAAAUAUUUACUUUGACCCUCACCAUUAAUAUUCCGUUAGGAUUCUAUUUUAUAUCCUAAUUUUUACACCCAAAAUACAUCUAAAACCCUUCUCCUUCCUCAUCCUCGACUGCACCACCUCGCUCUCGCCUAUCUCUCUGUCCAUGCCCACACACACUCCCUCGCCUGCCUCCGUAGCCUCACCCUCACCCUCACCCUCACCCUUGCCUAUCUCUCCGUCCACGCCAACGCCAAAGAAGAUGAGGGGCAAUUUGAUCAUUUUGCCACAACGUACCCUCCUAUGAACAAUUUUUAUUUUUUAAGGGGGUAAAGAGUAUAGGUUUUUAAAUAACAUGAAGAAAAAGUGAAAAAGAGGGUAUUGACAAGAGGGUUUUCUGUACUUUAACCUUAUACUUAUUAAAAUUUCAUAAUAAAGUGUUUAAGAAUUGAAAUAUAGAUAAAUUAUUCAUUUGGAGUCCUCGGCUCCAUAGAUUGGAGUAUGCCAAGCACCAGCCUAUCGUCACUGAGAGAGGAAAUAAUAAAUACAUCAAAAGGAAACAUAAGAAGACAAAAGCAAAAAAAGAAAAAAACAUAUUUUCCUUGAAGCCAGUGAAAUUUGGAAAAAAAUAUAAGGACCAAUAGAGUAAAAAAUACAAACAAUCAAAGCACCAAAAUAAACAAAUAAAUAAAAAAAAAUAACUCAUCAUGUGGCCCAAAAAGCAAGUUACUUCCUAUAAAAUUAAAAAUAUAUUUUUUGCUCAGUCUUACUCAUAUAUUUGGCUAAAAAACGGAAGCAAAUGGUUGCUUGAUGAGCAGGAGGGCGAAGCUUCUCCUAGAUCGGAUCAACGACGGCAGGUAGCGAAGCCGAUGCCAGGGCGAAAGAUGCGAGGAGGGAGAGAAUGAAGAUGAAAAAGUUGUUGAGAAGGUGAGUCUUGGAGACAUUGAAGAAUGAGAGAGAGAGAGAAAGAGAGAGAGAGAGAGAGAGAGAGAGAGGGGUAAGAGGGAGUCCAGGAGUAGGUGGUGGGUCCAACAUAUGCUUUGCAAAUAUCUUCUAACACUGUAGCGGGCCCCACAUAGAGUUAAUGCGGAGAGCGUUUCAAGUUGCCAAAUUAUAAGUUUAUUCUUAUGAUAAAUUACAGAAAACCCCCAUGACAAUAUCCGCUUUUUCACUUUCUUCCUCCUCUGUCAUUCAAAAACCUAUACUUUGCCUCCUUAAAAAAUAAAAAAUGUUGACUUUGACCUCCACCGUCAGUAUUCCGUUAGGAUUCCAUUUAUAUCCUAUUUUUUACACCCAAAAUAUUCCUGAAACCCUUCUCUUUCUUUAUCCUCAGUCACGCCACCUCGCCCUUGCCUACCUCUCUGUCCAUACCCACACACACGCCUCGGCCCACCUCCGCCGCCUCACCCUAGCCCUCACCCUCGCCCACCUCUCCGUCCACGCCCACCCCAAAGAAGAUAAAGGGCAAGUUGUUUAUUAUGUCACAAUGUACCUUCCUACGAAUAAUUUUUAUUUUUUAAGGGGGUAGAGUGUAGGUUUUUGAAUGACAUAGAGAAAAAGUGAAAAAGUGGGUAUUGACCGGAGGAUUUUCUGCAAUUUAACCUUAUACUUAUUAAAAUUUCAUAAUAAAGUAAUUAAGAAUUGAAAUAUAGAUAAAUUAUUCAUUGGGAGUCCUCGGCUCCAUAGAUUGGAGUAUGCCAAGCACCAGCCUAUUGUCACCGAGAGAGGAAAUAAUAAAUACAUCAAAAGGAAACAAAAAAAGAUGAAAAAAAAAAGAAAAAAACAUGUUUUUCCUUGAAGCCCGUGAAAUUUGGCAAAAAAUAUGAGGACCAGCAGAGUAAAAAAAACAAACAAUCCAAGCACCCCAAACAAACAAAUAAAUAUAAAACAUAAUUCAUCAUGUGGCCCUAAAAGCAAGUAAGUUACUUCCUGUAAAACUAAAAAUAUAUUUUUGCUCAGUCUUACUCAUAUAUUUGGCUAAAAAACGGAAGCAAAUGGUUUCUUGAUGAGCACGCCGACGGAGCUUCUCUGAGAUAGGAUCGACAACGGCAAGGUAGCGAAGCUGAUGCCAGGCUGCGGAAGAUGCAAGGAGGGAGGGGAAGAAGACGAAAAAGUUGUUGAGGAGGUGAGUCUGGGAGACAGUGAAGAAUGUGUGUGUGUGUGAGAGAGAGAGAGAGAGAGAGAGAGAGAGAGAGAGGGGGGGGAGGAGAAGGGAGAGGGUAAGAGAGAGUCAAGAGUAGGUCAGGAAAAGAUGUAAAUUGUAUGUAAAGAUAAAUGGGAGGAAAAGGUUUUAAGUACCCGUCGGUACGGAUCGUAUCUACCGAGUCAUACCGUGCCAAUAAGAUAUCGGCACGAUACAGACUCCGUGCCGAUGGCAUAACUCAAAACCCUCUAUUCUUUAAAUUAGUAAGUAGUUUCCUCAAUAAAGUUCGAAAGAUGUGAUAAAAAGACAUAAUAAAUAGUUAUAAUAUUUUAUUGUUAAAAAAAAUAAAUAUUUCAUGCUAUUAUGCGUCGACACACAAAAUUUUUUUUGAUCGGCACGCAUCUUCUGCACGCACUGUCCGUACCGUACCGGCAAGUUUUUGGCACGACUCCGUAUCAUGGCACUUAAAUUCUUGGGAGACAGCAUGCGGCGGGUCCCAUAUAUGCUUUGCAAGUAUCUUCUAAUACUGUAGUAGGCCCCACAUAGAGUGAAAUGCCAAGUGUUUCAGGUUGUCAAUGUUUCAGGUUGUCAAAUUAUAAGUUUAUAAAAAUAGGAGUAUUGAAUGGGUCAUAACUAGACCAUCUAUUUUAGCACACAUUAUGUACGAUCUAUAUCAUGUCAUCCCUAAAAGCAGCAGCUGCUGACUGCGACCGAAUUAUGCAUUGAAAGGUCCAAAAGCCUUCUGCAAUAAAAUAGUUAGAUGUUUCAUACUGUUCUGUCCUUUGCCUCAAGCUGGCCUGCUAUGGCAAUCCGGACUUCCCCUUUAUGUACAGUUGGGAACUUGUGCUCCUUUUCCUCACAAAAGAAUCUUUUAAUUUUUAACGACCUUAUAUAGGUUAAAUGACUAAAAGGUUGAUGGUUUGUAUAUGAGAUCUCAAGUUUCGAAACCUGCUUCAUAUUUUUAAGUGAGUUCAUUUAACAAAAAAAAUAAAUAAAACAGAUAGUUUGCUAUCUUUUUCUCUGAAAAAUAAAAUAAAUAUUUUCUUGUUACUGGACUAACAUUAUUAUUAUUAUUUUUUUUUUUUUGUUCCAGAACUAACAUUCUCCUGUUGUCCAUAAUAAUUUUCAGCACAUACCAUAAUGUCCCUAGCGCAGGCGGGGAAAGACAUAAUGAUUGGUAUCAUCGAGUGGGCCAUGGCUCGCAUCAUCGAAAGCCCAACCAUCCAAGCCCGUUUGAAUGAGGACAUUGCCGCAAAUGUCGGGAAUAACCGGCCCGUGAAUAAGACAGACAUAGAGAACAUGCCAUACCUACAGGCUUUCAUAGAAGAGCUGUUACGGAAGCAUCCGCGGACCCACUUUGUACUGAGCCACGUAGUGUCGGCCAACUCGGCCUAUCCAGCCCAAUUGAGUGGGUAUGACAUCCCAACCAAUGCGAGGACCCGAAGCUAUGGACCCAACCCGUGGAGUUCAACCCAGACCGGUUCCUGACAGAUGGAGAGAGACGCAGAUUUGACAGGCUCAAGACGGAUACGGAUGACACCAUUCUGGGCCGGCAGAAGGAUCUGUCCCAGGCUGGCCCUCGGCAUAACCCACAUUGUGCUGAUAGUGGCGAGGAUGGUGCAGGCCUUCAAAUGGCAGGCCCACCCAUUGCAACCCGACCUGAAUUUUAAGGAUGACCAGUUUGAGUUCACCGUCGUCAUUAAAAGGCUGCUCCUCGCCAUGGUCAGGCCCCGAAAUAUGAACAAAGUACAGCAUUUGAGUUCACCUUCAUCGCCGCCGUACCAGAUCUUUUAACUUCUUGUGAUUUUACGUUUGUUACUAGUAAGCAGUUGAAGGAGAGCGAGAGACCAACCCUACCACCUGUUUAACAACUCAUUUACUCGUGUCAAUAAAUAUCUUUUUCAGGGUUUUUUUAUAAAAUGACCCUCCAAAAAUUUCAAAUUGGUAAAAUAACCCUAUCAAAAUUUUAUUUGAAAAACUAACUUUCCUUUCGCCACGUUGAAUUUUUACUAUAAAGACAGUAAAUCAUUCACCAAAAUAUAUAUAUAAUGAAGGCUUGAUUCACCGCCUUCAUUAUAUAUAUGUGAAGACGGCGAAUGAUUCACCAUUUUAUCUGUGUUUAACUUCAUGACUCAGAUAAAUUUCGAUAAAUUUAAGAUAUUUUGCACUAAAGACGGUGAAUGAUUCACUGUCUUCACAUAUAUAUUAUGAAUACGGUAAAUCAUUCACCGCCUUCAUUAUAUAUAUGUGAAGGCGGUGAAUGAUUCACCACAUCAUAGUAAAAAUCUGACGUGCGCCUACGUGGUGAAAGGAGGAUUAUUUUUCCAAAUAAAAUUUUGACAGAAUUAUUUCUCCAAUUUUAAAAUUUUAGAAGGUUUAUUUUAUAAAAAAAAAACCCUCUUUUUCAUCUUUUUCUUGAGGGCCCAUUAGGCCCAGUUGGAGCUUCCGCACGAGCACUAACAAAAUGGUUUUACUAAAAAAACAACCCCAAAAUCUACCGACCUCCCCAAAUUUGAGUUUUUGGGCAUCCGAAACACAUUUCAAUUACCUAGUAUUACCAAGCAUCUGAAUAGCUGCGUUAGUAGCAAAACAAAAGAUAAGUUCGCUUUUGCACUACUCAAGUGCCGUCAAAAUUUGAGACAAAUAGCAGAGAGAAGAACAUUAGAAUGCCCUGAUUUCUGUAUGCUGACAAAGUGUCUAACAUCAUCUGUAAAACGCAUUUAAACAUCCAACUACUACAAGUGUACAUACAAGAUUCCACAUUCUAGAAGCUGGCGAAAACAUAAAUAACAUCUACAGUUUCUUUUUUUGCAUCGAAUUCAUAGGGUCGCUAUUUUCAACUUAAAACCUAAAACUUCAGCCACUCAAAUACUUAAAUCACACUCUGACUUUCAAAACAAACAAAGUUCUAAUAAUUCAACUAUAACAGGGAUGGGAACCUGACCUGACAGUAUGCACUUGUCAUGUAUUAGCUGGCAACUCUGCGUUUGUGAAACGCGGCAUUUGCUCUACCAUGUAGGAACUUAAACUCUUCGUCUUCUUUAAUCCAGAUAUUCUUUUUCUAUGUCCUUUCCCUCGUUUGUGUUGCUCCCACUCAUGCGCCCCUCGCAAGAUCCGAUUACCACAGGCCUAUCAUACAACAUCCAACAAACGAAGAAGUCAUACAGUGCCUACUAACAUACUGGUCAUUGUGUAAUAUGCAGGUUUCAAAUACUUUUUAGUUUUUACAUAAAGAAAUUAGAUCGAAUUUCUUUCAAAAUAAUUUGACUCUCAAUGCAAAACAAAAGCACAAGAUCUAAAAUCAAGGAAAAUAAAAAGAAUCUUGUAUUUCAACGUGUUUGGAACGACUAGCAAGUGGAACAAGACAAAAACAAAUAACUGGUACAGAAACAUUCUUUUCCCCCCUUUUAUUUGUUUUGUUUUGCAUUGUUUCUGUUGGGUUGAGUACUUAGCUGGUUUGGUUUCCUUUCGUAGCCCUUUUUUAUAUUUCCCUCAGAAUUCAAGGUCUCUUAUGUAAAUGUUCCAUUUAUAUCUUAAAUAGUAUGUGGGGUUGUAGCGAAAACAGAGCCCUAUACCCCUUCCUCUAGUCUACUUCUCUUUAAAGCAUCAUGGUAUCAGAGCAAACCCUAAAUAGAGUUAAUUAAGAAAUUAAUAUAGAUAAGAGAACAAAAGAAGGCCCGAUCAGAUUCUUCACUUACCAAUCGGGCCUCCCGAAGAACAUCCAACCAUCAUCACUCCUUUUCCUAAUCUCUUGUUGCCAUUGUAAUCCUUGUGUGGCCACAAGCUUCGCUCCUUGUGUAUAACCACUGUUGCCACAAGCUUCGCUUGACUGCUGCUGCUUGCUCUACGGAGCUGUUGUCGCAUGUAUUAGCAGCCGGCAGUCAUCUUUUCUUGUGCUACCUUGUAUGUCCCUGCUGCUCACCUUGGUUGCCGCUGCUUGCUCUGCCAUCGCAGCCCAUCUAGCUGACGUAGCCUUAUAGCCUCUAGCACCUACCUUGACUGCCACUGCUCUCCUCAUUGCUGUUGAUCACCAUCAAUCAUCUCAGCCGUGCAGACCUGGCUGAAUGCAGUGCGAACUUGGAAACUUGGCAUUUAAUUGGUUGACAUUGGUAGCUAGCCUCUAGAUCUGUCGUCGCUUUCUUCUUCUCACACUGAUAUCAUUGGUAACAAGUAUCUUCAUAGCUGCAUUCAACUGGAACCAACGACUAUGUCAUGCAUUACAUGAUUCAUGCAUUACAUGAUUCGAAUUUUCCUUUUUCUAUAUAAUAUGAAGAUUAUUUUAUAAUACAAGUUUGACUAUUCUUCUUUCUUGCCGGCUGCAUCUGUCAAAUCAGUAUGUCUAACAGGUGCGACAAUCAACUGAGUGAAAGAUUAUUGUUUCAUCAAGUGGACCAAAAAUGAUUACCACAGUAACUGAUAGUCCCUUUCUACAAAUUAUUGCGAUAAACUUGACGGGCAAAAUUAUCUUGAACGGUCUUGAUCCUGUUUGAUAUUUAUUAAAUCCUGAAAGCUGUACGAUUAUAUAACAGGUAGCAAAAAGAGAUCGGCAGAAGAGGAUCUGUCCUUAAGCCAAUGGAAGUCCCUAGUGACGUCAUGGCUUUUGAAUUCGAUGCAACAGCAAUUGCGUGGAUAUUGUUUUGUGACUCAGCCUGCAAACUUGGAGUGCUGCCUCACAAACGUGCUCCAAGGUGGGAAAUGAUGCACUGAUGUAUAAAAUCAGGAAGGUGCAAGAUAUAAUAGAACUAAACUUAUUAACCCAGCUAAGCAUUUUGGGCGGUGGAUAGGCCCAAAAAGUUAAGAGGGUUAAGCGUACUAGGGCUAAAGUAGUUCUAGAAUUGGGUGACCCCCUAGGAACGGGGCAUCCUAGUUGGUACCAAAGCCAAUCACUAGCCAAAAGAGUGAGAUGAGUCUCGACUGAGUUAGGGUCAUACAGUGGGUAGAGCAUGGCUUUCUGGUUGACAAUCGUUGUAGGUGGAACGCGGUCCCCACAAGGUUGGCUAAGGCUAGCGAGACGAGUAUCAUAUCGCCUAGUGCUUGUGAGUGUGCUUGAGCCUAAUGAGGACGUCAGGGCUUGAAAGGUGGCAAAAUGUGAUACUCCUAGGAUUUGAAAUAGUCCUAUAUAUAAGACAUAAUAGGACUAAACAUUUUAACCCGAGUAUAACAUUUUGGACGGUAGCUAGUUCCAAGAGGUUAACAGGAUUAAACGUGCUAGGGCUAGAGUAAUUUUAGGAUGGGUGACCCCCCUAGGAAGUGCAGUGUCACAUCUUGCAAGUCAAUAGGCAAAGUAUGAUCCAAUAAGGGUACAAAAUCUCAGAAAGGAGCUAUUCUGACAUUAAGGUAGGUAUAUGCUUAUGUGCAACAAGAGUAGAAGGAAUAUCAUGUUACAUCAAAUUACUUCCAAAAAAUCAGCAUUGGUAACUAGCUCUACCUCGAAAGUUAGCAAAGAAAAUCAAGCAAGGUGACAUAAUUUGGGCAUAGGAGGAACGGAUCUACUCAAAUGUGAUCACUGUGGGUGAACUAAGCACAUGUGACAGAUGUGCUGGAAGCUACUUCGACAUCCCCCUAGAGGACGUGGAGUAAAAAAUGGUGGUGACCCUAGACGAGAAUUUCGCAGGUCACAUGCCUAUAGUCCAAGGCGGUUAAAAAUCUCUCUCAAGAAGGGAAUUGUUCAAAAGCAGGUAGCUUAUCUCAAGACAACCUUCAAACUGUCUGCAAGUUGAUGUUGAAACUUGACUCUUUUCAAUUCCACUUCUCCAUCAACACCUACUGCUACAUCUAAUUUUGCUCUCUUAGGUUUAUCUUCUUUUGCAUUCAAUUCUAUCAAAACUAACUCUCGACCUUGGAUCAUUAUAUCUGAACUGGUUUCUCAGAACUUUUCUAACCCUAUGUUUCUUGCAAAGUUUAAGUCUGUAUAACUGAUGGUUCUCUGUCCUCUAUUUUUGGUAAAGGUUCAAUAAUUUGUACUCCUAAUCAAACUCUAUUCUCAGUCUUGCAUGUUCCUAGCUGUCCAAACAAUCUUCUAUCCAAGGAUUUAAGAGCCCAUCGGCACAGGCCGUAUCCACCGUGCCGUAUCAUGCUAACAAAAUACCGGCACAAUAUAGCGCCCGUGCCAAUGGUACAGCUCAAAACCCUUUUACUUAAAAUAAGUAAUUUUCUCAAUAAAGUUCAAAAUAUUUUUAAGAGAUACAAAAUAAGAAAUUAGAAAAAUUUGUAGCUAAAUAAAAUAAAUAUUUCAUACCAUUAUGUGUUGGCACACAUGUACUUUUUUGUGACCGGUACUCAUCGGCACGGCCCAGCACGCACUGUACCGUACCGUGCCAAUAAGUUUACGGCACGAUCCCGUGCCACGAUACUUAAAUCCUUACUUCUAUCCAUUUUCUAUUAUAGUAGGGACCUUAAUUGUAAAGUCAACCUUCUUCCUUUCUCAUUUUGUGCUGUAAGAAUUGGAGACUAAAGCAUGAUUGGCUAUGGUAGAGUGCAUGAUGAAUUGUAGAGUGCAUGGACUUUUUAUCAUGGGUGGAUGAUCAAUUCAGUUACUAGGAUAUCCACUCUACAAAUGUUAAGUUUUCUCAGAGAGAGAUAUUUGUGCCAUCUUGACUCAGGAAUUCAUCAUUUCUAAUAAUGGAGAAAUUGUUUCCGAACUUAUUUCAACAUUGCACUCAACAUUUUAAGUGUAAUGCUUGCAAGUUUGCAAAGCAUAUAUGCAUACAUUUUCAAUAAAUGAAAAUAAGAGUGUUGUUCCCAUUCACAUUGUGCAUUCUAUUGUAUGAGGUCCUUGUGGGAUACCUUCUACUGCUGACUAUAGAUGAUGUGUUUCUUAUAUGGUGUACCUGAUGCAUAACAAUAAUGAAGUAUUCUCUUGUUUCCAAUCAUUUGACAAAAUGCUCGAAAACCAGUUCAAUGUCAAGAUUAAAAUUCUAAGAUCUGAUAAUGGCACAGAGUAUAGUAAGCAUCUCUUUCAAAAUUAUCUAGAUGACCAUGGAAUCUAUAUGUGAAUCUUCCAGCACAAAAUAGUGCCAGAAAGGAAGAAUUAACAUCCUCGUCAGGUCGCAAAAUCCUUAUUGUUUGCCACUAACAUGUGCACAAAUUACCCGGACAUAGUCUUGUCAGGUACAUAUUUAAUCAAUCGAAUUCCUCUGCGAGCAAUUGAGUACAUGACUUGAAAAGUUAAUUGGUUCUUACGGUAAUACUAUACUCCCUAAACUGUUUGGUUGUACAUUUCUCGUGCAUGAUCAUAAAAGGACAAAUGACAAGCUUCACACCCAUGCUAUAAAUAGUAUGUUCAUUGGGUACAGCUUCUCAAAGAGGACAUAAAAGCUAUCACCCUAUGACGCAAAAGUUAGAUUACACGAUGGAUGUGUCCUUCAAAGACUAUUGAGCUUUACUAUCAUCAAUCAUCUCUUCAGGGGGAGCGUUAAUGUCAGGAUGAAGAGAUGAAUAUUAGUGCCAAGAAUAUCUUGAACUUGCACCGAUGAGGAUCUCUUAAUUCGAAGAAGAUGAGGGAGAGAACGAGAGAGCAAGUGCUGCUGGGCAGAAAGAAAAUAAUGGUGUAGAAUACAAGGGAGAGAAGGAGAUAAAUAAUAUUGAGAAGGAGAAACAAGUUGAUAUUGAAAAUGGUGCUGGAAAAAAAAAAGUCAGAGUUAAUGAGAGAUAAUGGAAUUUCAAACACAACAAGACAAUGAAAAGUUAUCAUGCACUCACACCAUGGAUUUAAGUAUCGUGGCACAGGGUUGUGCUGGAAACUUGUCAGCACUGUACGGCACGGUGCGUGUCAGGCCGUGCCGGUCACAAAAAUUACAUGUGUGCCGACACAUAAUGGCAUGAAAUAUUUAUUUUCUUUAGCAACGAAAUAUUCUAAUGGUUUAUUAUGUAUCUUUAUCAAAUCUUUUGAACUUUAUCGAGAAAAUUACUUACUAAUUUGAAGAAUAGAAGGUUUUGAGCUAUGCCAUCGGCACAAAGAUUGUAUCGUGCCAAUAUCUUAUUGGCAUGAUACAGCACGGUAAAUACAGCCCGUGCCAAUAGGCACUCAAAUCCUUACUGCAUAAAGUCAAAUGUCACAAGGUCUGCAGAGAGGCUCAGAAUUGUUGCUUGGUCUAUGUUUGCCGAUGAGUAUUUGAUCAAUGUACUAUACCCAUUGCUUGUUGGAUUCUUCUACAAGACAGACGAGGAGCUUUGUUUUUGCUUUGUCGGGUGACAAGAUAUGGAGUUGGCUAUCAAUUUAAGUUGCUUCUGUUUUGGCCAUCAUUUUAAUUCUUGUUUGGUGGCGGACAUGCGGUUGGGACAAUACUGCUUUUACACUAUCCAAUAGACUCCAAUAGUGUCCGGUUCACAUACUAUAUUCCGCUAAGUUUCCAUGAGCAUACCGUAAUUUUUGCUACCAACCAUUCCCCAUUUUUGGUCAUUUGCUUUAUUGCCGAAGGAGCCUACAAACAAGGACUUCCGGUCGGUAGUUCUUGCUAGGAUUGACUUUAAUUUUCAAUAAAAGCACAUAAUCUUCCAUAACUUGCCACUCGAAUAGCACCUUCAUUGGUCAAACCUUCUGCGUACCCCGAGGACACUUCAAUUCAGUGGUACCUUUUACGAUUGUUGCAGUAGGAAAUUUCUUGGCGUGGAAGCUACAAUAUUAUGUAUUCUCAUGAUCCGUAAUCUCUUGAUCGACAUUCUAGUGCGCCCCCCGAUUUUUUACCAUAGUUGGGACAGAGGCCAACAGCUUGUGUUUCCUGCAUUUGUUUCACAUUUGCGGAGCUAUCUCUUCAUGUGGUAGUUAUAAGAAUUGAUAAAAGAGUGGUACCUGUUUGGUCCAAGUCAUCAUAGGGUACAAACUUUGCCUGUCUUGUUUGAUCCAAUAGUGAUGCGUCAAAUCAUAGAUUUUGUAAGGUAUUGGCUCCCUAGAGUGUUGUACCAACUUUGAUCUAAUUGAUCAAUGCGUGGUAAAGAGAGCUAUUGGGCAUGUUUCAUAUCUGGUCCUGAGGGCUUUGGAGUUGUUAGAAGUGACCUCAGGUAGUGUUAGAGUGGUUUUAGCAUUAUUCGGCGCUAAAACGGACUCGAACAUUGAAAAACUACAGAACUGGUGUUGGGUACCGGUAUUGGAACCUAGUACCGGAACCCCCAUGCAAGUGCAGAAAUGUCUGCUCUCAGGUUUGGGUUUUGGGCCUGGAGUGCCAGUAUUAAACUUGGGAGUACCGGUACUAAAGGUCGGGCACCAGAACUUUAUAGGAAGCACAAAUAACCAACGUUCGGGUUGAGGUACUCGAUGGAUGGUACUGGUACUGGGGAGGCCAUGUACCAAUACUUGAGCCCGUGUACUGAUACUCAACAAAAAACUCAGAUAAUCUGCUCUCGGGUUGUGGCAUUAGCCCGGGGGUACCGGUACUCAAGCCCGAGUACCGGUACCCAGUGUUGCGUAAGGCAGAAUCUGAACUGUUGCAAAUAUAAAUUCUUGGAGGGCUUAAGUGCAAUUGUGGGAACUUAUAAAUAGUCCUAACACCCUCCUCUCUUCGCCACAGCUGAGAACACCCUUCUUUCUUCCCCUCUUGACAUCUCCUUCUCCUUCUCUCUCUAGAACCUCUCCAACAAAGUGGUUUAGAGGAGUUUUGAAGGAGUUGGAGCUUUUGUGGAGUGGAAGAGGCUCUCCUACAGCGUGGAGUUUGAGGUGUAGAAGUGGCCAAGGUAAGGUUUUAGUAAGUUUAACCUAGGGUUUGCUUUUGUUAACCUAGAAUCCAUGUUUUUGAGAUUCUUGUGGCUUAGAAACCUAGAAUAAUCCAUGGUUUCUCAUGGUGUUUGGUUUAUGGCCUUGGUAUGGGAACCCUAGGUUGAAAUUAGGGUUUUUGUAGAUAUGGGGUUUAUAAUGAAAUUGAUCCCUUAAUUCCUUAAUUGAAGGAUAAAUCGACACGUUAAGCAACUUGAAUCGAAGUUCCUACGAGACUACGACACUCCGUUGAAGAAAAACACCGAUUUGCUUUCGUUGGGUCGAGCCAACACAGUGUUAGUAAAUCGCGGGACUUGGCUUCUCGCCUAUUAGCAUCGGUAUAAGAUGGGUGGUGCUAUCCGAAACAGUUGGAUUUCUAUGUCUAUGGUACUAUUGUUGGCCAUAUAUGUACAUGUGUAGAAUUCAUGCAUUGUAGAGUAGUAUGUGUUGUGUAUUCAAUUCCUUGCAUGCUCUCAUGAUAAAGAUAGAAAACAUGAAAUAGAACAUAGAUGUUAGAUGCAUGAGAAUUGGGUCUUGAACAUUGGAAACUCUAUCGUGUCGUAAACCGAAUGUAAACUUAGACAACAUAGUGACAUGGAACGGUGGCAUUGGACUAGAGAUGUUGAUAGCACUCAUGACACUAGAUGUUAGGGAUGGAUAGAUCCCCGAGUAUCGUUGCCCUUAGUUGGUAGGAUAUCCUCUAGUUGGAGGAUUGGAUUGUACUCACAUAUCGUUUGUCGGCUUGGCAGUGGUCGCUCCAACCAAGCAGUUAGCUCUGGAGUGGUCACACACUGGGUUAGCGUAGCUACCCAGCAGACCGUCCCCAAUGAGCAUAGCGGGCAUCUCCCAUCCGUGGGAUUGGUUGUGAGUUUGGCUCAAUCUUCGGGUUAGCCGGCAUGAUUUGGUUACAAGGAUAUGAAUGACAUGCAUCAGGAGCAUAAUGGUUACCUUAUUCAUCAUAUCAUAUUAUUGAGGCAUAGUAGGAUGUUAGUACUCAUUACUUUUGCUGUCCUUUUCUACUUAUGCCUACUUAGACCUAGUGAGACGGCAGGGUCGGCAGCCGAAUCGCUGGGAACUUCUUUUAAUUCUCACCCCAUUGUUUUGCAGAUCCCUAUCCUAGCGGAGCGGCCGAGGAUCGUGGCAAAGGCAUAGCGCCCGAAGUAGUGGACUUCCCCAUGCAUUAGAGUGCCAUAUGAAUAUAUGUGAGAGACUUGUUGUAUUUUGGAGUGAACUUGUAGUGAGAUGAAAACUAUGUAUGUUAAAAGAAUGGUUGUAUUUUGGUGAGUUGCAAAUGGUUAAGCAAUGAAUGACUGUAAUAGCUAAGUUAAUCUUCUCUUUGCUCUUGUAUAUUGCCCUCGUGCAGAUCAUGUAUAUUAUUUGUUUUUCCCUAGGCAAAACUCGUUGUUGUUGAGCCUUGGGCGGAUAGGGAAAACUCUAUCCGUUCGGCGGUCUGUGUGCGUAUCCGAACCGAUCAAAUUGGCGGUUGCGGGGCGUGACAGAUUUGAUACUCCAUGACCAUGACAUACUUCAUUCCCCUACCUACCAUACCAAAACCUUAGAAUUUGGUGAGUGGCGCAGCAUGAUCCUAUUCAGGAUGUGAGAUAAUAUGAGAUUUUCGAUUUAUAUGUUCCACUUGGCAAUUAGGUUAAGAGAAGGAUUCGAUAUGAAACUAAAUGGACAACACUGCUUCCAUUCAAUCCAUGUGAGAUGGAUUCCCCAAAUUGGGAAGACUUGUAGAUUUACAUUUAUAGAUAUAUAAAUACUUUUAUUUUUUAUUUUUCUCUAUUGUGCACAUAGACAAUCUACUUCCAUCGCAGUAUUUUUAGUGUGACUCAUACUUAGCAAGAAGCAUUAGAUGGUGUAGUAAGCCGAGAUGUUACUAUGAUUAUUCAUUCAUUCAUUUUUUCUUGCAAGGAGUAAGGGUCCAGUCUUUGCUGUAAGGAGUAAGGUUCUCAUGUUUCAUUUGCUACAGAAUGAAAUAAUCUAUUAGUCCUUGCACAAAAUAAAUGGAGGAAUGAAAAGUUACUAACAUCUCAAGAUACUACACCAUUUAAUGCCUCCACACAAGUAAAGACCACACUGAAAAUACUCUGAUGAAAGUAGGUUGUUUAUGUUCACAAUAGAGGGGGAAAAAGUAGAAGCAUCUAUAUACUUACACAUCUAUAUUUACAAGCCCUCACAAUUUUGGCUUAAUCUCAUAUCAAUUGAAAUGAAUGAACGAAACCAUCGUCCUCGAUCUCAUAUUGAAUCCUCCUCUCGAGUCGUCUGGUUGUCAUAUGGAACAUAUAAACUGAAUCCCUAUAUAGUCUCGCAUGCUCAAGAGGAUCAUGUUGCUGUUAAAAAUUAGUACUAAACUUAUUUUUUGUUUCCUUUUGAUUUACUAGAAUUAAUAAGUGUAGAAGCCCAUUUGACCUUUUAGAUGGGUCUUUUCUUGUUCUUUUGAGUCAAGUCAUGUGGGUUAUUUUGGGUUAAACGAGUCAAGUUGGGCCACAUGGGCUUAAUUAGGGGGUCAAAAGAAUAAAAGAGUCAAGUAGAGCAUUAAGGAGAUUGUUUGAGAAAAGUAGCUUCUUCUCCUUCUUCAUUCCCUUGUAUAGUGUUUCUUUCAAAAGCAAUGAAAGUGUGAAAAAGGGUCCAAAAUUUGUGGGGGUUUCGCUAGGUUCAAGAGGGGUGACCUCUAAUUUGCCUUUUUCCUCUCUUGUGAACAUUCAUUGUAAGUUGGUUUUGGUUGAAAUUUUUAUUUGGUGAUUUUCUGUUUCUCUUUGUAUGAUGUUUUGAUACUCUUGGUGAAAUUAAUUGAUCUCAUCUUUAGAGUUGUUUGAGAUUGUUAUUGUGAGCUUUUUAUUUCUCCAUUCUUAUCUUUUAUGGCGGUUGUGCGAUCUUGGGCAUACAGGAAACUCGUAUUUUCGAUUUCAAUAUCGGAGAAAAGGGUGAGCUCAAAUUGGAGCCAUUUGUGCUUUUCUCUUCAAUCAUUGCACUGCCCAAGUCCUAAGAUUCUGGCGCAGUAGGUAGGAGUAUAAUGUAUAUCAUGGCCAUAGAGUCUCAAAUCUAUGAUCUAACUCAGCACCAUCGGAUCAAAACAAGACAGGCAAUGUAACAUACCGAAUCUCCGAGUUACGAUGCUAACUUUGAUUGAAUUGAUCAAAGUGAAGCAAAUGCGUGAUGUGCGACAUCCCCAAGUCAUUUUGGAGGCGUGGGGAUGGGUAGUUGCGAGUUUAGGAGUUUCAGUGUUUCCGGCGCAAAUUGGCCACGAAAACAGACUCCGAAGUAGUGUUACUAUUAGAGUGCAGAAGUAACACUUGGUACCGAUACCAGAGCAAUGCGGUACCGGUACCCAGCCAGUGUGUGUUGAUAAAGCUCUCAGGAUCCGGACUGUACGAGGCUGUGUACCGGUACUGGUCUUGUGUACCGGUAUUGCGAAGCGUGCAGGAAUUUGCGUAGCCUCAGGUUGAAUGGGUAGUACCGGUAUUGUUGUCAGGUACCGAUACUAGAAAUCUCUGGUACCAGUACUCCAACCCAAGUACCGGUACCCAGUCUGCGACGGACUAAAAUGUUAAGGUUGAGAGUGAGUUUUUGUAAGGAAGUGAAUUCUUGAAAUCCGAAAAUUAUACUUCGUCCAGGAUCGACUAAUGGUCGAGUGGGUAGGCUUCGGAGGAGCUAAAGAUGUCCAAAACACAAAAAGUGCUUUGGAAAUCGAAUCCACGAGAGCGAAUAGUGCAAGAUCUGCACUUGGCAGAUUCUGCUCUAGGGGACCGGUCCCUGGCGGGAGUGUAACGCACUGGACCUUUGCAAAUUGCGAGAUUCGAGUGUUUGAUGAGUGUUCUGAGUUUUUCCAGGUAUUCUGGAGGACUUAGAGCUUGGAUUGAAGCUUCUAAGAGGUAAGCAACUUGUUCUCUCCCCAAGAUUUCAAGAUUUGAUGGUUUCUUUGAGAUGAAACCCUAGAAUGAGGUUUUAGGGUUGAUUGGCUUUUUUAUUAGAAGCAUUUAGAGCUAAUCUAAUUGGAUUAGAACCUUGGUCUAGGUUGCUUUGGAAUGGAUUUAGCUUCCUUUUGAGCUUUGGAAAGGAAUUUCUCCACUAUAGGUGUGAUUUUAGCCCCUUUGUAUAGAUGGUUAAUGUUUGAUCUUGUAGUUGUUCGUAAGGUUCGUUUAACCUUUGUUUCUAUACCUCUAGGGUGCUAGGAGGCUAGUUGACACCCUCGUUGGGGUAAACGAAGAGUUGCGCAAGUUUCGGUGGGUUUGACCUAGCCUACAAUAUGAGAAAUUCUCAUAUUUGGUGAUUUAUGUUUCGUAAAGUAGAAAUUCAUGCAUUUUCAUGUUAAAUGUAUUUAUUGUGAAUUUUAGAAUGCUUAACAUUCCUAUGUCAUGUAUAAUGAAUUUUCGGACCUCCAUAUAGUAGAGAGAGAGUUGCAUGUGAAGCUUGCACUAGCAUUGGGCAUUCUUAUGUUGGACUCGGGACCAUGUUUCUUACAAUGAAAUUGAGCAUUGCUUCAUGCAUUUAAAUCUAAACCUAAUUGAGACAUAAGGAACUUUAGUAAGCCUUAAGAGGCUUGGGGACUUGUACUACUUGAGAAUGAUUGGGCUAAUAUCAUAAAGGGGCAUUGAGCUCGGGUUAAAUGAGAACCUAGUACUAAUGUCAUGAAUGGAACAUAGAAUAUGAAAUGUGUUUAACUUAUAACAAACUUAAGUGUCAUAAAGAGGCACUAAGCAUAGUGAGUGUUGGAACAUCACCUUGAGACAUUGAACUAGAUCUUUGAGAUGCUAGUGACUUCUACCAUGUUAGAGACAUGAUGAUUGGACUUUUGAGACGUUGACUACGCUUGCUUGCCAUUUGUGCUCAUUCGCACAUACUUGUGAAGGUCGCUCCCUACAAGCCGGCACUCCGGAGUUUGCCUACGGGACUUAUGCUCGCUCGUACGGUAUCGAGAAACCUACGGGGUCGGGAGAGAGACUCAUUCCUAGAGUGGGAAUGCUAGAGCUACCACCGACACUUAGGUAGAGUGGGAAUGCUAGAGCUACCACCGACACUUAGGUGGCACAAGCUGAACUACAUUUAUGUAGGUCUUAGAACAUGAUUAAACAAUGACAUUGAACCGAGAAAUGACAAUCACUACUAGAUAGGCUUAGUAGUUUGAUUACUUUGACAUGCUUAUAGCAUGGUGUUGGGACAUAUAGUAUACAUGAUAGUCUUAUUUGUUACAUCAUAGUAUACUUGGCUGCCAUGAUAGAGCAUAUUCAACAUAUACUGAUAUAUUGGAUCAUGAUACCUACUUGCUCGAUAUGUUGGGACAUAUUAGUCAUGCUUGGACAUACUUCAUUUUGAUAAAGUAAAUGUACAACACAUUGAAAUCAUGUUUAUUUACGAGAUAAUAGCUUAGCAUUUUAUUUAUGCUUUCAAAAAUGCAAUCUAUUCAUUAUUAUUGUUGCUUUUUGGACUUACCUUUUUCUUUUGGAGCCUAAUGGUGCAUUGUGCUGAGGUCAGUAAUUGCCCACUGGGAACUAUAAAUUAUAUUUCUCACGCCCUCUGUUUCAUGUCAUUAUUUCAGAGCCUUCCACGCCGGGAGAGGCUAGGGACCGCGGAAAGGGUAUCGCCUCGAGCUAGCUUGCUAUCGAGGGACGCGUUGAUAGGUGGUCUACCUCUCGUUGUUUUCUUUUUGGAGAGGUUGAGAGUUGUAUCCAUGUAUAGAGACCACCCUUUUGUGUACCCCUUUUGGAGACGGUUAUUGUAUAACUUAUGAUUCACCUUUAUUGUUUAGUAUAUUCCUUCUACCUUGUUAUAAAUGAUAGAUUUACUCUUGUUCUGAUAUCUCUAGUUGUAGAUUAUCUUUGGCUUUAUUUUUCGCUGUUGUUGUAGACGCCUUAUAUGUGUUGACAUAUGGCGGGUCUGGGCGCGCUCCCGGGAGGGUCUCUGCCAGUUCCGGGGCGUGACAGUUCCGACCUAUAGCUCGUAUCCCGAGAUUUAUAGUAUCUUAAGUAGCGCUAAGGCCACCAAAGAGGAAGACUUAGGCUGCUCUCGGGUUGCCUCUGCAGGUCUGUGUACCGAUACAGCCUUGAUGGUUGUACCGGUACAGAAAGUGUACCGGUACACCUUGAUGGUUGUACCGGUACAGAUGUGGUGAAUUGCCAACCCGAGGCUCGAGUUCGCUGUUUCGCAUGAUUUGUACCGGUACACUUUUUCGUGUACCAGUACACUUUGCCAGACUGCGAACAGGCUGUGUUUGAGGGGUGUUUUUGCAUUUGUGGCAUCUCUAUAUGAUCCCCACGGCCCCUAGGGCUUCUCCUGAGCUGAGAACCAGAGGAAAGCAAGGUAGGGAGCUCUUCUCUCACCUUCUUUGGAUUUCCUUCCCUUUUUCUUGGAUUCCCUUGGCUUAAUCCCUCUCUUUUGCUUCUUGAAGCAAAUCUCACCUUGUUAAAGGCUUGAGGAUUGGAAUUGGAGCUUAAUUGAGGGGAGAUCUUGGGAGCUUGUGAACUUUGGGCUUGGUUGGAAGCUUCUAUGAGGUUAGUAGCAAGUUUCUUUCCUCUAGAUUCGAGUUUUGGUGCUUUGUUUGAGAUGAAACCCUAGAAAUGAGAUUUAGGGUUAUUUUUGGGGAUUUUGGAUUUGCAACUUCUAGAACCUAAUUGAUGGGUUUAGAACCUUUGUUUAGGUUGGAUUUGAGGGCCUCUAACUCCUUUUUAGAAAUCGUGAGGAAUUUCUUCGCAUUUGGUCAGUUUUUCACCCUUAUGCAUGAGUAGCUUAAUGUUUGAACUUGGUGUUGUUCAUAAGGUCCAUUUAACUCUUGUUUUUAUACCUCUAGAGUACUAGGGGACUAGUGGACACCUUCGUCGGAGCAAACGAAGGGGUUGCGAGAGUUGUGAUGGGUUUGACUUCAUGAAACCGGGGCAAAAUGCCCCUUAUGAGUGUUAUACUUGUCGUAACGUUAAAAUUCAUGCAUAUUCAUGCUAAAUAGAAUUUCUAUGAAUUUUAAAAUACUUAAAAUGCAUGCCUUAUGUAUUAUGAAAAUUUCACUCUAUAUAGUAGAGCAUUCUGGGGUUUUUGCAUGCAUGUAAGAAGUAUUCAUGUUAGCAAUGGAAAAACUUGUCUUCUAUGUUCAAAAUGACUUAGAUUAUGUAUUCAUGAACACCAAAAUCAUGCUUGGACUCAUUGGACAAAUGUGCCAUAAAGGGGCACUUGAGCUAGUAAAUUAUGAAACUGCAACAUAGAGACGUAGUAAUAGGCCAUUGGACAUCGACUAUAUUCCGUGUUUUAGACAUGAUGACAUAGUGAUAGGCCAUCGACACAGUUGCUAUAUUCCAUGUUUUCGACAUGAUAACUUGAGACUUGAGACAGACAUAUAUGCUUACUUGCCUUUGUGCUCAUUCGCACAUGCUUGUGAGGGUCGCUCCCUACAAGCCAGCACUCCGGAGAUAGCCAUCGAUAUACAUACUCGCCGUGCGGGAUUGGGCGCCGAAGUGGAUUGCCGUAGGAAAGGCUCAUUCCUAGAGUGGGGAUGUUGACUACCACGGGGCCAUUAGGCACGGCACCGGCCAGACAGCCUACUGGGGGGUCUUCAGGCCAGACAACCUUCGGGUGGGUCUUACAAGAUUUAAACUUUACGUAGUUAACAUGCCAAGUGAACAUCGAUAGAAUAGUAAACAAUGACAUUGUGCUAUUUAGCUUGGGGACAUUAUGUUAGUUACACUCAUGCACUUCCAUGUUACAGUAGCUUCAUUACUAAUGCAAAUUCAUGCUAAGUAGAGACAUCAUGUGGUAGCAAGUUUACAUGUUUACUUACAUGUCGUUCAUAUCGCAUUUACUUGUUUACUUACCUAUUUUAGCUCUUUUGGGACUAGUGUUGCUUUUCACUAAAGUCAGUAAUUGCCCACUGGGAACUAUUAAUUAAUAGUUCUCAUGCCCCCUGUUUUAUGGAUUUAUUUCAGAGCCUUCAGCACCGGCGGAGGCACGGGAUCGCGGCAAGGGUGUCGCCUAGCUAGAUAGCAGGGAGCUACUUGCUCUUAGGUGGUUUACUCUUUCUUUUGUUGUAGUGAGAGAGAUUUUUGUAACAUGUAUAGAGACCACCUAUGUACUUUUUUUAGCACUUAUUCUGGGACAUCUCUUGUAUUACUUAUGACUUCUUUUUGGUGGUUUUGGACUUCUUUUACCUUAUCAUGAUGAAGAAAUCUAGAUGUACUUUGCUCUGAUAUCGCUAGAUCUCUUCGUAUUAUUAUUUUAUUUAUUGCUUUAUCCUAGACGCCUUAUAUGUUUUAGAGAUAUGGCGGAUCUGGACACGUGCUGGGCGGGCUCCCGCUGGGUCCCGGGGCGUGACAGGGAAGGACCGGUUCCGUAAGCAGGUCUAACAGAGAAGGGGUCUGUGCAGAGUUGCUCUCGGGGAUCGGUCCCUGGUGGGAGGGACCGGUCCCCGUAGCUGAGGUCGCGGCAGACAGCUGAUGCAACCGGUCCCAGACCAGAGGGACCGGUUCCCGUAAGCGUAUCUGGCUGAGGUGCUCUCGGGGACCGGUCCCUCAUCGGGAGGACCGGUCCCUCCGCGCGAAAAUUGCCCAGGCAGAGCUGUUUGAGAGAAGCAAAGUUGAGGGGCUUAGUUGCAUUUGUUACAAUAGAUGGAGGGUAUUAGAGAGAAAAGCUCUCUCUUUCUCUCAUCUACUCCCAAACACUCCCCUCACUCUCUCUCUCUCACUCUAAGCUCUAUCUCUCUCCUCUCUUGAAGCAAAGUAGAAGGAGAAGAAGGAGAGGAAGAAGAAGGAGGAAAGAAAGGUGGAGAAGAAGAAGGAGAUCAAGGAGAAGGCCUUGGACACCUUCACCUCCCUCUCCUCUCCCCUUUGGUGUAGCUCAAGAGGUAAGCUACUAAACCCUAGCAUGUAGAACUAAGGGUUUUGGGUUUUUGGCUUUGGAAAUGGGUCAAAUGGACCUCUAGCAUGCUUCUAAAUAGAUCAAUGCUAAAAUCUAGGGUUUGGAUGGAAUGGUUUGCUAUAGGUGCAAACCUAGGGCUCCAACUUGGGGUCUUUGGUAAAUUAUCAGAUUGAUCUCAUUUAGUGGCUUGUAAACCUAAUUGAUAGGUGUCUAAACGCGGGGGCGAAGUCGAAUUUUCGAUUCGUCGAGCGGGUGAAAAGCUUUCGGCGAAAUAUAGCCGAUUGAGCGCCGUUUUGGACCAAGGAGGCCGAGACCUCGUCGUAACGUUCGUUGGGAAGCGGUUCUAGAACCUUUAUACCCUCAAAAGGUGGGGGGUGUCAUUCCGAAGCAACCGAGCUCUUUUCUAUGUCUUAGAAAUACAUGAUUUUCAUCUUUUGCAUGUUGCAUUGUAGGAUUGCAUUGUAGUACCUUUUCCUUAUGCUUCUGAAUGUUAACCUAGUGUGCAUGGAAUACUUGGUGAAAUGGAUAGGUAAGGAUUGAGUCGGAACAUGGAUCCUAUAGUGCCAAAAAAAAGAGAUGAACUCGAUGGUUAUUCAGUGACAUAGAGAGUGGCAUUAAUGUAAUGUACUUGACACUAGAGGUUCAUGAACUUAGGGAUAGAUGGAUUCCCUAGUAAACGACUCGUGAACAAUGAACUUAGUAUAGCUAAGUAAUUAUACAUGAAUGUCGGAAUAGAUGAGUUCCGAGAGAAUGUUGGCCCUAGUUCAUAGGGUAUCCUCACGUGGAGAGGAUAGAUCAAGCUCACGGUCUGUUAUUCGGGAUGGUAAAGCCAUCCAUAUCCUCACAUGGAGCGGAAUUGUUGUCGAGUACUCCGGAGUGUCGGGCGAUUAGGACAGAAUUGAUGUCCGCAGGCAGUCCCGAGUUCGGGGGAACAUGGAGUCUCCUUACCCUAUGGGAUGGAUAUGUGAGGCGUAGGCAAACCCAAGGAUUUCGCCACAGAUUGGGUAAAUGAAAAGUUAAUAUUGUCAUCGAACAUUCCUUAUCGAACAUGGAUCGAACUUGUUAGCAUGAUAGUAAACUGUUACUAAAUGAUGCAUGCAUUCAUUUCACAUGAUUAUGGGCAUAGUAGUAUAGUUUUCCUAUUAUGUCUUUACAGCUUCGAUAUAUAUAUCUAUCUGUUUCGUUGUUACUUUUGCCCACUUGGACCUAGUGGGGAGAUCGGCGGAGUCGGCGGCCGAGCCCACUGGGAACUAUGGAAGAUAGUUCUCACCCCACUUUAUUUCCAGGGCUAGGUAUAGGUUUGCCGGGCGAGGACCGCGGCAAGGGCAUCGCGCCCGACCAGUGAGGAUUAUUGGUAGAGUAGUAGCUUUCCUUUUGCAUUAGUACACCUAUGUAUUUGAGAGAGAUUCAUGUAGGUGAGGACUUUGGAGAGCUAUGUACUUGAUGAGCAUGUACUAAUUUUGAGAAAGAAAAUGUAAUUGUAUAAAGAAUGUAAAUAUGGUGUAAUAGUUAGUAGUUCUUUCUUUAUUUCACUUGUGUAUCUUGUAGAUUACUUGCUCUUCGUUGUUGGCACUAUUUCUGCCUCGUUGAUCGUGUAUGUAUGAAUUUAAUUUUCCUGGGUAAAUUCUUAUACAUGAUCAGGUUGUGAGCCUUGGGCGGGCAGGGGAGUUGCUGCCCGUUCGGCGUCC
rnacentral:lncRNA from 1 species